NNNNNNNNNNNNNNNNNNNNNNNNNNNNNNNNNNNNNNNNNNNNNNNNNNNNNNNNNNNNNNNNNNNNNNNNNNNNNNNNNNNNNNNNNNNNNNNNNNNNNNNNNNNNNNNNNNNNNNNNNNNNNNNNNNNNNNNNNNNNNNNNNNNNNNNNNNNNNNNNNNNNNNNNNNNNNNNNNNNNNNNNNNNNNNNNNNNNNNNNNNNNNNNNNNNNNNNNNNNNNNNNNNNNNNNNNNNNNNNNNNNNNNNNNNNNNAAAUAGAAGAAAAAAAUAAAGCAGAAAAGAAAAAACUAUAUAAAAAAUUACUCAAAAAUAAAUAGAAGAAAAUAAAUAAUGCAGGAACAAAAUUUUAUAAAAAAAUGUUGGGGCGCUGUCCAGUGGGCCUGCCAGACCUAGGGUGUUCAAAUACAGGCCUAGAAGGGCCAGCAGGCUCACAGGGCAGCGCGCCCUAAAUAGGCCCAAAAGCCUGCUAUAUAGAGGAGUUCGAAAGGGCAGCCGCGGCUGGAUUUAUAAACCAGUGCGGCUGCCCUUCGCUCGGCGAGGUGAGACUAAAAGUAGCGGACUGCGGGUGGCAGCGCACGGCCUUUAGUACCGGUUGGUGGCUCCAACCGGUACUAAUGUGUUGCCCUUUAGUACCGGUUGGAGCACUAACCGAUACUAAAGUCUCUCGUUUCCCGCCGCUUGGGCUGGCCAAGAUUGGCCUUUAUUACCGGUUGGUGGCUCCAACCGGUACUAAAGACGCCUCCUAUAUAUAUGUCACUUACGAAAAUUCAGUUAUCGUCGCCACUUCGUUCCACUUCUCGCGCGAGACAUCUCGAUCUCCGACGGCGACGCCAAUGCCGCCGCGCCGNNNNNNNNNNNNNNNNNNNNNNNNNNNNNNNNNNNNNNNNNNNNNNNNNNNNNNNNNNNNNNNNNNNNNNNNNNNNNNNNNNNNNNNNNNNNNNNNNNNNNNNNNNNNNNNNNNNNNNNNNNNNNNNNNNNNNNNNNNNNNNNNNNNNNNNNNNNNNNNNNNNNNNNNNNNNNNNNNNNNNNNNNNNNNNNNNNNNNNNNNNNNNNNNNNNNNNNNNNNNNNNNNNNNNNNNNNNNNNNNNNNNNNNNNNNNNNNNNNNNNNNNNNNNNNNNNNNNNNNNNNNNNNNNNNNNNNNNNNNNNNNNNNNNNNNNNNNNNNNNNNNNNNNNNNNNNNNNNNNNNNNNNNNNNNNNNNNNNNNNNNNNNNNNNNNNNNNNNNNNNNNNNNNNNNNNNNNNNNNNNNNNNNNNNNNNNNNNNNNNNNNNNNNNNNNNNNNNNNNNNNNNNNNNNNNNNNNNNNNNNNNNNNNNNNNNNNNNNNNNNNNNNNNNNNNNNNNNNNNNNNNNNNNNNNNNNNNNNNNNNNNNNNNNNNNNNNNNNNNNNNNNNNNNNNNNNNNNNNNNNNNNNNNNNNNNNNNNNNNNNNNNNNNNNNNNNNNNNNNNNNNNNNNNNNNNNNNNNNNNNNNNNNNNNNNNNNNNNNNNNNNNNNNNNNNNNNNNNNNNNNNNNNNNNNNNNNNNNNNNNNNNNNNNNNNNNNNNNNNNNNNNNNNNNNNNNNNNNNNNNNNNNNNNNNNNNNNNNNNNNNNNNNNNNNNNNNNNNNNNNNNNNNNNNNNNNNNNNNNNNNNNNNNNNNNNNNNNNNNNNNNNNNNNNNNNNNNNNNNNNNNNNNNNNNNNNNNNNNNNNNNNNNNNNNNNNNNNNNNNNNNNNNNNNNNNNNNNNNNNNNNNNNNNNNNNNNNNNNNNNNNNNNNNNNNNNNNNNNNNNNNNNNNNNNNNNNNNNNNNNNNNNNNNNNNNNNNNNNNNNNNNNNNNNNNNNNNNNNNNNNNNNNNNNNNNNNNNNNNNNNNNNNNNNNNNNNNNNNNNNNNNNNNNNNNNNNNNNNNNNNNNNNNNNNNNNNNNNNNNNNNNNNNNNNNNNNNNNNNNNNNNNNNNNNNNNNNNNNNNNNNNNNNNNNNNNNNNNNNNNNNNNNNNNNNNNNNNNNNNNNNNNNNNNNNNNGAACUAGUUUAUUUUUAGUAAAUGCUUAGUUGAACUAAUUGAAUUAAUAUAACUAGUUUAUUUUUAUUAAAUGCUUAGUUGAACUAGUUGAAUUAAUUGAAUUAGUAAGUGUUUAAUGUUUCGCCUAAUAUGAACAUAGGAAAUGUCGUCUGACGACGGAAAAAAUUUCAUUAUGUGCAAAUACUGUGAAGACCAGCGCGGCCAGUGCGCCAGAAAUUUCCUUGUUGAUGAUAGGGGAUUCAGCAUUAAGCUGGAUGAGACCUUCGAAUUCGAUACAGUAAGUCACAACGACAAGUCUGUUUUCGUAAUUAAGCAUGACUUAUAUAUGCUUCAUUUGCCUGACUUAUAAUUUUUAAUUUUCACUAUUCUACUAGCGCAUCCCCUGCCAUGCAAGAAUUUUUGUCUUGGAUAAGAUAGGUUUCAAUGAUAUGGAAAUUAUGGAGGUAAAGAAAGUUUACCUGAAAACUGAGCAUGCUUGUUAUACUUUCAACGUCAAAGUAUACAGUGCACACACGUACACCUAUUUUGAAUGCAAAACUUGGCAAGUACUAUGCAAGGCUUAUGCAUUUGAGUCUGGUAUGAUUAUCACCUUUGAUAUUCGUCCGGAAGAUGAUAUUGAAGGUAAUAGAGACAUAUGAGUCGAUGUGCAGACGCCUCCAAUUCUACCAUUAUGUGAGUUCUUCUCAACUAUAUUUUUGUCUUUGAUAUUGCUUAUUCAAAAAUAAUUGACAACUAAUUUCUAUUGACAGCAUAUCUCCAUUCAACCAAACAUGUCCGGCGCUUGGUAGACAGGACCUACUACUGUCCCGGAGCUGAACUAAACUGCGAGGAGAUAAGUCAUUAUGUUUCAUGGCUUGAGGAUCUUCACACUGUCAAGACAAAUUUUCUUCCUACACUUAGAAAUGUUAGUACUCAAAACGUGCGACCAAUAGUGAUGGUAUUGAACUACGGUCACAUCUAUUUAGGAAUGAUGGUAAGAUAUUUACUAUUUGUCCUUAGUGCAUAUUUUGCAUACAUAUUUUUUUUGCUAAACUUUCAUUGCUAAUUAAGUAUAUUAAUUAAGUACUAUACGAUGUUCUUCAACAGGGACUCCCGAUGACAGUUGUGCCUCAGGGGAUCGAGACUAAAGGUCGCAUGUCAAUUGUUAGCUUACUGCCAAGAUAUCCUGCAUUGCACAUGAAUGCAUUCAGGAUUUCUAGAAGCGAUGAAUGCUUAAUAGUGAAAGAUUGGUGGAAAGUUGUUAACGAUCGUAGAGAAGUACUAGGGGGCAGCAGUGAGAAGCGCAACCCACGAUUAGGAGACAAGUUCAUCUACAUGCUCCAGUAUGAUCAAUCAGGAGAGCUAUACAUGUUCUAUGCUAUUUUACCAGAGAGAGAGUAGCUAGCAGGAGUGAUUUAGCUAGUUCAUGCUGCUCUUAGUACUUGUCCUUUCAUGUCCGUGUUCUUCGUUCUGAACUUAAGUGAUUUGCUUUUGUGGUGUUAUAUAUGAACGCUUAUAAUAUCAUGACAAUCAUGUUAAACUCGAUGAUAUUUUUGCUUCUGGUACUAGUGAAUGUUUCUUCUUUAAGCUAGUAGUGCUGGUGGUGAUUAGAUAGCUAGCGGUAAUGCAUGACUAUGAUGAUUAAUAUGAUGAUGAUGAUGAGUUAUUAUAUCAUUUAAUGAAAGAAACCGCAGAUUAGUUUCAGCUGGAUGGAUCCUACCUAAGUGAUCAAGUAUAUGCCAUAUCCGUAUAUAUUAUACUUGAUCAAGUAUAAUAUGGAUAUGGCAUAUACUUGACCACUUAGCUAGUAGCUAGAUAUACAUCCAAUGCAUCCAGUCGAAACUAAUCAGCGGUACUUUCACCUAAUGAUUUAACAACUCAUUAUAAUGUAAAACAAUCACUAAAUUAAAUUGAAAACACAAAAUUAAAGAAAAUUUAAAAAAAACACCUAAACAUUUAGUACCGGUUGGUGUUACCAACCGGUACUAAUGCCGUACACGCACGCGGGCCUGGCUCGUGCCACGUGGUGGCACUUUAGCGUCGGUUCGUGACGAACCGAUACUAAAGGGGGGGACCUUUAAUGCCCACUCUUUAGUGCCGGUUGGUGAACCGGCACUAAAGGUCGUCAUGAACCGGCACUAAAGGCCGGUUCUGUACUAGUGGAUAUUGGAUGGCCAGGGGCGUCUCUCCUAACCACGUGUCCUCCCAAAAUCUUGUUGCCAUUCCAUUGCCAACCAAGAAUUUGACCCUAUGAAAGAACAGGUCCUUCGUGCGCAUAAGUCCCUUCCAGAAUGGCGAGUCAGUCGGUCUCAUGGUAACCUGGGCUAGUGUUUUCGAGUGCUGAUAUUUAUUGUGCAAGAGUUGAGACCACAUGCCCUUCGGCUCAGUCUCUAGUCUGUAGAGCCAUUUUCUCAUAAGACAUUUGUUCUUGAUUUCUAAGUUCUCAAUACCGAGACCCCCUUGGUCUUUAGGUAGGCAAAGGAUAUCCCAUCGCGCGAGACGGUAUUUCCGCUUGGCCUCAUCAGACUGCGAAAAGAAGCGGGAUCUAAAUAAAUCAAGUCGCUUGCGAACUCGUUUCGGAAUUUUGAAGAACGAAAGUAGAAACAUCGGCAUACUAGUCAAUACUGAGUUAAUCAGGACUAGCCGACCUCCAUAUGACAUAGGCUUACCCUUCCAGCAGCUAAGUUUUUUUUUCAAUUCGUUCUUCAAUACAUUUCCAUUCUUUAUUGAAAAGCUUACAGUGAUGGAUCGGUAUACCCAAGUAACUGAAUGGUAAAGUACCUGAUUCACAUCCGAACAGUUGUCUGUAAUUGUGUUCCUCGUUUUUGGCCUUCCCAAAGCAGAACUCCUUGCUCUUAUGAAAAUUAAAGUUUAAUCCAGACAAUUGUUCAAAGAGACACAAGAUAAGUUUCAUAUUACGUGCCUUAGCCAUGUCAUGUUCCAUAAAUAGAAUAGUGUCAUCAGCAUAUUGUAGAAUGGAUACCCCUCCAUCGACAAGAUGAGGAACUAAACCCUCUACAUGGCACUGCUGCUUGGCCCUGCCAAUAAUGACGGCCAGCAUAUCUUCCACAAUACUGAACAGAAGAGGAGACAUGGAAUCCCCUUGUCACAACCCCUUAUGUGUCUGGAAAUAGUGAUUGAUGUCAUCGUUCACCUUGAUUCCAACACUACCUUUCCGGACUUGGGUAUCUACUUGGUUCCUCCAAGUUUCACUAAAACCCUUCAUGCGCAUUGCCUGCUGAAGAAAAGGCCACUUUACUUUAUCAUACGCCUUCUCAAAUUCCACUAUGAAAAUAACCCCAUCUAGUUUCUUUGAGUGGAUCUCAUGAAGCGUUUCAUGUAGAACGAUCACCCCUUCCAGUAUGUGUCAUCCUGGCAUGAACGCUGUCGGGCUCGGUUGGAUCACCGAAUGAGCAAUUUGUGUCAAUCUAUUCGUUCCAACCUUUGUGAAGAUUCUGAAACUCACAUUAAGCAGGCAAAUGGGGCGGAAUUGUUCGAUCCAAACUGCCUCAUCUUUCUUAGGUAACAACGUGAUCAUUCCAAAGUUAAGAUGAAACAACUCCAAAUGACCGUAAAAAAAUCAUGAAACAUAGGCAUAAGAUCAUCUUUAAUAAUAUGCCAACAUUUCUUAGAGAAUUCAGCUGGAAACCCAUCUGGUCCCGGUGCUUUAUUCGGCUUCAUUUGGGAUAUUGCCUGAUGAACCUCUUUUUCAGUAAAUGGUGCAGAGAGAACAUCAUUCUCUGCUGCCUAUAAUUGAGGUAUAUCAUCAAUCACAGAUUCGUCAAGGGAAAGCGUAGUUGAAUUCGGGGGACCAAAAAGUUUUUUAUAAUAGUUAGAGAUGAAUGCUUUCAGAUUUUCAUGUCCCACUAUUGUCCCCUUGUCAUGUUCAAGCUGUAUAAUUUUUUUCUUCCUAUGCUUACCAUUUGCAACCAUAUGAAAGAAUUGUGUAUUGUCAUCCCCUUGGACAACCCUAAGUGUUUUCGCACGCAAUGCCCACUUCAGCACCUCUUCUCUCAAGAGAGCCCGUAGACCUUGCUCAGCCAGGGACUUCGUUCAUUACUCAUUAACAGAAAGAAGCGUGGCUUCCGCCUUUAAGUCUAGUGCCUCAAUCAAUUGAGUAAGCCACUCUUUUUCUCGUUUGUAAAUCCCACUCUCAUUUCUAGCCCAACCUCUUAGAAACUGUCAGAGAUGUCUAAUUUUAUUUUGCUAUCUCUCAACAUGAGUCCUUCCACUAACCGCUUAGCCCAUUCUCGUGCAAUCAUCUCCAUAAAUCCUUCUCGCUCAAACCAGUUGUGCUCGAAGGAGAAGAUAUUUUUAUUUGCCACAUGGGUAGCCUCCCCCGAGUCUAAAAGAAGUGGUGUGUGAUCCAAGAUCGCUCUCUGCAUCGCAUGGACCGACACCAACAGAUAUUUUUGUUCCCACUCCACACUAGCAAGUACCCUAUCCAACUUUUCAUAAGUCGGAAUAGGUAACGAGUUGGCCCAUGUAAACUGUCUACCGGUGAGCUCUAUUUCUCUCAAAUUGAGACUCUCAAUAAUCAUGUUAAACAUCAUGGACCAUCAUCCAUCAAAAUUGUCAUUUUUCUUUUCAUCUCUUCUCCUGAUGAUAUUAACCCCCCCCCUGCCCCCCCCCAACUACUAUAGGAAGAUUUUCAUCUCCACAAAUCCGCACCCGAUCGGCCAAAAAGUCAGGUUUGAGUUCAGGUUGUGCUGCCACAUAGACAGCAACUAGAGACCAUCGAAACCCAUCCAGUUUUGACCGCACCCUGAAUUUGACCGAAAAAUCUCCCUUAACCACAUUAAGCACCUAUAACAUCUCACACCGUACUCCUAGUAAAAUCCCGCCGGAUCUUCCUCUAGGAGGUAAGAUGUGCCAGUCAAAAUCGAUACCACUGGAGAGAGUUUGAAGAAACUGUGAUGUGAAAUUAUGUCGUCCAGUUUCCAAAAGUGCGAUAAAGUCUAAGUGUUGUUCUAUCGUUGUCUCUGCUAAGAAUCUUUGUUUAGCCAAGUCCGCUAGACCUUCUAUUCCAGAAUAGUCCUUUCAUAAAUCAUCAUGAAUUGUUUUUAUGCUUAACUCUGGCACUUCUGCGUACCGCCAACGUAGGAUAAAUUUUCCGCUUCCAUGGCCGUUUGGGCUUCUCCUCAACUCCCUGCGGGAGAGAAGGAUUGGUGACUACAGAAACUUCACCCUCCAUUAGGAGAGGCUCUACCGUGUCAAUCUCAUGAGUAGGGGCAGAAUUUUAUCAAGAUUGACAAGAUGUAAAUUAGAGUCCCGAUAUGUAGCGACUCAUUUGUCACGGUUUUUAUGUGAAGCUUGCGCUCUUAGAUGCAUGUGUGCCACAUGUCGCAUGGUCGUCUAAUAUUUUUCCUGCAAGAGAAGAGAAGAGAAGAGCUAUAGCUGGCGACCGAAGAAUCCGCGGUGUUGCGAUCUUCGCUUUUAUUUGCUGAAUUCUUUCAUUUCGUAUAUAUAGUAUGAAGAAGAAUUUGGUACUGUUGCUGAUGCUAGUUGGUUGCCCACAGGGGACCUCAAAAUCGAGAGUUUGGUGCUGCUAGUUGAGUGUUGGCUGACUCAGUUUUCUCUCCUCUGUAAAAUCUCAGUGCAGAAGGGAGGGAGGUAAAAAAAAGACUUACUUCACUGGGUGGCCAAGCCCAGUGAAUGCUUUUACCUCAGCAGAGCUAUAGCUCAGCUAGCUAGCCUAGCUGGUCCAGUCAAUGCUUCGUCUGGUAAUGCCUCGACAGAGCUAUAGCUCAGCUAGCUAGCUUAGCUGGUCCAGUCAAUGUUGUCCUCGGCGAUCAAAGACGUCAUUACCACGAUUUUUAACCCGCUACAUACCUUUGGAAGCCAGCGGUGUGGUACUAAUCACAAAACGUGGAAUCGAGCGGUGCCGGUGCGCUCGUUCGCUGGGCCCUUUCCUCCUCGGCCCAGCAGGUAAGUUCACUGCAAAGAGAAAAAAAAAAGAAAAAAAGAAAAGAAAGGUGGACGGCACAAUAGACUAAAUCAUUAAAACCUGACAGAAAAAUGAGAACAUAUUACAUUCUUUUUGUGCCUGACUUGAUGGGCCAAGAUACCGAAGAAGACAGUGACAACACACAAGAGAGACUGGCACAAUCGUCUAUUCGAGUCCUUAUGGGUGUACCGCGUUAUAGUCCGCACCCGAUGCAAGCUACCCUGUAUUCUUUCUCGUUUAUGGGAGUUAAGCCGUUUUGCCGUUGGAGGUCAAGCUACCCCCUUUACGGGUGGCCAUCCGAGAAGAACUCACCCAAGAUGAGCAUUUACAACUAUGGUUCCAGGAGCUCCACGCCCUCGAAGAGGGGCGACUUAAUGCUCUGCAAAACCUAGAGCUCUGCCGCAGGAACAUGGUGAGAACCUACAACAAGCUCGUCAAACAAUGCGUCUUCCGGAAGGGAGAGUUGGUCCUCGUGCUCUGUCCACCCAUCAUCAUCACGCACAAGAUUAAGGAGAAGUUCGAGCCAAAGUGGGAAGGACCAUAUAUACAUAUCGAGCAUACUAGCUGGUCAAUUCCCAGAGAGCCCGACCUAUGCCCCCAAUCAGCGAAAGGUUCCUCAAAAAAUAUUUUUCCUAAAAUAUUUCCUCCUCCUUUGCCAUUUGAUUUUUUCUUUAGGGAGACCUUUUUCAGUGAGCUAUCGGAUCCAUUAUGCGCUUUCCGUUACAUAUUCUGGAUAUUUUUUUGGUCUCGCCAAUUUUAAAAGGACUCAGUCCAACAAUAAAAACGGCUUGCCCCAACCACAUCAUGAUGUUCAUUGAUGUUCUGGCUACCCUAGGAUGUGUCGGAGGGUGGCACGAUGUGUCAAGUUGCAAGUGGAGCGGAUCCUAUACCCACAAUGCACGACACGUAUCAAGUGCAUGCUUCCGAAGGUAGUGGAGAUGAUUACUUGAGUGCCGAGACCCCGCGCCUUUCAUGUUUCCUGGCAUGCUUCAUGCUAAUAGAGGCUUGCAUCCCAGGGGAUACUAUAGGAAAACAUCAUGGAAGAUCGCCUGGCCCAACGCAAGUUGGUUCGGUGUGUAGCCACAUGGCAACCCUGGGAUACGCCACCAAAAGCUCAAGAUAAAUUGCCACAGGGUUUUGUUAGUCCACGGGGGUGAACAGGUGCCUUCCAAGUUCUCAAGGUGGUGCCCAAGAAGUCAUGAAAGAAUAAUCCUCAAGAAGUUUAAGCAAGUUCAUGAAUUCCGCGACCAGUCAAUCAACCCGCGCAAGCAAUCCUCAAAAAGGAAAAAGAAUCAUGAAGCUCCAAGAAGCAAUAGAAAAUAAAUCCCAAGAGUCCAAAAAUCAAAUCCAAGAGGCAGUCAAGUGAUCCCAAGCAGUAAGAGACCCACUGAAAAGAAGACGAAAGUUAGCUGUUCACCACCCCUCAACGAGGCAUGAAGAAACAUCACCAAGCUUUGUCCCGAAACCAUCUACCCCGAACCUACCAUAUCCAAGUCUUUGGGUUUAUGAGGCAUGGGGGAAUGUUGAGCUAUGCGCCCCCUCCGCACAAUGAUGGGCUAGAGAAUGAAUUUCUUAGGAAUCAAUGUUCACCACAACACUCAUGGUAUUUUCUUGUCCCAUGAACAGUAUUCCCUAGAGAUCCUAGUGUUGGGAAACGUAGUAGAAAAAAAUCGUCCUACGAUCAACCAGGAACAAUAUGAAGAUGUGGUUUGGAUCAGAUCAUUACCAGCUCCGAGUUGCAAUGGAAGAAGAGUCGGUGUAGAUCGUACUUGAAGUCCCAUGAACAAUCGAUGAACGAUCCCUUGAACCGUCCACGAAUGAUACCUCGAACGGAAGACCAAAAGCACUACCUCUCCAUAGUAGAGAUGAUCUAAUUCUGACGAGUAGAGAUGAUUAGAUCUGUCUCUAAUUGGAUCAACUAAAACUAGAACUAGAGAACUAGAGGAGACUCUAAAACUUGUUUCUAUAGGAGCAAAAUCUUCAAGUAUAUAUAGAUUGGAGGGAGGGGACGGGGUGCCACACAAGGGGAAGGUUUCCCUCCUCCUUGCCCCGACCUAGAAGGGGGACCCCCCUCCAAUUCGGCCUCCCUUUGGCUUCUCCAAGAAGCUAAGGGACGCCUCCCCCUAUUGGACCACAUAGGCCCAAUAUGUUUCCACCACCUCCUUUUAAGGCCCGUUGAUAUUUAAUUAAAUAUAAAAGCCUCCUAACUAUUAUUAGAGCCUUUUAUUAUUAAUCUAACAUCUUCAAAAAUAUUUUCCACAUAUAUAUUAUUUAUCGGUAUUACAACCCUGAAACGCUUCCGGUUCGUCUCAAAACUAUUUUGAAUAUUAAUGAAACUAUUUCAUAAAUAUUUACUCAUUAGUCAUGUCCUACUGACACUCACGAGAUCGUGAUUAGCUUGUGAACGCGUAGGUUUGGUAAAACAUAGACAUGAAAGAAACUCUUUCGUUCAAUUACCGAUAGCGGAACCAUGGACAUCCAUAUCGAUCUCAAUGAAUACAUGAAUGGCAUUAGAGGGAACCUUUGGUUAUCAUGUGCUAUUCCUUUUGCUUCGCAAUACUUUACAAAACAUAGGUGAGAUGUAUCGGUAUCCUCUUGAGUCAUUAUCAGGCUCACUAUACCGGUCUCCUUGUUACUGGUUUGUUCUUCUUUCUCAUUGACAUGUUCUGGCAUCCCUUUGACCUAGUCAUCUAUGUCUGACUAGACAAUGAUGGAUGUCAUCACACCGAGAGGGCCCUAAGAAUAUCGUAGCAUCGUCGGAGGAGCAUUCUCACUCUUGAGCUAUCUAGUUCCUGGUCAAACUUUCCGAUGAACCUGUAAGUUGUCCAGAUGCACUUUACGACGCUGCUGCUUCAGAAUGUCGCCAAGGUUGGCCCAAAGGACGGCGAAGGAAAAUAAAUUCGACCAAAGAUCAACUUCGAGAAGGUCAUGCCUUUUGCCCGUAUUGAUGGUCGGUAAAGUUUUACUCUUUUAAAUCACCUUUUGAGAUUUAAUAAUGCAUAUUUGUAUACCGACAAUGUAUUCGGUAUAGCUCGAACCUAUGUAUAAGAAUAGUUGUGUUAACUGGCCAUCGACUUCUACGUACUCAACCGUAGGCAAUGAGGAGCGCUCCUGGUGUCGACCCCUUCCUUGGGGGACAUCCAUUUUGUGUCAAGGCAAUCUGACCCGUCUGGUCCUAAUGUGAGCUAAACAUGGAGCCAUUAUUGAGGGGCUUAACACAACGACUUUUACGGAUAGGGAGGUCCUCUAGUGGUUUCCUUGUCCGAAUUAUUGCCAUCGUGACUUUUAGUGCCGCCAUCUCGUAUAUUUUUGAGAAGGGCAGACAAGUCUUACGUAGCUUGCCGAGCAGGAUUGAAGUCUGGCGUUAUCCCCCAAAAGUGGUUAUAAUAUUCACUUUCUUCGUGCCGAUCGGUUCGUCUAUUGUAACUGCUAGCUUUCAGCUUCACACACCUGAGGUAGUUAACUAGGAUGACCCCAGAAGGAACGAUCACAGAGGUUCUCCCGUUCCGCCAUUAGCCGAACAUGCAGUCACGUAAGGGGUGGACAUAGGAGCUAGGCAACACAGCUUGGCCAAAAGUCACAAGUAAAAAAUCGAACUAUAUUAUGGCUUAAGACAAAUUUGGAAGGGUCAACAUCGACCCUGCAGGCACUAUGCAAAGGAGUGUAUCAAGAUAUUCUAACAUAUCUGGUAUGCUUUUGGUUGAGGGGCUAUAAAAAUCCCCAACUGAGGUUGUGACAUCUGAUGUAUGGCCAUGAGCUGUAUCGUUAGCGCCAGAAACGAGCCAAAAUCUAGGCACACAAAACAAAGGUUAAUAAAAUACACAAUGUCGGGCAACCCCAUGUCUGUUGUGCUUCUAGCUCACUUCCUAGCUCACUAGUUCUAAAGACAAAUUUGAAUAAAAUAUAGAGUGUAGAUUUGCUAGCCGUAGAGUCGCCACAGUAGUGUAGUGUUUCAAGGGGUUGGCUCCAGGCGUUUUUCUUGGGCAUUUCGGAUCCGGUAUGCUCCUCCAGUGAGCACCUUAUGGGUUGUCCCAGGUCGUGGGCAGUUUAUGUUGUCAAACCUUGUCUAGGUGGCAUCAUAAGACCAAGUCAUCGAUGAUGAACGCCUUCACCCAGACCUCUUGCAGCAGGUAUCGAUGUACCUGCUAUUGGUAGAAGGAAGAGCGUGCUUUGCCAAUGUCUCUCUCUUCAUCUAGGGCAUCUAAAUCAUCUUGGCGACUUUGCUCGGCCUCCCAUUCCUCAUACAGGCAUACUCGAGGUGCAUCAUGUAUGAGAUCACUUGGUAAAAUGGCCUCAGCAUUAUAUACAAUGAAGAAUGGUGUGUAGUCGGUGGAUCGAUUUGGUGUGGUCCAUAGGCUCCACACAAUAGAGUUUGAGCUACUCGGCCCACUUAUUGUCAGCUUCCGCUAAGGUAAUCCCAUUGGUCCACUCGACCUACCUAUUAGUUUGCGGGUGAUAGAUGAAGGCGUAGUCAAGCUUCAUGUUCUACUUGGCGCACCUUGUUUUUUACCUCCUCGGCCGUGAAGUUGGAUUUGUUAUCUGUUAUGAUGUUGUGAGGUACUCCAUAACAUGUACCAAGCCGGAGAUGAAUUUAUCACUGGUUGGGCUUUAGCCGAGGCCACAUGCUUUGCAUCUAUUCACUUUGUGAACGUGUUGACCAUAACCAGCAAAUAUUUCUUGCUGAUUUGACCUUUAAGGAGUAGUCCGACCAUAUCAAGUCCUAAGACCGACCAGUUUAUCGGGAUUGUAUUCAAGGCUGUGGAUGGAAGGUGGCUUUAUUUAGUAAAGAGCUAGCACCCGACAAACAUAUCGACGAAAUCUCAUGCAUCGGCCUGUCCUGUGAGCCAAUAGAACCUUGUUUGGGAAGCCUUUCUUACCAAGGUAUGAGGUGUUCCAUGAUGCCCAUAGGUGCCGGAGUGUAUCUCGGACAAGAGCUCUUGUCUAUCUUCCUCGAAUAUGCAGAGAUGGAGCUGUGUUGCUGCAUUUAUAGAGCUCUCCAUAGUGCACCUUGUAGGUCGCUGAUCCUCGAACGAUUCGCCGCCAUCCAUCUACCCCUCGAAGAGUUCUUUGUGUAUCAAAUAAGAAAGAAGUGGCUUUUUCCAGGGCACAAUAACUUCCAUAAUCUCGUCCGUUCUCUAAGGCUGGCAGGGUGACCAAUUCUUGUGUGGGUUCCUCGGGUUGCUUGCUUGGCUCGGUGUCUCCUUACCAUUUAACAGACCAUUUGAACAACUGUUCAACAUCAAGCACCCAUCCUUGCCAGUAUGUUCGUGGCUUGCUGGUUGCUUUCAUCCAGGACAUAGUGAGAUUCUAAGCACUCAAAUCGAGCCGACAUGGUUUUCACCGGGUUGCGAUACACAGUCAUCUUUGGGUCCUUUGCAACGAAGUCGAUGUUUACCUAAGAGAUUGCGAGGUUGUAGUCACCUCGGACCUCAAGACCCCUUACGCCCAUGAAGACCACUAGUAGAAAAGGGGGCAAUGGUCCAGGUCGGGUCAGCUCAUUAGUCCCGGUUCAAUGCAGAACCGGGACCAAUGGGGGCAUUGGACCCGGUUUGUGAGCCCGGGGGCCGGCCGGGCCACGUGGGACAUUGGUCCCGGUUGGUGGGACGAACCGGGACCAAUGUGCCUUGCUCCUGGCCCACCACCAUUGGUCCCGGUUGGUGGCAUGAACCGGGACCAAAGGCUUCCCUUUCGUCCCGGUUCAAGCCACGAACCCAGACCAAUUAAUUGCCUAUAUAUACCCCUCGCCUGCGAGCAGAGCACUCUCACUGCUCUGUUUUUCGUGGCCGGCGAGGAGAGAGCUUUGUGGUGCUCUAGCUCACCUCCUAUGCACACGAGGUGUUCGAUUGAAUGCCCGAGGCACACUACUUAAGCUUUCUCCUCUCCAAGCUCGACCUCCAAGCUCCAUUUUCCUCAAUAUUUGUCUAGGUUUAGCGGUCCGUCACGUCCCGUCCCCGUCUUCACCGCUGUCGAUCGCCCGCGCCGAUCUCGUCGCCGGCACCACCGUGCUGAGCCUCUUGUUCUUAUCUUCUUUCUGAAAGGAAAAAAAAAUUCUUACUUGUAUGUUUAUAUAGAUACUUGUAUAAUUUUCUUACUUUUAUUAUUGCAUCUUAUAUAGUGCGAUGGUUUUGGUAUCCGCCCCCGUCGGCCCUCGUCCUGUCUAUGAUUCGGAUGUGGUAUAUAUUAUCUUUUCAUAACUAUUGGUUCAUUUAUUGUUUAUGACAAUUAUGCCGACCAACGUGACAUAGAUUUUAUUUAUCUAGGAGGUUGUUGAACCGGAAAUUCCAACCGACCCUAUUGUCGAGAGGUUAAAUUUAGUUGAAGAAGAAAACAAUUUGUUGAAGGAAAAAAUUAGAAAAAUUGAGGAGGAGAAGAUGAUAUUGGAGUUGCAUGUUGCGGAUGUCGUCGAUGAUCACAAGAUCAAGAUGGAUGCAAUGCGCUUGAAGAUUACAAAGAUUAGAAAAUAUGCCAUUCAUACCGAGGCUUGGUAUCAUUAUGCCGUUGGAUCAGUUGUUACAUUGGUUGCGAUUAUGAUCGCAUUUGUUUUCGCAUUGAAAUGUUUUACAUAGUUUCAAUGUAUGGUUUAAUUAAUUUAGAUGCUCUGCAGAGCUUUAUGUUGUUAGAUGAGAACUAUGUAUGUACUUUGGUUUUUAUGUGAUGAUGAACUUCUAUUAAUUUGGUCACUUAAUUAUCUAUUCAUGAUGUUCUGUAAUGAUUUUUGACACACUUAAUUAUAUAUAAUGCACGCAGAUGAACCGGCAAUGGAUGUACGGUGACAGACACACCUCCGAGUACAUUAAGGGCGUGCAUGAAUUUCUCGAAGUGGCUGAGGCAAACAAGCAGAAUGGUUUUAUGUAUUGUCCAUGCCCUAUAUGUGGGAAUACGAAGUCUUACUCUGACCGGAAAAUCCUUCACACCCACCUGCUUUACAAGGGUUUCAUGCCACACUAUAAUGUUUGGACGAGGCACGGAGAAAUAGGGGUUAUGAUGGAAGACGGCGAAGAAGAAAAGUACGAUGACAACUAUGUGCCCCCUGAAUACGGUGAUGCUACUGAAGAUCAAGAGGAACCAGACGAUGUGCACGAUGAUGCUGCAACAGGCGAAGCUGCUGAAGAUCAAGAGGAACCAGACGAUGUGCCCGAUAAUGAUGAUCUCCGCCGGGUCAUUGCCGAUGCAAGGACGCAAUGCGAAAGUCAAAAGGAGAAGCUGGAGUUCGAUCGCAUGUUAGAGGACCACAAAAAAGGGUUGUACCCCAAUUGCGAAGAUGGCAACAUAAAGCUCGGUAUCGCACUAGAAUUGUUGCAGUGGAAGGCAGAGAAUGCUGUGCCUGACAAAGGAUUUGAGAAGCUACUGAAAAUAUUUAAGAAGAAGCUUCGAAAGGAUAACGAAUUGCCCAACAGUACAUACGCAGCAAAGAAGGUCGUAUGCCCUCUAGGAUUGGAGGUGCAGAAGAUACAUGCGUGCCCUAGUGACUGCAUCCUCUACCGCGGUGCGUACAAGGAUCUGAACGCAUGCCCGGUAUGCGGUGCAUUACGGUAUGAGAUCAGACGAGAUGACCCUGGUGAUGUUGACGGCGAGCCCCCCAGAAGAGGGUUCCUGCGAAGGUGAUGUGGUAUGCUCCUAUAAUACCACGGUUGAAACGUCUGUUCAGAAACGGAGAGCAUGCCAAGUUGAUGCGAUGGCACAGUGAGGACCGUAAGAAAGACGGGAAGUUGAGAGCACCCGCUGAAGGGCCGCAGUGGAGAAAAAUCGAGAGAAAGUACUGGGAUGAGUUGGCAAGUGACCCAAGGAAUGUAUGGUUUUCUUUAAGUGCGGAUGGCAUUAAUCCUUUCGGGGAGCAGAGCAGCAAUCACAGCACCUGGCCCGUGACUCUAUGUAUGUAUAACUUUCUUCCUUGGAUGUGCAUGAAGAGGAAGUUCAUUAUGAUGCCAGUUCUCAUCCAAGGCCCUAACCGACCCGGCAACGACAUUGAUGUGUACCUAAGGCCAUUAGUUGAAGAACUUUUACAGCUGUGGAAUGGAAACGGUGCACGUACGUGGGAUGAGCACAAACAGGAGGAAUUUCACCUAAAGGCGUUGCUGUUCGUGACCAUCAAUGAUUGGCCCGCUCUCAGUAACCUUUCAGGACAGACAAACAAGGGAUACUACGCAUGCACGCACUGUUUACUUGACACCGAUAGUAUAUACCUGGGAAGCUGCAGGAAGAAUGUGUACCUGGGCCAUCGUCGAUUUCUUCCGACCAACCAUCAAUGUCGAAAGAAAGGCAAGCAUUUCAAAGGCGAGGCAGAUCACCGGAGGAAGCCCGCCAUGCGUACCGGUGAUCAGGUACUUGCUAUGGUCAAUGAUUUACACGUAAUCUUUGGAAAGGGUCCCGGCGGACUAGCUGUUCCGAGUGAUGCUGGGGGACACGCACCCAUGUGGAAGAAGAAAUCUAUAUUUUGGGACCUACCCUACUGGAAAUACCUAGAGGUCCGCUCUUCGAUCGACGUGAUGCACAUGAUGAAGAACCUUUGCGUGAACCUGCUAGCCUUCUUGGGCGUGUAUGGGAAGACAAAAGAUACAGCUGAGGCACGGGAGGACAUGCAAUGUUUGCACGAAAAAGACGGCAUGCCUCCAAAGCAGUAUGAAGGUCCUGCCAGUUAUGCUCUUACCAAAGAAGAGAAGGAAAUCUUCUUUGAAUGCCUACUUAGUAUGAAGGUCCCGACUGGCUUCUUGUUGAAUAUAAAAGGAAUAAUAAAUAUGUCAGAGAAAAAGUUUCAGAACCUAAAGUCUCAUGACUGCCACGUGAUUAUGACGCAACUGCUUCCGGUUGCAUUGAGGGGGCUUCUACCGGAAAACGUCCGAUUAGCCAUUGUGAAGCUAUGUGCAUUCCUCAAUGCAUUCUCUCAAAAGGUGCUCGAUCCAGAAAUCAUACCAAGGCUAAGAAGUGAUGUGGUGCAAUGUCUUGUCAGUUUCGAGCUGGUGUUCCCACCAUCCUUCUUCAAUAUCAUGACGCACGUCCUAGUUCAUCUAGUUGACGAGAUUUUCAUUCUGGGCCCCGUAUUUCUACACAAUAUGUACCCCUUUGAGAGGUUCAUGGGAGUCCUAAAGAAAUAUGUCCAUAACCGUGCUAGGACAGAGGGAAGCAUCUCCAUUGGCCAUCAAACAGAGGAUGUCAUCGGGUUUUGUGUUGACUUCAUUCCUGGCCUUAAGAAGAUAGGUCUCCCUCAAUCACGGUAUGAGGGGAGACUGACUGGAAAAGGCACGCUUGGAAGGGACACAAUAAUAUGCAGGGACGGAUAUUCUUGGUCUCAAGCACGCUACACAGUUCUACAGAACUCUACCUUGGUGACCCCGUAUGUCGAUGAACACAAGAAUAGUCUGCGCUCCAAACACCCAGAGCAGUGCGACGACUGGAUUACAUGUGAACACAUCAGGACUUUCAGCAGUUGGUUGGAAGCACGUCUCAGAGGUGACAACAUUGUUUGUGAUGAGCUGUACUUGUUGUCCAGGGGACCAUUUUCGACUGUUACGAUUUGGAAAGGAUACGAGAUAAAUGGGAAUACGUUUUACACGAUUGACCAAGAUCAAAAGAGCACCAACCAAAACAGCGGUGUCCGCUUUGAUGCAACAACCGAGAGGGGAAAGGACACAUAUGAUGGUUACAUAGUGGAUAUAUGGGAACUUGACUACGGACAUGAUUUUAGGGUACCUUUGUUUAAGUGCAAAUGGGUCAAUCUGUCAGGAGGCGGGGUACAGGUAGACCCACAGUACGGAAUGACAACAGUGGAUCUGAUGGGUACACUGACGAACCGUUCGUCCUAGCCAAUGAUGUGGCACAGGUUAUGUAUGUGAAGGACAUGUCUACCAGACCGAGAAAAAGAAAAGUAAAGGAAGCGAAUACAUCAUACGAUGAGCCAAAGCGCCACAUAGUUCUUUCAGGAAAAAGGGACAACGUGGGAGUGGAGGGCAAGACAGACAUAUCUGAAGAUUAUGAAAAGUUUCAUGAAAUUCCUCCCUUAAAAGUCAAGGCUGACCCCAGCAUCCUGAUAAGCGAUGAAGAUUAUCCAUGGUUACGGUGCAAUAAGCAAAUGACACAAGCGAAGAAAAAGUGAAGACUUUCUCCCGCAACUAUUAUGAUGAUAGCAUGCCAACUUUGUAACACACGAGUAUGAUACCAUUGUCCGUUUUGUACAUGCACAUGCUAUGUGGGUGAAUUUAUAUGAUACCAUGCCAACUUUCAACUUUUUCAUAGUUCAUUUGAAAUGCUUUAAUGUCUUAUGGUUCGGCCCUUGUAAUAAUUAAAAUAGCAACAAUAAGUAUUUUGUUGUAAGUAGAAACAAAAUAAAAUAAAUAAAGCAAGAAAAAAACAAAAAAGUGUUUUCAAAUCUGAAAACUAAUGGCACUAACAGAAAGUUUAUAAUUUUUCUAAAACUAAAAGCAAAAAGAAUUAAAAAAUACAGCAAAAAACAAAAGAAAAUAAAUAAUGCAGAAAACAAAACAAAAAAACAAUUAAAAAUAGCAACAAUAAGUAUUUUGUUGUAUGUACAAACAAAAAAAAUAAAGUAAGAAAGAAAACAAAAAAAUAAAAAAAGUGUUUUCAAAUUUGAAAACUAAUGGCACUAACAGAAAGUUUAUAAUUUUUCUAAAACUAAAAGCAAAAAGAACUAAAAAAUAAAGCAAAAAACAAAAGAAAAUAAAUAAUGCAGAAAAGAAACAAAAUAACUGGAAAAUAAUUAAAAAUAGCAACAAUAAGUAUUUUGUUGUAAGCAGAAACAAAAUAAAAUGAAUAAAGCAAGAAAGAAAACAAAAAAAUUGCCUCCUACUGGGCCCCCACGGCCUGAAUACGACUAGAAACCCUACCAUGGGCCAGGAUUUAGGCUCGCAGUAGGCCCAGAAGGACCAUCAAGCAAAGCAGUAGCAAAUAGGCCUGCAAGCCUACGGUGGAGAGGAGCUCGAGAGGGGUGCGGCAGUGGGGCUUAUAAACCACUGCGCGCCCCUCUCAACUAGCGAGGUGGGACUAAACUUUGGCCCCGACGCUGGGAGCACAGGUUCCUUUGGUACCGAUUGGUGGCACCAACCGGUACCAAUGCCCACCCUCUAGUCCCGGUUGGUGCCACCAACCGGUACCAAAGGUCGCCGCUUCCCGCACUUUGGGCUGCUGAAAAGAGGCCUUUGGUCCCGGUUGGUGGUACCAACCGGGACUAAAGGGGGCAUUAGUCCCGGUUGGCCUCACCAACCUGGACGAAUGCCCUUGAUAUAUAUACAACACUUAGGAUAAUUUGACGAACACAUCGCCAGCUGCCCCCGGCCCGCCCGACGACGCCGAGCUCAUCGACGCCGCCAGGCUACCAAGAUCGACGCCGUCCGCUGCCCCGACACCGCCCACCGCCCAGAAGCCGUCCGCGCGCCCUCGUCGUCGCCCCUGCCCCGUCGCUGCCAGGCGCUACCCCCACGCCACCCCCAGCCGCCCCCGCCGACGCCGUCCGCGCGCCGGCCCCCGUCGUCGCCCCUGCCCCGUCGCCGCCANNNNNNNNNNNNNNNNNNNNNNNNNNNNNNNNNNNNNNNNNNNNNNNNNNNNNNNNNNNNNNNNNNNNNNNNNNNNNNNNNNNNNNNNNNNNNNNNNNNNNNNNNNNNNNNNNNNNNNNNNNNNNNNNNNNNNNNNNNNNNNNNNNNNNNNNNNNNNNNNNNNNNNNNNNNNNNNNNNNNNNNNNNNNNNNNNNNNNNNNNNNNNNNNNNNNNNNNNNNNNNNNNNNNNNNNNNNNNNNNNNNNNNNNNNNNNNNNNNNNNNNNNNNNNNNNNNNNNNNNNNNNNNNNNNNNNNNNNNNNNNNNNNNNNNNNNNNNNNNNNNNNNNNNNNNNNNNNNNNNNNNNNNNNNNNNNNNNNNNNNNNNNNNNNNNNNNNNNNNNNNNNNNNNNNNNNNNNNNNNNNNNNNNNNNNNNNNNNNNNNNNNNNNNNNNNNNNNNNNNNNNNNNNNNNNNNNNNNNNNNNNNNNNNNNNNNNNNNNNNNNNNNNNNNNNNNNNNNNNNNNNNNNNNNNNNNNNNNNNNNNNNNNNNNNNNNNNNNNNNNNNNNNNNNNNNNNNNNNNNNNNNNNNNNNNNNNNNNNNNNNNNNNNNNNNNNNNNNNNNNNNNNNNNNNNNNNNNNNNNNNNNNNNNNCCGACGCCCUCGCCGCCGCCGCCGUCGCCCUCGCCGGCCGCCCCCGUUGUGAGCCACCGCCGUCGAGGCCCUGUGUUCAGUGCUUUUUUUCAUACAUACAUGUGUAUUUUUUUGUUCAUUGCAUUUUUUCAUAUAUAUAAUUAAUGUAUAUAUGUAUGUGGUAGCUAUAUGAUGAAUGGAUGUGGCUAUGUAUGUAUGAAUAUAAUGUUCAUAGCAUUUUUUUGUUUAUAUAUGUUUUUUCAUAUAUGUAUUAAUUUUUUAUUUAGGUUGUUAGUAGAUAUCGAUUUUAGGUUAGUGCAUUUUAAUUAGGUUAGUGUAGAGGAAAAAGUAAAAUAAGGAAAAGGAAGAAAAGAGGAAGAAGGAAGAAGAAGAAGAAAAAGAAUGAGAGGAAAAAGGAAAAUAAGAAGAGGAAGAAAGGAGAAGAAGAGGAGAGGAAAAUAAGAGGAGAAAUAAAUAAGAAGAAGAAAAAAGAAGAAAAAGAAGAGGAGAAGAAGAAAGGAAUAGAGAAGAAGAAAAAAUAGAAAAUUCUAUUUUUUUCUUCUUCUCCUCUUUUUUUGCUUUUUUUUCUUCAAUCUUCUCCUCUAUUCCUUUCUUUUUCUCCUCUUUUUAUUUCUUCUUCGUUUUCUUAUGUUUUAUCGGGUCUGUCGCCGUCAGGCUGCUCACCUUCGCCCUCGCCGCCCCCUCGAGAUAACUUCGACAUGAGGGGAAGUCGAUAUAUAUACCCCCUCUCGACCGUGAUAACCUAUACAACAACAGCACCCCCCUCGGCCCUCUCGCUCGACCAAAACUCUCGAGGCCACCCAAAUUUACCAUGUUAAAGGAGGAUUGUCGUCAAGGCCACCCCAAACCCUUGAAGCGUUGUGUCGAGGCGAUCCCAAACCCUAGAGAAGCAGCGUCGAGGCCACUAACAUGAUUCCUUAUUGUGAUUAGCUAGCUAGUUCUACGUUUGCCACUAAUAUAUAUCCAUCUGUACCAUGUUUGAAUAAUAAUUGAUAUGUUGUAAAUAUUUGCAGAAACUAUGGAGCACUGCCGAGACGAAGCAACAGAAGCGAUGUUGGGGCAGAUGAUUGCAGAAGAAACUGAUGUCAUCGCGUCAUUUUUCAACGACAUCGUUGGUUAGGAAGGACUGGGUGAAGAAGAGGGCUAUGUUCAUGAUGGCUCCGGCCCAUUAAUGCCGGUACAAGAAGAGGGCUAUGUUCAUGAUGGCUCUGGUGAUGACCCAAUGGAGGUACAAGAAGGAGACCGUGCUGACUACUCCGGUGACCGAACCGAGUCCGCGCAGGUAUAUAUAUAUAUAUAUUAGUUAAGCCCGUGCUUACUAGUUAAUUGAUGCAUUCAUUGUUUUGGUAUAUGUACACAUAUUAAUUACUAUCGUCUUUCUUCCUUUUAAUUUCCAGUCCUCCGGAUCGAGCACAACUUCGGUAAGGAGACGAGGCCCCAAGAAAAAGUUGACCUCGGAUGAAAGGUUUGAGAUCAUAGAAAUCACACCCGACGGUGAACCGAUUGAACCCAUCCGGACAAAGAACGCAUAUUCUGCUCAGUGCGGGGUUCUUGUUAGGGACAAGAUCCCGAUCAGCAUCCAGCAAUGGUAUAAGCCUAAGGACGACCCUGAGGUGUCUUAUGUCAAUGAUAUGCAGAAAGAAGAUCUUUGGACUCAGGUGAAGGAAAAUUUCACCCUACCAACAGAGGAGGAUCCGGAGAAGCCAGUUAAAGAGCAAUUAAUCAAGUCUUGUGCUCUUAAGAAGAUGACAACCCUAUUCAGGAGGUGGAGGAAAGAGUUGAACCAUUUUGUCGAAAAAAACACCAGAAUUCAUCGGCAAAUAUGAGAAGAUCAAAGAUCAUUGGACCGCAUUUGUGGCCCACAAGACAUCGGAAAAUUGUAAGAAGAUGUCGGCGACGAACAAGCAAAAUGCUGCGAAGAAGAAGCUUCACCAUCGCACGGGAUCAGAUGGCUACCUCAAAGCCCAGCCUAAGUGGUCCAAGGAGGAGAAUGAUCUGCUUGAAAAAGGGAUCGAACCAGUGACAAUGAGAUGGCCAGACCGUUGCCGGACUUGGUACUUCGGGGCUGGCGGAACCUUGGACCCUGUAUCAGGGAUGUGCCGUUGGACGGACGAGCAACUAGAAAGAACCUUCGACACUAUAUCAAUGCAGCGCAGAAAGGGACGUUCGUACCAGACAGGGAGAAGGACGAGCUCACAAUGGCCCUCGGGAAUCCUGAGCACCCUGGACGGACACGAGGCACGCCAGGCUCCAUUCCGUGGAAGGUUGGCUUUCCGGACGCAGGGGGUUACAAAACCCACGAGAGGAGGAAGAAACUGGAGCAGGGCCAACUGCAGGCGCUGCACGAAAGGGUAAUGGGGCUAGAGGAACAAGAAGAGGAACGAGAAGCAGCAGAUCAUAGCAAACGACCUGCCGAAGCUUCCCCCGAAGCUACCCCGCCAUCUCAGCGGAGAAGCAGCGUGGUUUCCACCGAGCUGCUUCAGCCGGAGCAUGUCUUGACGGCUCCUGCCAGCUAUCCCAUGGAUGCUAUCAUGGAGUCUCAACAUUGCCACAUUAUGGCACGAUGGAUGAAUUUGAAGGUCAAGGCGGCUGUUGGCUCUGUUUAUCCUAGUGGAUCCGGAGCAACUUAUCACUGACGUCCGAUUCCAAAAGGAUAUGCUAAGGUAAUGGUGGAUGAAAUAACGGAGGGAUUUGAGGACCUCGUGCUUGACCACCCUACCGGUGAAGGGGAGACUAGGCUGGGUUCUGCUCUCAAGACUCCAUGCCUAUGGCGGAAGGAGCUCAUCAACCUUCCGAACUGGACGCCUCCGCCUCCUCCUCCUCCUCCGGCGAGUCAGGGCACUCCGCCUCCUCCACCGCCUCCUCCUCCGGCGAGUGACGAUCAGGGCACACGUGGCGGCACUCCGCCUCCUUCUCCAGCGCGUGGCGGCACUCCGCCUCCUUCUCCGCUCGCGCCGGCGCUCCCGAGCAGCCAGCAGCCUCCUCCUUCUCCGCCUCGCCAGCAAGGUCGGAAGAGACCCGCCGCCGCCCCGGUUGCUCCGGCGCGUCGUACUCCUUCUCCUCUGCCUCGUAAGCAAGCACGAAAGAAGACAGAUGCUGCAGCCACUCCGUCUGCUCCGGCGUCUAGCAGCACAACCAGAGGCAGGAGGGAAUACAGAUACGGUCCACCUCUCAAGCCUCUAGAGAAGUUACCGUACGAGAGGACCACGGAGGAAAACGAUACGAUUGUGCGGACCCACGUGAAGGAGUUCUUUGAAGGGGUGAAAGCAAAGAGACAUCCACCUCCGGAGGAGAAGGUAGAUCCGGUGAAAGCAAAGCGCACUAUCGAUGCCCUGAGGAAACCACCAAAGUCUCCGCCGAGAACCAACUAUGAGCGCAUUACUGAACAAACAUAUCUCCAAGCCCAGCGGUCGGUAACUACUGUCAGUGCUAAAAGGUUAAAAGAACGAGCAAAGGGGAAAAAUUGCCCAGCUCGGCGAACAAGCACAGCAAUCGUGCCCCCCGCUCGAUGUGUCUAAUGCUUUGGGGACGGUGGCCGGUUAUGGCAAUCUUGCAGAUUAUCUGCCUGAUGAUCAACUUCCUAAUUUCUUGGAGGUGGACGAACACAGAUACGAGUACGGGAAGCCUCUCGUCAAAGAUGAAAAAUCUCUGACAACAAUGAUGCGAAGAUUACAUAAUUGGUACAUGGAAACCUACAGAGUCUGGGGGUACGAAUGCUUUAUCUGAAUAUUAAAGAGGAGCAUACCUCGUUGCAAAUGAUCUGUUGACUGUUCCAUUUGAUGAGUUCUUUGUGUUCUUCAAUCAAAAGGCCCUCGAUAAACUAAUGGUCUUUUGCUACUGUCUGUAAGUACUAUUUCUGUCAUUAAGUCUCUAUAUAUAGCUCGGCUCUUUCAUUUCAUGUAUUUAUAAUUAAUUAUCCUCAAUAUAUUAUGCAGAUUGAAGAUCGUCGAGUGCAAAAAACAAGAUAUUUAUGAUAUUGGGUUCAUUAACACAAAUAUCAUAGAUGAAUUUCUGGUUAAAAAGGACGUCAAAGAGGCCGAGGACAACUUGCUACAAUCGUUGAUCAAAAAUCAAAACAAAGAUACCAUACUCUUUCCUUACAAUGGCAAGUGAGUGUUACUGUCGUGUGCAUAUUCGGUUUCCCUUAUUACUCGAUCGAGUAAUUGAUGAGUUAUGCAUGCGUGCGCAGGUACCACUAUAUUCUUAUGGAGAUUAAGCUUGAGCGUGGACUAGUAACCGUCUUAGACUCGAGACGGAAAGAUCCCAAAACCUAUGCGGACAUGACUGAAAUGCUCGGCAACUUUUUGUUCAUUUCCUGAUAUCUCAAGUAAUAAUAAUUAUUUUCUUUGUCUUGCAGGGUUUGGAAACAGUUCACCACACAAGCUCCGGGACUGCCGAAGGAGCUGCGAUAUACAUACCCGAAAGUAAGUACUACUGGCUAGCUAUUUGCGCGCAUCUCCCGUUGAUUCUAUAGCUAUACUUUCAUCAAUGCCAUUUAUAAUGCUUCAUUAUCAGUUUGAUUGACCUCUAUUUCUCGUAAAGUGCUUGUGGCAGGAAGAAGGGAAUGAUUUCUGUGGAUACAACGUGUGCGAGUUCAUCCACAACGCGACUUUGAAAAACAAGCGGGGCUACUCCCAAACACAAUAUGAAGGGCGUAAGCAAUAAUAUUCACAAUUUCAUUUUAUUACACCAUCAUUUCUGUUGAGUUUCAUUCAUAUAUAUGUAUUAAUUAACCCCCUUCUUCAAAUUAGACGUGGCAGAUGCGGAAUGAACUCCUAGAACCAGAUCACAUGAAAGCAAUUCAAGAGGAAUUGGCGGGAUUCUUUCUUGACCACGUCAUCAAUAAAGCUGGAGAAUACCAUGUGGAAAUUGAUUUCAAUUGCUAGGGGAUUGUAAUUAAGAGAUCUUAUACAUAUUGUACAUGUAUGUAGCCAGUAGCGUCGGAUACAUGAUAUAUGAAAACUUGUUGUUCGACCAAUCUCUCGGAGAAGGAGAGGUCGAUCGAUCACUUCUCUCGGUAUGCAUGACGAACUUCUGUACUCAAUGGUUCUCUCGAUCACUUAUGUAUAUAUAGUACGUAGCAUCGACCAAGCACGGACAUAAGAGAGGACACUUCUCUCUAUUAAUUAGCUAGCUAACACAAUAUAUGAAACACCUAAAUUAACCCCCCAAAACCCCCAACCCUCCCUCCUUUCAAAAAAAACAAAAACCCUAGCCACUGGAAGGCUGACGCGUGGAUGCCUUUUGGUCCCGGUUGGUACCACCAACCGGGACCAAAGGCCCCCUGACUAGGCUCGGCGCGCAGGGCCACGUGGAGGCACAUUGGUCCCAGUUCGUGUUUGAACCGGGACUAAUGGAUGGAGGUAUUAGUAACGACCCAUUAGUCCCGGUUCAUGAACCGGGACUAAAGGCCCGUACGAACCGGGACUAUUAGGUGUUUUUCUACUAGUGGACAACCAUCUGAAGUCCAUGAAGCCGUGCUUCAUACUCCGCCCCCUUGUUGGAGUUGGUUUACAUGAUCUGGAGCACAUACUUCACGGUGUCAUUGGUGGCUGAGGUGAGGACUACCCCAGCCCCUAGUCCAGCGAGCAUUUUGGAUCCGUCAAAAUACAUCACCUAAUGUGUAUAAGCCGCAUGCUCCCUAUGUAGCUCGACCUCUGUCCAUUUUGGAAAGAAGUCGCCCAACACUUGGGAUUUAAUAGCCCGACAUGGUCCAUAUAUAACCCCAAAAAGGAGGAGCUCAACUAUAUUACCUAGUUUCUAUUGGUAAUUGGAGCAGUGUCCAAAAUAGAUUAAUGUAAAACAAGUUUCCCCCCCUAAAAAAAUAUAUAUACAACAAGGUCUCUACUAUAAUGCACUUCUGUUUUUCUGCUAUAGUUUUGGACAACUCUAAAUAUCAUUACAAUUGGUAUUUGGGAACCAUUUAUCUGGCCCACCCUGUAGGUAUACUUGAACUAAGACCUAUUUUUUAAAUGUUGGCAGGAGGAGGUAUUAGAAGGAGGUAUUAGAAGGAGGUAUUAGAAGAACACGCAGGCCAAGUCCAUUUAUCAGAAGAACUAAGACCUAUUUUUCUGCUAUACUUGAACUAAGGCCAAGUCCAUUUAUCAGAAGGAGGUAUUAGAAGAACACCUCCAGAGGAGAAAAGCACCAUAAAAACUAUAACCAUUAUUAUUUGCUCUAGUGUUAUGUUAUUAUGUGACCUCACAAUAUUUCAAUACAAAAUACGAUUUUUACUGUCAUCAAUCACGUUAAUUAGGAAUAUGUUAGUUUCCUUGUACUCGAGUGCUCUUAAAUAUGGUAGGAAUGUACUAUUAAUCCAUACUUUCCAGUUCUGGUGUUCCCUGUUUUCUCUUAACUUUUACCAAAUAUGAGUAUUGGAUGGCCUAUUAGCUCUCGUAGGUGACUUAUUAAGUCUUAUCAAUGAGUUAUUACCUCAUUUAAUCUAGGCCCUCGGAUUUUAAAUGUUGGACCACCAAUAAUAGUUGGGACCAACUUAAAACUUGUCUGGCAUCUUAGGCUAGCCAUAGUGGGGGUAACAUAAGUAGUAUCAUGCACUUAGACUGCUCACAGUGGGGAGUAACAUAGAGUAGUAACUUACCGAUGUUACUAGUCUAUGUUACUACCUCCAUAGUGGAUAGUAACAUAUGAGUGGUAUCAUGAAAGAGUUCAUUUAUUAGGCUAUAGACUCAUUAUGUUUUGAAAUGUGUGAUGUUACAAUAACUAGCUAAGUUACUACAAACCCCUCUCUCCUCAUUAAUUAGCUGCCACAUAAGCAAUCUUGUAUUGAAAUGUGUGAUGUUACUAGUUAAGCUACUCCCAUUGUGACUAGUCUUAGGACUCGCAAACAUGCUUAUGUGGCAGGCAAUUAAAGAAGAGAGAGAUGGUCAUAGUAACAUAGGCAGAUACUGUAACAUAAUGAAUGUUAUGCUACUAAUCUAUGAUACUAUGCAUGGCAAUAAAUGAGGCCACCCUAUGAUACUAUGCACUAUGGAGAUAGUAUCAUACACUAGUAUCAUAUGCAUGAUACUAGUAUAUGAUACAUCCCACUAUGACCAGCCUUAGCGGAAGGAAGCGACAAUAAAAUUUGUAGUUGCUAUUAAUAAUAUGUGGUACAUUGAAGAAAAUAAGAUGUAAAACUUUUGACAAGGGAGGGGUGAUGACGUCUUGUAGUCAUUGCUAGGUGGACUACAGACAUAGAUGCAAUUUUUUACUUAUGAUGUUCUUUGUAUUAUAUUACUUGUUGAUAAAUAAAUCAAAAGUUUUUUGAAAAAUUCUUUUUGUAAAUAAUAAAAGAGAAAAUAUAAAUAAAUUUGUAGUUGCUAUCAAUAAUCCAUGGUAUGAUGAAGGAAAAAAGAUGUAAACUUUUUGACGAAGGAGGGGCAGCGGCUGCAGCGUGCUAGACUGUUUGUAGUCGUUGCUAGGUGGUCUUCAAGCGUAGGUGUAGUUUUUUUUACUUAUGGUGUUCUUUGUAUUAUAUUACUUGACAAUUGAUAUAUAGAUCAAAAGAUUUUCGUAAAAAAAUCUUAUUGUGAAGAAUAAAAGAGAAAAAACUAAAAUUUCCAAUUGCUAUUAAUAAUUUGUGGUACGAUGAAGAAACAAAAUGUAAUUUUUUUAAAAGGAAUAGGCUAUGACGGGCUGACACCGACACGCUACAGUGCUUGUAGUCGUCGCAACCUAGAUGUAAUUUCUACUUAUGGUUUUCCUUGUAUUACUUGUCAUUUUUUCGAAACAACAAUCUUAUUGUAAAGAACAAAAUAGAUAAGAAAGAAUUACUUGCGUAUCAAAUAAGAAUGAAGUGGCUUUGUCAAUGGUGCAAUAACUACCAUAAUCUCAUGGGCCCAGGAGGUUUCUUCGAGCAUCGAGCCCCCACUCUCACCUUGUCUGCCUCUACGGUUGGGAGGAUGAUCAAUUCUUUUGUGGGUUCCUUGGGUUGCUUGCUUGGCUCGGUGUCUCCUUGCCAUUUAAUAGACGGUUUGAACAACUGUUCCACGCCGAGAACCCAUCCUUGCUAGUAUGUUCGUGGCUUGGUUGCUUUUCCUCGUGGACAUAGUGAGAUUCUAAGCGCUAAAAUCAAGCCGACAUGGUUAUGACCGUGUUGUGAUACACAAUCAUCUUUGGGUCCUUUGAAUCAAGUCGCCGUUUAUCUAAGAGAUUGCGAGAUUGUUGUCGCCUCGGACCUGAAGACGCUGUAUGCCCAUGGAGACGGCCAUGGAGACGUAGAUGCAAUUUUUUACUUAUGGUGUUCUUUGUAUUGUAUUACUUGUUGAUAACUAAAUCAAAAGUUUUUUGAAAAGAUCUUUUUGUAAAUAAUAAAAGAGAAAAUAAAAAUAAAAUUUGUAGUUGCUAUCAACAAUCUGUGGUAUGAUCAAGGAAAAAAGAUGUAAACUUUUUGACGAGGGAGGGGCGAUGGUUGCGGCGUGCUAGAGUGCUCGUAGUCGUUGCUAGAUGGCCUACAAACGUAAGUGCAAUUUUUUUUACUUAUGGUGUUCUUUGUAUUAUAUUACUUCACAGUUGAUAAAUAGAUCAAAAGAUUUUUGUAAAAAAGAUCUUAUUGUGAAGAAUAAAAGAGAAAAAAAACUUAAAUUUCCAGUUGCUAUUAAUAAUUUGUAGUACGAUGAAGGAAAAAGAUGUAAUUAUUUUAAAAGGAAUGGGCAAUGACGGGCUGACGGCGACACGCUACAGUGCUUGUAGUCGUCGCAACCUAGAUGUAAUUUCUACUUAUGGUUUUCUUUGUAUUACAUGUCAUUUUUUCGAAACAACAAUGUUAUUGUAAAGAACAAAAUAGAAAAGAAAGAAUUACUUGCGUAUCAAAUAAGAAUGAAGUGGCUUUGUCCAUGGUGCAAUAACUACCAUAAUCUCAUGGGCCCAGGAGGUUUCUUCGAGCAUCGAGCCCCCACUCUCACCUUGUCUGCCUCUACGGCUGGGAGGAUGAUCAAUUCUUUUGUGGGUUCCUUGGGUUGCUUGCUUGGCUCGGUGUCUCCUUGCCAUUUUACAGACGGUCUCAACAACUGUUCCACGCCGAGCACCCAUCCUUGCCAGUAUGUUCGUGGCUUGGUUUCUUUUCAUCGUGGACAUAGUGAGAUUCUAAGCGCUAAAAUCAAGCCGACAUGGUUAUGACCGUGUUGUGAUACACAAUCAUCUUUGGGUCCUUUGAAUCAAGUCGCCGUUUAUCUAAGAUAUUGCGAGAUUGGAGUCGCCUCGGACCUGAAGUCCUGAGACGGCCAUCCGAAGUCCAUGAAGAAGUGCUUCGUACAUCGCCCCCUUGUUGGAGUUGGUGUACAUGAUCUGGAGCACAUACUUCAUAAUGGUGUCGCUGGUGGGUGAGGUGAGGAUUACCCCAACCCCCAGUUCGGCGAGCAUUUUGGAGCCGUCAAAAUACAUCACCUAAUGGGUAUAAGCCGCAUGCUCUCUAGGUAGCUCGGCCUCUGUCCAUUCUGCGAAUAAGUGGCCCAACACUUGGGAUUUAAUAGCCCGACGUGGUCGAUAUAUAACCCCGAAAAGGAGGAGCUCAACUAUAUUACCUAGUUUCUACCAAACACACACACACACACACACACACACACACACACACACACACACACACACUCACACACACACACACACACAAGUUCUCUAUUACUAUAAUGCUGUUUUUUGUAUUUCUGCUAUAGUUUUGGACAACUCUGAAUAUCAUUACAACUGUUAUCAGGGAACCAUUUAUCUAGUCCACCCUGUAGGUCUACUUGAACUAAGACCUAUUAUUUUUUGAAUGUUGGCUGGAGAACCGCCAAGUCCAUUGAUCAAAAAGAAGUAUUAGAAGAACACCUCCAGAGGAGGAAAGCACUGCAAAAAAUAUAACCGUUAUUAUUUGCUCCAGUGUUACGUUAUUCUGUGACCUCACGAUAUUUCAAUACAAAUCACGAUUUUUAAUGUCAUCAAUCACGUUAAUUAGGAAUAUGCUAGUUUCCUUGUACUCGAGCCUUCUCGAUAUGGUAGGAAUAUACUACUAAUUCAUACUUUUAAAAGGAAUGGGCGAUGACCGCGAUGCACUACAGUGCUUGUAGUUGUCGCGUACUAGAUGUGACUUUUACUUAUGGUUUUCUUUGUAUUACUUGUCUGUUUUUUGAAAAAACAAUCUUAUUGUAAACAACAACAAAAGACUUACUUUACUGAUGUUCAUUGCAUUAUAUUACUUGACAGUUGAUAAAUAGAUCGAAAGUUUUUUGAAAGAUAUUUUUGUAAAGAAUGAACGAGAAAAUAAAAAUAAAUUAUGUGGUUGCUAUUAAUAAUCCGUGGUACGAUGAAGGAGAAAAUAUGUAAAUUUUUUGAGAGGGAAGGGCGAUGGCGGCGGCGUAGGUGUAAUUUUUUACUUAUGGUAAAACGGCCUCGGCAUUGUAUACAAUGAAGAAUGGCGUGUAGCCGGUGGAUCGAUUUGGUCUGGUCCAUAGGCUCCACAACACGGAGAUGAGCUACUCAGCCCACUUAUUGUCGGCUUCCUCUAGAUAUCGAAUCAACUGAGGUUUUAUGCCACUAAGGAUCAUCCCAUUGGCCCACUCAACCAACCCAUUAGUUUGCGGGUGAUAGAUAGAGGCGUAGUCAAGCUUCAUGUUCUGCUUGGGGCAGCUCGUUUUUUACCUCCUCGGCCGUGAAGUUGGAUUUGUUUUGUGUUGUGAUGUUGUGAGGUACUCCACAACGUGUACCAAGCCAGAGAUGAAUUUCUCACUGAUUGGGCUUUAGCCGAGGGCACAUGCUUUGCAUCUAUUCACUUUGUGAACUUGUCGACGAUGACCAGCAAAUAUUUCUUGUUGGUUUGACCUUUAUGGAGUAGUCCGGCCAUAUCAAGUCCCAAGACCGACCAACCGGGUUAUCAGGAUUGUUUUCAAGGUUGUUGGCCCGUCCUGUGGGCCAAUAGAACCUUGUGCGGAAAGCCUUUCUUGCCAAGGUCUUUGUACACCUAAAAAAACCAAGGUCUUUGUAUUAUAUUACUUGACAGUUUAUACAGAGAUCGGAAUUUUUUUUUGAAAAAGAUCUUUUUGUAAAAAAUAAAAGAGAAAAUAGAAAUAAAUUUUGUAGUUGCUAUUAUCAAUCUGUGGUACGAUGAAGGAAAAAAUAUGUAACUUUUUUGACGAGGGAAGGGCGAUGGCGGCGGCGUUGGUGUAAUUUUUUACUUAUCAUGUUCUUUGUAGUGAUUUAAACACUCUUAUAUUAGUUUACGGAGGGAGUACUUGACAGUUGAUAAAUAGAUCAGAAGUUUUUUGUAAAAAGAUCUUAUUGUGAAGAAUAAAAAAGAAAAAAAUUGCAGUUGCUAUUAAUAAUUUGUGGUAUAAUGAAGGAAAAAAUGUAAACAACAAAAGACUUACAUCACUGGUUAGCUAGGCCAGUGAACGCUUCUCUUCCUCAGCAGACCUGAUAGGCCAGGCUUAGCUAGUAUAAGCUAGUCAGGCUCAUUCCUGCGUCGUCGGCGGUGUGGGACUAAAAAACGUGAAACCGAGUGUUGUAGUCGGUGUGCUCUUUAAGCUAGUCAGGUGUAGUCGGUAAUAUUUAUUAGUAGUAUUCUGCCUUACGCUGAACUAUGUACGGACCUUGGACAGCAUGCAUGGGAUAGUGUUGACCAUUUUACAAGACUGGUUUAUUAAACAAUCCUUGUGUUCCUCGUGCUAAAUCCCAUUUACAGAUGUUCACACGGAUUAAUUUGCUCAACUAUAUUACCUAAUUUCUACUGAUAAUUGAAGCAAGUACAAGACCAGCCCGCGAGCAGCACUCGCGCGUCCAUAAAAGUGUCGGACAGCUGGCAACGAUGGCAGAUUAUAAUUGGACAUAAUCCUCGAACAACCACGCGCAAUACACACCGCCACGCCGGAAGAAUCGGCUACCCACAGAAAUAGAAACUGUUGGGUAUUUAAUUAGGUGGCAAAGGCAGACUCUGUGUGCCUCUAAAAGCCUGGCCAACAGGACAAUAACAAACAUGCAUACCCAGGCGGAAGAGCUUGCCCCACCCUGGGGCAAAUACCCGCCCGACUUAAAGGACUUAUACAUGAAGUAGCGGAAGCGAGCUCGCCGAGGGGUUUGCACCACUGAGACUAAGCAGUCAUCGGACAGUCAGUGUUCGUACAUUCCAAUUACGCACAAUCACCGAGACAAUCCGGUGGGAAUCCAUAACAAAGGAGUCGCCACCCUAAUCCUGGACUAUAUAAUCGACGGUUUUCACCUGUCAAAAGUUCUAAUGAACGGUGGAAGUAGUCUUAACAUCAUAUAUGAGGAAACCCUAAAGAACACGCAGUUUAACAAGUCAUGCAUCUUGCCUGAGCAAGACCACUUUUAAAGGCAUAAUUCCAUGCAAGGAGGUGCGCUGCAUGGGGAAAGUCACGUUAGACGUGGUAUUUAGAACUCCAGAUAACUACUGAAUCGAGGCUUUAAGCUUUGACAUGGCUCUGUUUGGAAGUGGUUACCACACACCACUUGGCGGACCAUCCUUCACGUAGUUCCAUGUCAUCCCCCAUUAUGCAUACAUGAAAUUAAAGUUGCUUGGGCCAAAUUGUGUAAUUACAAUCAGCGGCGACCCAGACCGGUCACUCAGAACCGAGGACAUGACCAUAACUUUGGCCAUCAAGGCCCAAUCUGAGGCCUUAACGUGUGAAGAGUUAUCUGAACUACUAGCAAAGGUUGACAAAGAUGAUGUCAUCCUUGCCAAAUGCUCGAAAUUAACAUACUUCAAACCAAGCAACGAGGUUGUCAAGUUCUAGGUCCAUCACAAGUACCUGUCGAAAUCGGACUCCAUCGGAACACGGCUGGAUGCCACACUUGAAGUUGUGGACAAUCAAUCACUGUGUGAAGCAUUCGAGACUUACAUGUGUUUUCGGACUAAGGUGUUUGUACUGGUUCUUGUCGGAUUGGAUGGGAGGCUUGAGCUGAAUUUUUGCCAGGCAUGGUAACUAACUAAUUUUACCAGUGUGACCAAUUUAAAGACAAAAUGGUCAAGAUAGAUAGCAAUUAAAGUACAAAGGUGGAUAUGGUGCCAACAACUAGGGUUAGAUGGUUUGUUCCAUACUUGCACAUGUGGACCAUGUGUUCUGGUGUGGAUAGAGUUCAGAGUAGCAGAGAUAUAUAUCCAGUUCACUACGAGGAGACAGAGGGUGUGUGUGUCUGCGACUAGAGAGAGACAUAUGUGUGUAUGUGUGUGUGAGAGUGAGAGAGAGAGAGAGGCGCCACGGGGAAGUGUGUGUAUGUGUGUGUGAGACUCUGAGUCGCAGAUCUUAGUGUCAAAUCCAAGACAUCACUUUUUUUUCUCUCCCACUCUCACAAAAGACAUUAAUUUAAGGUUGUUUUAGAUACAUCACUAAGAUAUAGGGCACUUUCACUACUAUAUAUGAACAUCUAUUUAAUGUCAUUAGAUAUAGUUUAAGAUAAGACAUAGGACACUCGGACUGAUAUAUCUAAAUAUAUAUUUAAUGUCAUUGGAUAUAUGACUUAAGAUAUAGUGCAAUGGGACUGCCCCAAGAAAGUGCCAAGUUUUCUUAGGCCCAAGAAGGACAUCAUCGUGGAGACGGCCAGCCAAAUUUACAUUAUCUCAUGUACACGCAGAGGGCGAAAGUGCUUGAUUACCGAAAAAGGUUUUUACCUGUUUUUAUACACAAAGCAAAUCGCCAUGAUCCAUACAAAGUUCAAAUAGAGGAUACAAACGCAAGCCCAAACUGCUUUGUUAAAUAGACGCAAGUCUCUAAAUCGCAGUCCAUGAUCUUUUGGUUUCGUCGCUGACCAGGUCAAAAACUGACGUGUGCAGCAUCUGGGUGGUGUAGGGGAUCAAACCACUUAGUUGGUGUAGCGAGUGCGAGUUGCUGAGUGAACAUUCACUCAUUACAGUUUAUGUCUUCAUUUUCCCAACAAAAGCACUAACUACAUGUACUUAUAUCGUUUCUAGAGAACAUUUUCAUUCUUCCAAAAAUGAAAAUAAAAGCACAUUCUCUGUUGUUGUCUAAAUCCUUCCUGCACUACAAAAACCCCAGCCACUGGAAUGCUGACGCGUGGAUGCCUUUUGGUCCCGGUUGGUGCCACCAACCGGGACCAAAGGUCCCCUUACUGGGCUCGGCGCACAGGGCCACGUGGAGGCACAUUGGUCCCGGUUCGUGUUUGAACCGGGACUAAUGGGUGAAGAUAUUAGUAACGACCCAUUAGUCCUAGUUCAUGAACCGGGACUAUUAGGUGUUUUUCUAGUAGUGUAAGGAUCAACAUGACAUGGUAUAGCGCUUUUCGUUUCUUGAAAAAAUCAGAUCGUUCCCCUAUUUCAUCACUAAUUACGCCAAAACUAGGCUAUCGGAGCCGAGAAUCGAGGGCAUGAUCAAUCUACACCAUUUCUGCAAACCGUUUGCCAAACCUAAUACAGAUGCCAUGACUUGUUGGAUCCAAAAAAUGCCAUGACUGCAUUAGUGUAUCCAGAUGCCAUGACUUGGUCGAUCCAGAUGCCAUGACUUAGUGUAACGAGAUGCCGUGACUUGGUGGAUCUAGAUGCCAUGACUUAGUGGAACUCCAUAACGCCGAUCUACCUACUCCUUGUUACGGGUGCACUCGGACGCGAAUGGGAACCAUGCUAGGAAGGCGAUGGGCGUGAACGGGAGGAGCCCCAUGAGGAUCUUAUAGCCCCGGGCGAGGGCCUUUAUAGAUCCCCACAACCCAACCGUCUCGAUCAAAGGCUUGAUCACUUGGGCAAUCUGAAAAAGAGGGUUACACGUGGGGAAAUUAGACCCGAGAUAUAGAGAAACAAAUGGUGUGAAUGAAGAGCAACGUAGGAAUUGUAUGGUAUGGAAACUAACCAAAAGCAGGGCCCAUCCAGUCGGCAUGAAAGCAAGGAUGCAGGCGAAGAUGUCGAGAGCUGGUAUGUCGGUGAUUGCUCUUAAGAUUACGAGGAUGGAGAUGAAUGUUACAAAUAUAAGCCCCUUGAUCAGCCGGAGGACAAGCCAGAACUCCACGCUGAACCUCCUACCAGCGAACACGGUUUGCAACGAAAAAUCAUGACAACUGAGAGUUCCAGCACUUUAUUAUUUACAUUCAUAACAAGCAGCAUAACCACACUUGUAGAAAAUAGGGAAUCAGUCCGGGCUCUAGAGGGAAUUUAGACCAUGUUCUUCAACAGGGACUAAACAAUCAGGACUAAAGGCCCCAACUUUUAGUCCUGGUUAGGUUACGAACCGGAACUAAAGGAGUUCCACGUGGCCGGUGUGGCGCGCCCAGGCAGGAGGACCUUUAGUCCCAGUUGGUAACACCGACCGGGACUAAAAGGCAACCACGCGUCAGCAGCUAGCAUGCGCUGGUUUUUUUUUAAAGGAGGGGUUCAGGGGUUUUGGAGGGUUAAGGGGUUUCAUAUUGUGUUAGCUAGCUACUACAUAUAGAGAGAAGUGACCUCUCUUUCUCUGUGCUUUGUCGACGCUAGCUACUACAUAUAGAGAGAACUCGACGCUAACUAGUAAGCAAUGAAGUAACCAUUAAUUACACAACAUCAUCAUGAUCAAUAUAUAGAGAGAAGUGACCUCUCUUUCUCCGUGCUUGUUGGUUGAACAACAAGUUUUCGUAUAUCUAUUUGACACUACUACGUGUAGUACACAUUGAUGCAUAUAUACAAUAUAACAUCUGUUAUGAUCCCUAACAUCAUCUACCAAAAUCGCGUUCCAAUUUCCGAUGGUAUUCUCCGUCUUUAGGUAUGACGUGGUCAACAAAGGAUCCCGCCAAUUCCCCUUGAAUUGCUCGUAUGCGAUCAUUUGGUAGGAGUUCGUCCCGCUUCCGCCAGAUAAUUUAAAGAAGGGAGUCUCUCUCUCUCUCUCUCUCUCUCUCUCUCUAUAUAUAUAUAUAUAUAUAUAUAUAUAUAUAUAUAUAUAUAUAUAUGAAUGAAACUCAACACAAUUGAUGGUAAUAAAAUAAAAUUCUGAAUAUUGUUUACGUACUUCAAAUUGUUGUUCAGUUAAGCCUCACUCAGAGGUCAAGUGGCGAAUGAAGUCGCAAACAUAGUAUUCACAUAAAUUAUUCCCGGGUGCCUGCCACAAGCACUUUACGAGAAUAGAGUUCAAUCAAAAUGAUAAUCAAUCAUGAUAAUGAUAUUGAAACUAGAAUCAAUGAAAUAUGCACGGAACAAGCUAGUACUACUUACUUUGGGGUGUGAAAAUCGCAGCUCCUUUUUCCAUUCGCCCGGUACCUUGCUGGUGAAAUUUUUCCAAACCCUGCACGGCAAAGAAAAUGAUUACUUGAUAUCAGAAAAUGAACGAAAGUUGCCGAUAUGGUGCAAUAAUGAUUCAACUUACUUCUGGAGCAUUUCACUCAUGUCUACCCACUCCUUCUGCUCUUUACGCCUCGAGUCCAAGACAGUUACUAGUCCCGCGUCAAGUUGAAUGGAUAGCAGAAUAAAGUGGAACAUGCGCACGCAUAACUCCUCAAUUACACUUAACCCUGAGUAAGCGAAACAGAAUAUGCACAAGACAGUAACACUCACUUGAAGUUGUAAGGAAAGAGUAUUUCCCUUUUGUUUUGUUGUCGAAGGAACGCGUUUAGCAAGUUUAUCUCAGUAUCGUCGGGGUUCUUUUGUACCGUACAUUCAUUUACGGUAUUUGGGUUAACGAACCCAAUGUCAUAGAUUUGUCCUUUGUUGCAUUCGAGGAUCUUCAAUCUGCAUAAUAUAGUGAGGGUAAUUAUACAUGCAAUGAACGAGCUGAGCUAGAGACUUAAUUACAGGAAAAAAAUACUUACAGACAAUAGCAACUGACGAUAGUUUUGUCGAGGGCAUCUUGAUUGUAUAACUUAAAGAUUUCUUCAAAUUCAACGCCGAUCGCGUCGACUCCAAUGAAGUCAUGCCAAUCCUUGCAGGUUUUCAAGUACCAGUCAUGGAAUCUUCGCAUCAUUGUUGAUAGAUGCGGGAGCUCCUCAGGUUUGACGAGAGGCUUCCCGUGCUCGUAUAUAAAGGCUACUACCUCAGCCAUUUCGAAUUGUACAACAUUGCCUAAGUACUGGGCAACUUGUUAAUGCGGUACCGCGUAUCGAUGCUGUGAAGCGGUCAACGUGCAUAGAAGGUGCACGGAUGGCCCUUGCGCAUGUCAAGAUGUACUGGGCAAAGAUGAAGGCCACCGAUAUUGCAGCGCAGAGUCCACCCGAAGGCAAGGACCUUAACGUGCCAGAACAUUACUUUGAAGAUAUCCUAGAGGGUGCCCGCUUGAUAGAGGGUUAGUGCUCGAAAAAUAUUAUGUUCGAGUAAAGUGUAUCAAAAUUGUAAUAACAAUAUUAUGAUAUAUUUAAGGCUGUGUUUUUAUACUUUUUGCCCGAAAAGUUUUGGUGCCUCCUGUGCGGCCAUCUUUUUUUAUAUAUACAAUCUGAAAGUUUGCAGUCGUCGGCUUCAGCCCCCUCGUGUAUAACGCGGGGGUGUUCGGAAAAGCACUUGAUCACACUUGACCCAACGUGUUGGUCCGUUAAGGAGGUGUUAGUGCGGCCAACUAGGCAAUAGGACUAUAGAGCUUUAACACUUUCACUUAGCCAUAGGAGUUUGACAGUGGGGCUACUAUAUAGCCCCUGGUAUGUCCGCGGUUAUCCCAAUACGGUGCGUGUGCAUUCGUGACCAGAAGGACGGUCCUUUGUUUAACACGGAGGGAAUCACGAAGAUUCCGAUGAGUCAUCGAGUGGUUGACUAGCUCUCGCCGCAUCAUGAUAGUCAAUUUUUGGCUUUCUCUACUGAGGUGCUCAUUCGGACGAGGCAGGACACAAUCGCGGUAGUUCUCCCUUUACUACCCUAGCUGAUAUAGCGGAUCGUAAGGUAGUAAGCACAGGAGCCGGGCAACCCAACUAUUGACCAAAGACAUGAUUCGGAGCUGAUGCAUAUAAGGCCAAACUCGCGACGCUGAACACUCCCUACAGGUGUCCGGACUUUUCAAUAUACACCUGGUUGAAUACAGCCCCUGGUGAUAGACCCUGGUAUCAAGGAACGUAUGGCGAUCUGACGUGGGGAAAGAGCGCAGGUGGUGAGAGCAUGAAUCUCAAAACACAAUACGAACCAAGCUGCUUCUGUAACAUCCACUUUAGUACGGCGAGCCGUAUAUUUACAGAUAAUGCCAAUAUCUUUCUUAGACAUUUUACAUGCCAGGAAAUUAUAAAACAAAAGGAGAUAAAAAAAGGUUUACACAGGGUCUUAAUCUAAAAAAGAAACCUUAGUGCGGGGCCCUGCUGCACGUCCGCGCCUUUAUCUCUGUUGCAAAGUGUCCUUGAAGGGUAUAGUAUGAUGGCCAUCCGUAGAAAGGAAAAAACCAAGUAAAAGAAUCUGGUGUGGCCCUAAGUAAAGAUGGUUCGUUGAAUGAACCAUGAAAUAUAGCUUCUGGAGUCCGAAUAGGGUCUAGCCAAACUAUGGACUUUUUGUGUGCAGUGUGCGCCCGUCGCCACCCAAGGAGUUUUGAGUGUAUAUUUAUGUAUACAUGGCACGUGUGCUGUCUCCUUAUGGGGUGGUCGAUGGGGCAUAGCUGCUAAUUCAGUUCAGGUUUAUCUGAGCUGCCGCACUGAGGUGUGCGCCGGAUACGUUUAGCUGGGUCCGCGGUCUUAAAGACCGAUGAGCUGCUCGGCUUGAAUAGGUCAUUUUGUGUUUUGACUGCUAGGGACGUCGUGUAUUCUUCUGUACGAAGAGAGCACUCCGUAUUUUCGCUGACCGUGAUGACGCCACGUGGUCCCGGCAUUUUGAGUUUUAGGUAAGCAUAAUGCGGGACUGCAUUAAAAUGGGCGAAGGCCGUUCGUCCGAGUAGUGCAUGAUAGCCGCUUCGGAACGAAGCGAUGUCGAAGAUUAGUUCUUAUCUUCGAAAGUUGUCGGGGGAGCCGACUAUAACAUCCAAUGUUAGAGAGCCCGUUCGGCGGGCUUCCACGCCCAGUAUAACUCCUUUAAAGGCAGUGUUGCUUGGCUUGAUUCUUGACUGGUCUAUCCCCAUCUUGCGGAUAGUGUCCUGAUAUAUCUGAUUGAGACUACAGCCGCCGUACAUGAGGACUCGAGUGAGGUGGUAUCCGUCGAUUAUUGGGUCGAGCACUAGGGCAGCCAAACCCCCAUGACGGAUAAUAGUCGGAUGAUCCCUGCGAUCAAAGGUGAUCGGUCAGGCCGACCAUGGGUUGAAUUUGGGGGCGACGGGCUCAACGACACAGACAUCUCAGAGUGCGCGUUUGCGCUCCCUCGUUGGGAUGUGAGUGACAUAGAUCAUGUUCACUAUUUUAAUCUCCGGUGGAAAUUUCUUCUGUCCCCCCGUGUUCGGCUGGUGAGGUCUAUCCUCGCCUUCGCUCUGAGGUUCCUUCCCUUUGUGUUCGGCAUUGAGUUUGCCGGCCUACUUGAAGACCAAACAUUCUCUGUUGGUAUGAUUGGCUGGUUUAUCAGGAGUGCCGUGGAUCUGGCAGGGCCUGUCUAGAAUUUUAUCCAGGUUGGAUGGACUGUCUUUCUUGCCUUCAAAUGGCUUCUUCCGUUGACCGGGUCUGGAGCCCCGGAAUCCGCCAUUUACCGCUAUAUUGUCUGGGCUUUCUUCAUUAUUCUGACAUUUGUUUUUGUUGUGUCAUGGUUUUCCAUUGCUAUCCCUGACUUCGGAUGUGCCGGGGUCGCUGGUGCCGCUACGGGCUAACCAGCUAUCCUCGCCCGUGCAAAAGCGGGUCAUUAAUGUAGAUAAGGAUGCCAUUGUUCUUGGCUUUUCCUGGCAAAGGUGCUUGGCUAGCCAUUUGUCCCGGACACUGUGUUUGAAGGCCGCUAGGGCUUCGACGUCCUGGUAGUCGACGAUUUGGUUCUUCUUAGUGAGAAAUCGGUUCGAAAGCUUACGGGCUGAUUCUUCGGGUUGUUGGAUUAUGUGACUUAGAUCAUCUUCAUCCGGGGGCCGGACAUAGAUCCCUUGGAAAUUGGCCCAAAAAGCGUCCUCAAGUUCUUCCCAGCUUCCGAUGGAAUUUUCAGGAAGGCUUUUUAGCCAGUGCCGAGCUGGUCCUUUUUGCUUGAGGGGUAAAUAUUUGAUGGUGUGGAGAUCAUCUCCGCGAGCCAUGUGGAUGUGAAGAAUAAAGUCUUCAAUCCAAACCGCAGGGUCUGUCAUUCCAUCAUAUGCCUCGAUGUUUACAGGUUUGAACCCUUCUGGAAAAUCGUGGUCCAGCACUUCACCGGUGAAGCACAGGGGGUGUGCCGCACCCUUGUAUCAGGCUAUGUCGUGGAUUGGGCCCGACGGUUGUAGUGUUCAGUAUUGGUUACGAGCCGAUAAAUGACCGGUAUAUUUGGUUUGAUACUUAUGAUCCUGUGUAGGAGCACGUUUCCUGGAUCCAUAGAUGAACCUGGUUUUGCAAGCCUUUUUGUCCAGGUCCUAACGUAGAUCGUGUUUUUGGUCCUGGGCCGUAACCUUCCUUGCUUUGAGGGGCGGAGGUGCGGGCUUGUAUACGACAUUGCUAGCUGCUCUGUCUCGACCACGAGGUGGUCGGUCCGGCCUGUCGGCCGUAUUGUUUUUCGGCGGUAUAGGCGCAAUAGCCUCAUCGUCGAAUUCGGACAGCAGCUUACGUUUAGGAUAGCUCUUUGUUUGGCGAUCACCGCCAAAUUUUUCCUCAGCGUCGAGCACUUCGUUCCAUCUGUCGUUGAGCAUAUCCUAUGCGGCUUUAAGCCGCUGCUUCUGCUUCUUCAGGCUCCUUGCAGUGGCGAUAAGCAUUUGGUGGAAGCGGUCUAGUUCUAAUGGUUCUUCUGGGAUGACGAACUCGUCGUCGCCCAGGCUGAUCUCCCCUUCAGAGACAGGUUGGUAAUUCCUAUCUUCGGCAGCGUGCUACCUCUUGAGCACUGCGUUGCAUUUCCCCGAAGAGGAGAGGAUGAUGCAGUAAAGUAGCGUAAGUAUUUCCCUCAGUUUUUGAGAACCAAGGUAUCGAUCCAGUAGGAGACCAUGCACAAGUCCCUCGUACCUACACAAAACAAUAGCUACUCGCAAACAACGUGAUUAGGGGUUGUCAAUCCCUUCACGGCCACUUACAAGAGUGAGAUCUGAUAGAGAUGAUAAAUAAUACUUUUGGUAUUUUUGAUAGAUAGAUGCAAAGUGAAAAGUAAAAGGCAAAGUAAAAACAAAGCAAGUAAUAAAGUGAUAGAGAUUGAUAUGAUGAGAAUAGACCCGGGGGCCAUAAGGUUCACUAGUGGCUUCUCUCGAGAGCAUAGAUAUUCUAUGGUGGGUGAACAAAUUACUGUUGAGCAAUUGACAGAACUGAGCAUAGUUAUGAGUAUAUCUAGGUAAUGAUCAUGUAUAGAGGCAUCACGUCCGAGACAAGUAGAUCGAAACGAUUCUGCAUCUACUACUAUUACUCCACUCAUCGCCCGCUAUCCAGCAUGCAUCUAGAGUAUUAAGUUAAAAACAGAGUAACUCUUUAAGCAAGAUGACAUGAUGUAGAGGGAUAAAUUCAUGCAAUAUGAUAAAAAAACAUCUUGUUAUCCUCGAUGGCAACAAUACAAUACGUGCCUUGCAACCCUUUCUGUCACUGGGUAAGGAUACUGCAAGAUUGAACCCAAAGCUAAGCACUUCUCCCAUUGCAAGAACUACCAAUCUAGUUGGCCAAACCAAAAAGGAUAAUUCAAAGAGACUUGCAAAGAUAACUCAAUCAUACAUAAAAGAAUUCAGAAGAUUCAAAUAUUUUCCAUAGAUAAGUUGGAUCAUAAACCCACAAUUCAUCGGUCUCAACAAACACAAUGCCAAAAGAAGAUUACAUCGAAUAGAUCUCCACGAAAGAGGGGGAGAACAUUGUAUUGAGAUCCAAAAAGAGAGAAGAAGCCAUCUAGCUACUAGCUAUGGACCCGAAGGUCUGAAGUAAACUACUCACACUUCAUCGAAGGGGCUAUGGUGUUGAUGUAGAAGCCCUCCGUGGUGGAUGCCCCCUCCGGUGGAGCUCCGGAACAGGCCCCAAGAUGGGAUCUCGUGGAUACAGAAGGUUGCGGCGGUGGAAUUAGGUUUUUGGCUCCUCUUCUGGCCGUUCGAGGAUACGUAGGUAUAUAUAGGAGGAAGGAGUACGUUGGUGGAGCAACAGGGGGCCCACGAGGUAGGGGGGCGCGCCCAGGGGGGCGCGCCCUCCACCCUUGUGACAGCCUCUGGCACUUCUUUGAGUAGGGUCCAAGUCUCCUGGAUCACGUUUGGUGAGAAAAUCACGCUCAUGAAGGUUUCAUUCCAUUUGGACUCCGUUUGAUAUUCUCUUUCUUCGAAACACUGAAAUAGGCAAAAAAUAACAAUUCUGAGCUGGGCCUCCGGUUAAUAGGUUAGUCCCAAAAAUAAUAUAAAAGUGGAAGAUAAAGUCCAAAUAGUCCAAAACAGUAGAUAAAGUAGCAUGUAGCAAUCAAAAAUUAUAGAUACGUUGGAAAUGUAUCAGGCAUCCCCAAGCUUAAUUCCUGCUCGUCCUCGAGUAGGUAAAUGAUAAAAAAGAAUUUUUGAUGCGGAGUGAUACUUUGGCAUAAUUUCAAUGUAAAUCUUAUUAAUUGUGAUAUGAAUAUUCAGAUCUGAAAGAUUCAAGACAAAUGUUCAUAUUGACAUAAAAAUAAUAAUACUUCAAGCAUACAAAUCGAACCAAUCAUGUCUUCUCAAAAUAACAUGGCCAAAGAAAGUUAUCCCUACAAAAUCGUAUAGUCUGGCUAUGCUCCAUCUUCCCCACAUAAAAUAUUUAAAUCAUGCACAACCCCGAUGACAAGCCAAGCAAUUGUUUCAUACUUAUGACAUUCUCAAAACUUUUUCAAUCUUCACGCAAUACAUGAGCGUGAGCCAUGGAUAUAGCACUAUGUGGAAUAGAAUGGUGGUUGUGGAGAAGACAAAAAGGAGGGAAGAUAGUCUCACAUCAACUAAGCGUAUCAAAGGGCUAUGGAGAUGCCCAUCAAUAGAUAUCAAUGUGAGUGAGUAGGGAUUGCCAUGCAACGGAUGCACUAGAGCUAUAAGUAUAUGAAAGCUCUACAAAAGAAAGUAAGUGGGUGUGCAUCCAACUUGCUUGCUCAUGAAGACAUAGGGCAUUUUGAGGAAGCCCAUCAUUGGAAUAUACAAGCCAAGUUCUUUAAUGAAAAAUUCCCACUAGUAUAUGAAAGUGACAAAAUGAGAGACUCUCUAUCAUGAAGAUCUUGGUGCUACUUUGAAGCACAAGUGUGGUAAAAGGAUAGUAGCAUUUUCCCUUCUCUCUUUAUCUCUCAUUUUGUUUUUGUUUGGGCCUUUAUCUUUUUUUUGGCCCCCCUCUUUCUUUUAUUUUUCGUCCAGAGUCUCAUCCCGACUUAUGGGGGAAUCAUAGUCUCCAUCAUCCUUUCCUCACUUGGGACAAUGCUCUAAUAAUGAUGAUCAUCACACUUUUAUUUUUCUUACAACUCAAUACUUAGAACAAAGUAUGACUCUAUAUGAAUGCCUCCGGCGGUAUACCGGGAUAUGCAAUGAAUCAUGAGUGACAUGUAUGAAAGAAUUAUGAACGGUGGCCUUGCCACAAAUACGAUGUCGACUACAUGAUCAUGCUAGCAAUAUGACAAUGAUGGAGGUGUCAUAAUAAAUGGAACGGUGGAAAGUUGCAUGGCAAUAUAUCUCGGAAUGGCUAUGGAAAUGCCAUGAUAGGUAGGUAUGGUGGCUGUUUUGAGGAAGGUAUAUGGUGGGUGUAUGAUACCGGCGAAAAGUGCGCGGUAUUAGAGAGGCCAGCAAAGGUGGAAGGAUGGGAAAAAGUGCGUAUAAUCCAUGGACUCAACAUUAGUCAUAAAGAACUGAUAUACUUGUUGCAAAAAUCUAGAAGUUAUCAAAGCAAAGUAUUACGCGCAUGAUCCUAGGGGGAUAGAUUGGUAGGAAAAGACCAUCGCUUGUCCCCGACCGCCACUCAUAAGGAAGACAAUAAAUAAAUAAAUCAUGCUCCAAGUUCAUCACAUAACGGUUCACCAUACGUGCAUGCUACGGGAAUCACAAACUUCAACACAAGUAUUCUUUGAAUUCACAACGACUUAACUAGCAUGACUCUAAUAUCACCAUCUUCAUAUCUCAAAACAAUUAUCAAGCAUCAAACUUAUCUUAGUAUUCAACGCACUCAAAAGAAAGUUUCACAUAUCUUGAAGUGAUCGCCUCUCGUGACCGCCUCUGGCACUUCUUGGAGUAGGGUCCAAGUCUCCUGGAUCACGUUCGGUGAGAAAAUCACGCUCCCGAAGGUUUCAUACCGUUUGGACUUCGUUUGAUAUUCUGUUUCUUCGAAACACUGAAAUAGGCAAAAACAUCAAUUCUGGGCUGGGCCUCCGGUUAAUAGGUUAGUCCCAAAAAUAAUACUCCCUCCGUUCCUUGAUAUAAGGUAUAUAGAUUUUUGAGAAAAAGUCCAAAAUAUAAGGUGUAUUGCGUUUCACCACUCGUUUGAAUAAUUUUUUAAGGAAUUUGAUUACAUUUCCUUAUAUAGGUCAAGCUCCUCUAUUUUCUCAUGUCAAUUAGUUUGGUGCAAUCUCGCCCAAAACUUGUGAAAUUUUCCCUUCAUGUGCGUUCUUUAAUUUCCGUGCCAAAAACUAUACACCCUAUAUUUAGGAACGGAGGGAGUAUAAACGUGGAAAAUAAAGCCCAAUAUAGUCCAAAACAGUAGAUAAAGUAGCAUGGAGCAAUCAAAAAUUAUAGAUACGUUGGAGACGUAUCACGUCGCUGUUGUCGGACAAUAUCUCCGGACUGUGUUCGCCGUUCUCUCGCACGCCCUGCUCCAACGCUGGGUCUGCGGGGUCCUCAGCUUGGUUCAGACUAUCAUCAUCGUCCAUGACAAUGUUGCUAUUUUUCCUUUUGCCGGAUCGAGGUCGGCGCUUGGGACGCCGACGCUUAGGAGGUUCAUCGACAGGCAUGCUGUUUUCGCCGUCGGCCUCAUUCUCCUUUGGUGUGUCCACCAUGUAUAUAUCGUAUGACGAUGUAGCUGUCCACCUCCCUAAAGGUGGUGGUUUUUGUGCCUGCUCCUAUCAGGCAUCGUCGUCCAUACCGUCGAUGUCCUCAGAGCCGUAAUCGAGCGUGUCGGUUAAUUCCUUGAUAGUGGCAAUGAAGUGGGUGGUGGGUGGGAAACGAAGUUCUUCGUCAUCCGCUUCCCAUUCGAGCCGGGCAUAGUUCGGCCGAGAGUCCCCCGAUAAGGAGAGGGAUUUUAAUGAGUUUAACACGUCGCCAAAAGGCGAGUGCUGGAAGAUGUCCGCGGAGCUAAACUCCAAGAUCAGCGCCCAAUCAGAUUCGAUGGACGUGGAUGCAUGCGGUCCGGAACCCAUAGCCGGAGACGAGUCCGAGGUUCUGGUGACACAAGCCCUUCUCGAUGUUGGGUCUGUGUGUGGCUCGAAUGCUGUUGAGCCUGCGGCCUCCGUGGCGGGGUUUAGCCUCCCGUCUUUGGACGACGCAGUCCGCUCCGGCUUUAGGGCCAGAGCGGUCGCAGGCGCUAUCUCCUGUGCGCGGCCAAAUGAUAGAUCUAUGUCAUGUUCAUCGUGGUGGCCGGGGACAGCCUUCAUGGCCUCGAACCCGUUGAAGAUCAAGUCUCCGCGGAUAUCUACCACAAAGUUUAGGCUUCCGAAUCUGACUUGAGAGAAGCCACUAGUGAAACUUAUGGAUCCCGCGUAAUAGUAGUAGAUGCAGAAUCAUUUCGAUCUACUUGUCGCGGACGUGAUGGCUAUAUACAUGAUCAUGCCUAGAUAUUCUCAUAACUAUUCGCUUUUCUAUCAGUUGCUCGACAGUAAUUUGUUCACUCACUGUAAUACUUAUGCUAUCUUGAGAGAAGCCACUAGUGAAACCUAUGGCCCCCGGGUCUAUGUUCCAUCAUAUAAGUUUCCGAUCUAUUUUAUUUUGCAAUCUUUACUUUCCAAUCUAUAUCAUAAAAAUACCAAAAAUAUUUAUUAUCUCUACCAGAUCUCACUUUUGCAAGUGGCCGUGAAGGGAUUGACAACCCCUUUAUCGUGUUGGUUGCAAGGUUCUUAUUUGUUUGUGCAGGUACGAGGGAUUUGGGUGUAGCCUCCUACUGGAUUGAUACCUUGGUUCUCAAAAACUGAGGGAAAUACUUACGCUACUGUGCUGCAUCACCCUUUCCUCUUCAAGGGAAAACCAAUGCACUCUCAAGAGGUAUCAGGUCCAACUUUGGGAUUCUUCACGGGAGUGACAACUUGCUUGCCAUUCUUCUUGAAGUUCCCUUUCUUUCUCUUUGCCCUUUUCUUGAAACUAGUGGUCUUGUUUAAUCAUCAACACUUGAUGCUUUUUCUUGAUUUCUACCUUCGUCGAUUUCAGCAUCACGAAGAGCUCGGGAAUCAUUUUCAUCAUCCCUUGCAUACUAUAGUUCAUCAUGAAGUUCCAGUAACUUGAUAAUGGUGACUAGAGAACUCUGUCAAUCACUAUCUUAUUGGGCAGAUUCACUCCCACUUGAUUCAAGUGAUUGUAGUACCCAGACAUUAUGAGUACAUGCUCACUAGCUGAGCAAUUCUCCUCCAUAUUUUAGGCGAAUUACUUGUCAGAGGUCUCAUACUUCUCGACACGGGCAUGAGUAUGAAAUACCAAUUUCAACUCUUGGAACAUCUUAUAUGCUCCAUGGCGUUCAAAAUAUUUUUGAAGUUUCGGUUCUAAGCCGUAAAGCAUGGUGCACUAAACUAUCAAGUAGUCAUCAUACCGAGCUUUGUCAAACAUUCAUAAUGUCUGCAUCUGCUCCUGCAAUAGGUCUGUCACCUAGCGGUGCAUCACGGACAUAAUUCUUCUGUGUAGCAAUGAGGAAAAUCCUCAGAUCACAGACCCAGUCUGCAUCAUUGCUACUAUCAUCUUUCAACUUACUUUUCUCUAGGAACAUAAAGAAAACAUAGGGAAGCUACAACGUGAGCUAUUGAUCUAUAACAUAAUUUGCAAAAUAGUAUCAGGACUAAGUUAUUGAUAAAUUAAAGUUCAAUUAAUCAUAUUACUUAAGAACUCCCACUUAGAUAGACAUCCUUCUAGUCAUCUAAAUGAUCACGUGAUCCAAAUCGACUAAACCAUGUUGUCUGCGCACAGUAUGCGAUGCCAGCAUCCCCUGCACCGUGUUCCAUAGCUCUGCUGUGGUGUGGCACGUCGCCACCUAGAUGGCCAUCUCGCGGGCAGCGUGGUCAGCAGGUAAGAGAACACCUGUUGAUCGUGCGCGUACCAUGCACCAAAUGCCGGAUUGGGAGCCUUGGACUUGGUCUUCCCAUCGUCGCUGAUGACUACAAUGUUCAUCGGGGUCACCACCUGCUCGACCAAGGAAGGACGCCAUCUGCGCCCCCCGGAUGGCCGAGAGCACGGUGACGCGCCAUAGCGCCUCGUAUCCUCUCGUAAGCUUCUCUAUUGCGGUGUGUGCAAAUGGAGAUGAGGGGAAGGAGUUCGCUGAAGAGCUUGCCAUGUAUGAGUUUGAGGUAGGCUCUGAUUACCAUGUAAGAAGAAAGGGGUUAAGCGUAUGCUCCUUGGCAGGGACGCGUGCGUGUUAAUACAUAGGGAAAGAUUACAGGAUCGACAGGUUGUUUCUAGUCUUGACCUCUACUCCAAGCUAUACUAGAGAUAAGAUCCUCUAGCCUAACAACCUGCCAUGUACACAACAAUACACACACACUACUACACGCAAUAUACCCACCGUGACACUUGUCAUGUUGCAUACAAGCCUCUUCUUUAAUAUGGGGGACUUCCAUUUUGAUGCAAGGCAAUCCGACCUGUCUGGUCCUAAUGCGAGCUAAACAUGGAGCCAUUAUUGAGAGGCUUAACACAACCACUUUUACGGAUAGGGAGGUCCUGUAGUGGAUUUCUUGCCCGAGUUAUUGUCAUCAUGACUUUUAAUGCCGUCAUCUCGUAUGUUUUCCGAGGAGGGCGGUCUUACGUAGCUUGCUGAGCAGGAUCGAAGUAUGACGUUAUCCCCCAAAAGUGGUUAUAAUAUUCACUUUCUACGUGUAGAUCUUUUCGUCUAUUGUAUCUGCUAGCUUUCGACUUCAUUCACAUGAGGUAGUUAACUAGGAUGACCCCAGAAGUAACGAUCACAGAGGUGCUCCCAUUCCGCCAUUAGCCGAACAUGCGGACACGUAAGGGGGGUAGACAUAGGAGCCAGGAAACACAGCCAGGCAAAAAGUCACAAGUAAAAAUUGAAUUAUAUUAUGGCUGAAGACGAAUUUGGAAGGGUCGACAUCGACCCUGCAGGCACUAUGCAAAGGAGUGUAUCAAGAUAUUCUAACAUAUCUGGUAUGCGUUUGGUCGAGGGGCUAUAACAACCCCCAACUGAGGUUGUGACAUCUGAUAUAUGGCCAUGAUCUGUAUCAUUAGUGCCAGAAACGAGCCAAAAUCUAGGCACAAAAAACAAAGGUUAAUAAAAGACACAAUGUCGAGUCUAACUUUGUUUGUAAAAAAAGUGAACUAGUUCUACAGACAAAUUUGAAUAAAAUGCAGAGUGUAGAUUUGCUAGCCGUAGAGUCGCCAAAGUAGUGUAAUGUUUCAAGGGCUUGGAUCCAGGUGUUUAUCUUGGGCAUCUCGGAUCCGGUAUGCUCCCCCAGUAAGCACCUUAUCGAUGAAUGGGUCAUCCCAGGUCGUGGGCAGUUUAUGUUGUCAAAACUUGUCUGGGUGGCAUCAUAAGACCAGGUCAUCGAUGAUGAAUGCCUUCGGCCAGACCUCUUGCAACACGUAUCAAUGUACCUGCUAUUGGCAGAAGGCAGAGCGUGCUUUGGCAAUGUCUCUCUCUUCAUCUAGGGCAUCGAAAUCAUCCUGGCGGCUCUGCUCGGCCUCCCAUUCCUCAUACUGGCGUACUCAAGGUGCAUUAUGUAUGAGAUCACUUGGUUAAAUGGCUUGUAUAAAAUGAAGAAUGGCGUGUAGCCGGUGGAUCGAUUUGGUGUGGUCCAUAGGUUCCACAACAUAGAGUUGAGCUACUCAGCCCACUUAUUGUUAGCUUCCUCGAGAGAUUGAAUCAACCGAGGUUUUAUGCCACUAAGGGUCAUCCCAUUGGCCCACUCGACCUACCCAUUAGUUUGCGGGUGAUAGAUGAAGGCGUAGUGAAGCUUCAUGUUCUGCUUGGCGCACCUCGUUUCUUACCUCCUCGGCCGUGAAGUUCGAUUUGUUAUCUGUUAUGAUGUUGUGAGGUACUCCAUAACGUGUACCAAGCCGGAGAUGAAUUUAUCACCGGUUGGGCUUUAGCUGAGGCCACAUCCUUUGCAUCUAUUCACUUUGUGAAUGUGUCGACCAUAACCAACAAAUAUUUCUUGCUGGUUUGACCUUUAAGGAGUAGUCCGACCAUAUCAAGUCCUAAGACCGACCGGGUUAUCGGGAUUGUAUUCAAGGCUGUCGAUGGAACGUGGCUUUAUUUAGUAAAGAGCUAGCACCCGACGAACAUAUCAACUAAAUCCCGUGCACCGGCCCAUCCUGUGGGCCAAUAGAACAUUGUUUGGGAAGCCUUUCUUACCAAGGUAUGAGGUGUUCCAUGAUGUCCAUAGGUGCAGGAGUGUAUCUCGGACAAGAGCUUUUGUCUGUCUUCCUCGGAUAUGCAGAGAUGGAGCACUCCCAUGUUGCUGCAUUUAUAGAGCUCUCCGUAGUGAACCUUGUAGGUCGCUGAUCGUCGAACGAUUCACCCCCAUCCGUCUUUUCCUCGGACAGGUCUUUGUGUAUCAAAUAAGAAAGAAGUGGCUUUUGCUAGGGCACAAUAACUGCCAUAAUCUCAUGGGCUGAGGAGGUUUCUUUGAGCAUUGAGCCCCCACUAUCACCUCGUUUGUUCUCUACGGCUGGCAGGGUGAUCAAUGCUUGUGUGGGUUCCUCGGGUUGCUUGCUUGGCUCGGUGUCUCCUUACCAUUUAUCAAACCAUUUGAACAAUUGUUCAACAUCGAGCACCCAUCCUUGCUAGUAUGUUCGUGGCUUGGUUGCUUUCAUCCAGGACAUAGUGAUAUUCUAAGCACUCAGAUCGAGCCGACAUGGUUUUCACCAUGUUGCGAUACAUAGUCAUCUUUGGGUCCUUUGCAACGAAGUCGGUGUUUAUGUAAGAUAUUGCGAGGUGGGGGUCACCUCGGACGUCAAGACCCCUUAUGCCCAUGGAGACGGCCAUCCAAAGUCCAUGAAGAAGUGCUUCAUACUCCGCCCCGUCGUUGGAGUUGGUUUACAUGAUCUAGAGAACAUACAUCCUGGUGUUGCUGCUGGCUGAGGUGAGGACUACCCAAGCCCCUAGUCCGGCGAGCAUUUUGGAGCCAUCAAAAUACAUCACCUAAUAGGUAUAAGUCGCAUGCUCCCUAUGUAGCUCGGCCUCUGUCCAUUUUGCGAAGAAGUCGCCCAACACUUGAGAUUUAAUAGCCCAGCAUGGUCGAUAUAUAACCCCGAAAAGGAGGAGCUCAACUAUAUUACCUAAUUUCUAUUGAUAAUUGGAGCAGUGUCCCAAAUAGAUUAAUGUAAAACAAGUUUCCCCCCUCAAAACUAUAUAUACAACAAGGUCUCUAUUAUAAUGCACUUCUGUUUUUCUGCUAUAGUUUUCGACAACUCUAAAUAUUAUUACAAUUGUUAUCGGGGAACCAUUUAUCUGGCCCACCCUGUAGGUCUACUUGAACUAAGACCUAUUUUUUUUAUUGUUGGCAGGAGAACUGCCAAGUCCAUUGAUCAGAAAGAGGUAUUAGAAGAACACCUCCAGAGGAGAAAAGCACCACAAAAACUAUAACCAUUAUUAUUUGCUCUAGUGUUAUGUUAUUAUGUUACCUCACAAUAUCUCAAUACAAAAUAUGACUUUUAAUGUCAUCAAUCACGUUAAUUAGGAAUAUGUUAGUUUCCUUGUACUCGAGCGCUCUCGCAUGGUAGGAAUUUACUAUUAAUCCAUACUUUCUAGUUCUGGUGUUCCCUGUUUUCUCUAACUUUUACCAAGUAUGAGUAUUGGAUGGCCUAUUAGCUCUCAUAGUUGACCUAUUAAGUCUUAUCAAUGAUUUAUUACCUCAUUUAAUCUAGGCCCUUGGAUUUUAAACUUUGGACCCUCAAUAAUAGUUGGGACCAGCUUAAAACUUGCCUGGCAUCUUAGCGGAAGGAAGCGACAAUAAAAUUUGUAGUUAGUAUUAAUAAUAUGUGGUACGUUGAAGGAAAUAAGAUGUAAAACUUUUGACAAGGGAGGGGCGAUGACAUCUUGUAGUCAUUGCUAGGUGCUCUACGGACGUAGAUGCAAUUUUUUUAUUUAUGGUGUUGUUUGUAUUAUAUUACUUGUUGAUAAAUAAAUAAAAAGUUUUUUGAAAAAAUCUUUUUGUAAAUAAUAAAAGAGGAAAUAAAAAUAAAAUUUGUAGUUGCUAUGAACAAUCCGUGGUAUGAUCAAGGAAAAUAGAUGUAAACUUUUUGAUGAGGGAGGGGCGAUGGCUGCAGCGUGCUAGAGUGCUUGUAGUCGUUGCUAGAUGGUCUACAAACAUAGGUGUAAUUUUUUUACUUAUGGUGUUCUUUGUAUUAUAUUACUUGACAUUUGAUAAAUAGAUCAAAAGUUUUUUGUACAAAAUAUCUUAUUGUGAAGAAUAAAAGAGAAAAAAACUAAAAUUUCCAGUUGCUAUUAAUAAUUUGUGGUAUGAUGAAGAGAAAAGAUGUAAAUUUUUUAAAAGGAAUGGGCGAUGACGGGCUGGCGGCAACAUGCUACAGUGCUUGUAGUCGUAGCAGCCUAGAUGUAAUUUUCACUUAUGGUUUUCUUUGUGUUACUUGUCAUUUUUUCGAAACAACAAUCUUAUUGUAAAGAACAAAAAAGAAAAGAAAGAAUUACUUGCAUAUCAAAUAAGAACGAAGUGGUUUUGUCCAUGGUGCAAUAACUACCAUAAUCUCAUGGGCCGAGGAGGUUUCUUCGAACGUUGAGCCCCUAUCACCUCUUCAGCCUCUACGACUGGGAGGAUGAUCAAUUCUUGUGUGGGUUCCUUGGGUUGCUUGCUUGGCUUGAUGUCUCCUUGCCAUUUAACAGACUGUUUGAACAACUGUUCCACGCCGAGCACCCAUCCUUGCCAGUAUGUUCGUGGCUUGCUUGCUUUCAUCAUGACAUAGUGAGAUUCUAAGCGCUCAAAUCAAGCCGACAUGAUUAUGACCGUGUCGUGAUACACGAUCAUCUUUGGGUCCUUUGCGUAAAAUCACCAUUUAUCUAAGAGAUUGCGAGGUUGGAGUCACCUCAGACCUGAAGACGCCUUAUGCCCAUGGAGAUGGCCAUCUGAAGUCCAUGAAGAAGUGCUUCGUUCUUCGCCCCCUUGUUGGAGUUGGUGUACAUGAUCUGGAUCACAUACUUCAUGGUGUCGCUAGUGGGUGAGGUGAGGAUUCACUACUAGGGAAAAGCCUAUACACAGAAUCUUACCAGCAGCGCUCCUCAAAAUACGACGCUACUGCUAUUUAGUAGCAGCGCAUGAGAGCAAAACGCGCUGCUGAAAGGAAAAGAGCAGUAGCGCGUGCGCACCAAACCGCGCUACUGCUCUAAUUGCCAUGACCUCGCCAUCCAGCUAGUUAUAAAAGUAGCGCCCUAUAUUGAACAGCGCUACUUCUAUAGAAGUUAGCAGCAGCAUGCUUCUAAGAAAAUUGCUACUGCUAAGAUCAGCCCACAAGUUUAGUCCCACCUCGCUCCACGAACAAGGUGUUUACCACCUUAAAUAUGUUACUUCUGAAACUAUCACAACCAGUUGGUCUUCACUGAACUCUAUGUGUAGAAUUUAUGGCCGCAAUAUGAGUCCUCGACUCGUAUUGACAAUUCAGAUUGUACACAAAAAGAUCAUUGAUGGCUAAUGUAUUUUUGCAUUGACGUAUUUUUGUAUACUUACACUUAGCAGUAGCGCUUUUAACUGCAAAGCGCUACUGGUAGUCCGACUUAGCAGUAGCGCGCAACAAUGCACAACGAUACUGCUAUUCAGAUUAGCUGUAGCGUGUUUUGGCAAACGCGCUACAACUAACCCAACCUUAUCCCCACGCGCGCGACCGACCCUCUCUCUCACUCACACUCUCCCCCUCUCAGUCACUCUCGCCCGCGCGCCGAUAACCGUCGUCGUGCGUUGCCGCCGCCGCCUUCGUCCGUCCGCCGCCCAGGUACUCCCCUCCUUCCAUUCCUCCUCCCUCCUCCUCGCACCGUGCCCUCCUCCCUCCGCCUGCGGCCGCCCCUCCUCCCUCCUCCGCCAGCAGCCCUCCUCCCACCGCCCUCGACUUCACCGCCGCCAACCGAGCCCACCCAGCACCGCCGCCUCCCGAUCCCGAUCCCUCCCUCGCCGCCCCUACCUCUCCGUCGCCCCCACCCCCUUUCUCUCUGCUUAGUUAGUACUAGAUGUUGUUUAGUAGUAGUAGAUGUUAAUUUAGGGUUCAUAGAUAAUGAUUUUUAGUAGUAGUAGAUGUUAAUUAGUAGUAGUGAUGGUACUAGUUAACUAGGGCUGUAUGAUUAAUAGUAGUUGUAGUUGAACUACUUUAGUUGUAGUUGAACUAGUUUAAUAAAUAAAUUAAUAAACUAGUUGAACUAGUUGAAUUAAUAGAACUAAUGUAUUUUUAGUAAGAUAAUUAAUAUAACUAGUUGAACUACUAUAUUUUUAGAAAGAACUAGUUUUUUCUUCUAUUUAUAGUAAGUUUAUAUUUAGUAAGAACUAGUUGAAUUAAUAAAACUAGUUUAACAUGUCAUAUUUGUUGUUAUUUUUUAGUUUAAGAAAUUAUUCGGGAUGUAUUAGUGAUAACUUAUACGGUUUUUUCUUUUGCGGAAAUCAAGGAGCCCCUCCAUCAUCCCCGUCGUCGUCCCCGUCACCCACGCCCUCCGACAUCGAGGUGAGACCAGCCAAAUAUCCAUGUAUAUCUUGUGUUGCUCAAAUAGGAUAUGUGGUUGCCCAAGUGGCCGUUCAUGUUCAGUUUACACCUCCGAGUGGCCUAUGUUUUGCCAGAGUGUUGAUUAAUUUCCGUUCCAGCAAAUUUCAGGCGCUCGAUAUGUCCUUUUUUAGCAAAGGUCAUGCUGGAUUUUUCCGUGAAUUCUGGCCCGACUUGAGCUAGAAUAUGUAGGAAAUAUCGAGUGGCCUGGAUUUUCUCGAAAAAUAAUGAUCUAAUUUAGGUUUUUUAGUACAUAUAUUUAAUUGUACAAGUUUAAUCUUUGAAUUAUGAACGUAGGAAAUGUCGUACUCGGACGAGACAGUCUCCCGGGGGAGUGCAGCUGGUGCCACGACGAUCGAGGUAUGUGCGACAGGUUCGUUGAGCUAGAUGAAGAUCGGCGUUUCACCAUUAAGCUCGAGGAGACCUUCGAUGUUGAAAUGGUAUGCAACAACGAUAAGUGUUUUUUUCGUAAUUAAGCAUGACUUCAACUAUUUCAACGUCUAAUUUUCAUCUUUUACAAUUCGACUAGCUUAUCCCAUGCCAUGCAAGACGCUAUGUCUUGGAGAGGAUGGGUUUUGAAGACCAUGAAGAUUUUGAAACAAAGAAAAUACACCUAAGGACCCAUCAUGAUAUGGAUUUUGAAGUAAAUCUGUGCAAUGCUCAUAGCAUGACCCAUUUUGGUUGCCAAAAUUGGGAAGCACUUUGCAAAAUGUAUGGUUUUUAUGAGGGUAUGAUUGUCACCAUGGAUCUUGGUGAUCCUGACAUCGAGCAAGACACUAUGGACAUUUGGGUCCUUGUUGAUACGCUUCCGAUUAUACCGCUAUGUGAGUUUCUCAAACAUAGUUAUUAACUCAUUUAUAUUGUUUAUUUCAAAAUAGUUGACAACUUAUUUCCAUUAACAGCUUAUUUUGAUUCUUCAAAGACUGGGCAGAAGAUGGUAGAUAAAAGACACUACAUUGAUGGCUCCGAAUUAACUUAUAAGGAGAAAAAUCAUCUGAUCGCAUUUUGUACUCUCCUUGAGGAUUACAAUAACUAUUAUCGAACUCCUCCAAAUUAUGAUGAAUACGUGCCACUAGUGCACAUGUUGAACCAUGGUAACUUCUUUGGAGAUACCCUAGUAAGAUUUUUUACUAUUACGACAUCCGUGCAUCUUUUGCAUACUUCUAAAACUAGUACAUCAAUGCUAACUACGAAGUUAUUACUAUGUUUUUCAACAGAAACUCCAGAUGGAUUGUGUGCCUCAUCUGAUGUAUCUGAAUGGUCGCCUUACAGUUCUGGACAUACUGCCAGGUAAAUCUAGGGAGCUCACCUGUGCAUAUCGGAUUUCUAAAACCAGUGAACACAUGUUCAUCAAAGAAUGGAAAAAAUGUUUGGACCUUCGCAAGGAGGUUCUUGGAAGUAACAUUCAGCGAAAGGCAAGAAUUGGAGACAGGCUAAUCUCCAUUCUUCAUAAUGAGAGUCAGGGGCUAUCUUUUUUUUGCUAUUUUACCUUAGAAAAUGUAGUAGGUCUUAAUCGAAUGUAGCAGGUCCUAUGAGGUACAAUAUGUUUAUUAUGUGGUAAUGUGUUAGAGUUGAUAAUGAGGAGCACUUGUGAUUACGACUAGUAACCAAUUUGCUACAUGAUGUCAUUGAUGAAAACGAUGAUCUUGAGGAGGUGUUAUAUGACAAUGAUGUAUUAUGAUGAUAAGUUGUUAAUGAUAUGAUGAUGAUGAUGAUAUUAUUAUAUCAUUGGGUGAAAGAACCGCGGAUUAGUUUCAAGUGGAUGGACAUCCACUUGAAACUAGUCCAUGGUUCUUUCACCCCGUGAUGUAAUAACUCAUUAUGAUGUAAAAACAAUCUCUAAAUUCCUGCUGUAUGAAAACUUGUGUAAAGGUGUAUGAAUACAACAUGAAAUAAAAAAGAAAUAAAAUACUAAAUAAUAGUAGUAGCGCGGGCAAGGAGAAGCGCUACUACUAAUUACCAGUAGCGCUCCUCUGGAGAAGCGCUACUACUAAGUCAAUUUAGCAGUAGCGUGGGUCCAGGCACGCUACUGCUAAGCUUUAGCUAUAGCGCCUUAUCAGUAGCGCUCCUGCCCGCGCUACUGAUAGUCCUAAAACCCGCGCUGCUGCUACGCUUUUCCCUAGUAGUGAUUACCCCAACCCCCAGUCCGGCGAGCAUUUUGGAGCUGUCAAAAUACAUCACCUAAUGGGUAUAAGCCACAUGCUCUCUAGGUACCUCAGCCUCUCUCCAUUUUGUGAAGAAGUGGACCAACACUUGGGAUUUAAUAGCCCGACAUGGUCGAUAUAACCCCGAAAACGAGGAGCUCCACUAUAUUACCUAGUUUCUACUGAUAGUUGGAGCAGUGUCCAAAAUAGAUUAAUGUAAAACAAGUUUCUCCCCUCAAAAAUUAUAUAUACAACAAGUUCUCUAUUUAAUGCACUUCUGUUUUUCUGCUAUAGUUUUGGACAACUCUAAAUAUCAUUACAACUGUUAUCGGGGAACCAUUUAUCUGGUCCACCCUGUAGAUCUACUGGAACUAAGACAUAUCUUUUUAAUGUUGGAAGGAGAACUGCCAAGUCCAUUGAUCAGAAAGAGGUAUUAGAAGAACACCUGAGAGGAGGAAAGCACCACAAAAAAUAUAACUAUAGUCGUGGUAAAGUGCUUAUAUUCGUUGCUAGGUGGUCUACGGACGUAGGUGUAAUUGUUUACUUAUGGUGUUCUUUGUAUUAUAUUACUUAACAGUUGAUAAAUACUCCUAGAUCGGAAGUUUUUGAAAAAAAUCUUUUUGUAAAGAAUAAAAGAGAAAAUAAAAAUAAAUUUGUAGUUGCUAUUAUUAAUCCGUGGGACGAUGAAGGAAAAAAUAUGAAAAAAAAUUGGCGCGGGAGGGGUGAUGGCUGCGCCAUGCUAGAGUACUUGUAGUCGUUGCUAGAUGGUCUACAGACGUUUGUAUAAUUUUUUAUUACUUUUGGUGUUCUUUCUAUUUACAUUACUUGACAGUUGAUAAAUAUAUCAGAAGUUUUUUGUAAAAAGAUCUUAUUGUGAAAAAUGAAAAACAAAAAAUUGGAGUUGCUAUUAAUAAUUUGUGGUACAAUGAAGGCAAACAUGUAAACAACAAAAGACUUACAUCACUGGUUAGCUACGCCAGUGAACACUUCUCUUCCUCAGCAGACCUGAUAGGCCAAGCUUAGCUAGUAUAAGCUGGCUCAUUUCUGCGUCGUCGGCGCCUCGGCAUACCCGAUCAACCAGCUAAGCUAGCUACAGCUGAUCUGUGAUUGCUUCCUAAGACGACACAGCGCACAAGUUUUCCACCUCAAUAAUUUUUUACUUAUGGUAAAAUGGCCUCGGCAUUGUAUACAAUGAAGAAUGGCAUGUAGCCGGUGGAUCGAUUUGGUGUGGUCCAUAGGCUCCACAACACGGAGAUGAGCUACUCGGCCUACUUAUUGUCGACUUCCUUGAGAGAUCGAAUCAACCGAGGUUUUAUGCCGCUGAGGAUCAUCCCAUUGGCCCACUCAACCAACCCAUUAGUUUGCAGGUGAUAGAUGGAGGCGUAGUCAAGCUUCAUGUUCUGCUUGGCGCACCUCAUUUUUUACUUCCUCGGCCGUGAAGUUGGAUUUGUUAUCUAUUAUGAUGCUGUGAGGUACUCCAUAACGUGUAUCAAGCCGGAGAUGAAUUUACGAUCGGUUGGGAUUUAGCCGAGGCCACAUGCUUUGCCUCUAUUCACUUUGUGAAAGUGUUGACCAUAACCAACAAAUAUUUCUUGCUUGUUUGAGCUCUAAGGAGUAGUCCGACCAUAUCAAGUCCUAAGACCGACCAAGUUAUCGGGAUUGUAUUCAAGGCUGUGGAUGGAAGGUGGGUUUAUUUAGUAAAGAGCUAGUACCCGACGAACAUAUCCACUAAAUCUUGUGCAUCGGCCUGUCCAGUGGGCCAACAGAACCUUGUUUGGGAAGUCUUUCUUACCAAGGUAUGAGGUGUUCCAUGAUGCCCACAGGUGCCGGAGUGUAUCUCGGACAAGAGCUUUUGUCUGUCUUCCUCGGAUAUGCAGAGCCGGAGCACUCCCGUGUUGCUGCAUUUAUAGAGCUCUCCGUACUGAACCUUGUAGGUCGUUGAUCGUCAAACGAUUUGCCGCCCAUCCGUCUGUUCCUCGGACAGUUCUUUAUCUAUCAAAUAAGAAAGAAGUGGCUUUUUCCAUGGUACAAUAACUGCCAUAAUCUCACGGGUCGAGGAGGUUUCUUCGAGUGUUGAGCCCCCACUAUCACCUCGUCCGUUCUCUACGGCUGGCAGGGUGAUCAAUUCUUGUGUGGGUUCCUCGGGUUGCUUGCUUGGCUCGGUGUCUCCUUACCAUUUAUCAAACCAUUCGAACAAUUGUUCAACAUCGAGCACCCAUCCUUGCUAGUAUGUUUGUGGCUUGGUUGCUUUCAUCCAGGACAUAGUGAUAUUCUAAGCACUCAAAUCGAGCUGACAUGGUUUUCACUGUGUUGCGAUACAUAGUCAUCUUUGGGUCCUUUGCAACGAAGUCAGUGUUUAUCUAAGAGAUUGCGAGGUUGGAGUCACCUCGGACCUCAAGACCCCUUACGCCCAUUGAGACGUCCUUCCGACGUCCAUGAAGCAGUGGUUCAUACUCCGCCCCCUCGUUGGAGUUGGUUUACAUGACCUAGAGCACAUAAUUCACGGUGUCGCUGGUGGCUGAGGUGAGGACUACCCAAGCCCCUAGUCCGGCGAGCAUUUUGGAGCUGUCAAAAUACAUCACCUAAUGGGUAUAAGCCGCAUGCUCCCUAUGUAGCUCGGCCUCUGUCCAUUCUGCGCAGAAGUCGCCCAACACUUGGGAUUUAAUAGCCCGAUGUGGUCGAUAGAUAACGCCGAAUAGGAGGGGCUCAACUAUAUUACCUAGUUUCUAUUAGUAACUGGAGCAGUAGAUUAAUGUAAAACAAGUUUUGAAAAAAUGAGAUCCAUAGGCACUAGCACCCUGGACAUAUUUUUAUAGAAGAAGCCCACCAGGGUGAGAUCACGGAAAAUUCGCUCCUGACAGGAGUCGAACUCCGGUCUGCAAGGUGCGCCACAGCGACCUUGCCACUUGGCUACUGCCCAGUCCUCAUGUAAAACAAGUUUUCCACCUCAAUAAUUCUUUACUUAUGGUAAAAUGGCCUCGGCAUUGUAUACAAUGAAGAAUGGCGUGUAGCCGGUGGAUCGAUUUGGUGUGGUCCAUAGGCUCCACAACAUGGAGAUGAGCUACUCGGCCUACUUAUUGUCGACUUCCUUGAGAGAUCGAAUCAACCGAGGUUUUAUGCCGCUGAGGAUCAUCCCAUUGGCCCACUCAAGCAACCCAUUAGUUUGCAGGUGAUAGAUGGAGGCGUAGUCAAGCUUCAUGUUUUGCUUGGCGCACCUCAUUUUUUACUUCCUCGGCCGUGAAGUUGGAUUUGUUAUUUGUUAUGAUGCUGUGAGGUACUCCAUAAUGUGUAUCAAGCCGGAGAUGAAUUUACGAUCGGUUGGGAUUUAGCCGAGGCCACAUGCUUUGCCUCUAUUCACUUUGUGAAAGUGUUGACCAUAACCAACAAAUAUUUCUUGCUUGUUUGAGCUCUAAGGAGUAGUCCGACCAUAUCAAGUCCUAAGACCGACCAAGUUAUCGGGAUUGUAUUCAAGGCUGUGGAUGGAAGGUGGGUUUAUUUAGUAAAGAGCUAGUACCCGACGAACAUAUCCACUAAAUCUUGUGCAUCGGCCUGUCCAGUGGGCCAACAGAACCUUGUUUGGGAAGUCUUUCUUACCAAGGUAUGAGGUGUUCCAUGAUGCCCACAGGUGCCGGGGUGUAUCUCGGACAAGAGCUUUUGUCUGUCUUCCUCGGAUAAGCAGAGCCGGAGCACUCCCGUGUUGCUGCAUUUAUAGAGCUCUCCGUACUGAACCUUGUAGGUCGUUGAUCGUCAAACGAUUUGCCGCCCAUCCGUCUGUUCCUCGGACAGUUCUUUAUCUAUCAAAUAAGAACGAAGUGGCUUUUUCGAUGGUACAAUAACUGCCAUAAUCUCACGGGUCGAGGAGGUUUCUUCGAGUGUUGAGCCCCCACUAUCACCUCGUCCGUUCUCUACGGCUGGCAGGGUGAUCAAUUCUUGUGUGGGUUCCUCAGGUUGCUUGCUUGGCUCGGUGUCUCCUUACCAUUUAUCAAACCAUUCGAACAAUUGUUCAACAUCGAGCACCCAUCCUUGCUAGUAUGUUUGUGGCUUGGUUGCUUUCAUCCAGGACAUAGUGAUAUUCUAAGCACUCAAAUCGAGCUGACAUGGUUUUCACUGUGUUGCGAUACAUAGUCAUCUUUGGGUCCUUUGCAACAAAGUCAGUGUUUAUCUAAGAGAUUGCGAGGUUGGAGUCACCUCGGACCUCAAGACCCCUUACGCCCAUUGAGACGUCCUUCCGACGUCCAUGAAGCAGUGGUUCAUACUCCGCCCCCUCGUUGGAGUUGGUUUACAUGACCUAGAGCACAUAAUUCACGGUGUCGCUGGUGGCUGAGGUGAGGACUACCCAAGCCCCUAGUCCGGCGAGCAUUUUGGAGCUGUCAAAAUACAUCACCUAAUGGGUAUAAGCCGCAUGCUCCCUAUGUAGCUCGGCCUCUGUCCAUUCUGCGCAGAAGUCGCCCAACACUUGGGAUUUAAUAGCCCGAUGUGGUCGAUAGAUAACGCCGAAAAGGAGGGGCUCAACUAUAUUACCUAGUUUCUAUUAGUAACUGGAGCAGUAGAUUAAUGUAAAACAAGUUUUGAAAAAAUGAGAUCCAUAGGCACUAGCACCCUGGACAUAUUUUUAUAGAAGAAGCCCACCAGGGUGAGAUCACGGAAAAUUCGCUCCUGACAGGAGUCGAACUCCGGUCUGCAAGGUGCGCCACAGCGACCUUGCCACUUGGCUACUGCCCAGUCCUCAUGUAAAACAAGUUUUCCACCUCAAUAAUUUUUUACUUAUGGUAAAAUGGCCUCGGCAUUGUAUACAAUGAAGAAUGGCGUGUAGCCGGUGGAUCGAUUUGGUGUGGUCCAUAGGCUCCACAACAUGGAGAUGAGCUACUCGGCCUACUUAUUGUCGACUUCCUUGAGAGAUCGAAUCAACCGAGGUUUUAUGCCGCUGAGGAUCAUCCCAUUGGCCCACUCAAGCAACCCAUUAGUUUGCAGGUGAUAGAUGGAGGCGUAGUCAAGCUUCAUGUUUUGCUUGGCGCACCUCAUUUUUUACUUCCUCGGCCGUGAAGUUGGAUUUGUUAUCUGUUAUGAUGCUGUGAGGUACUCCAUAACGUGUAUCAAGCCGGAGAUGAAUUUACGAUCGGUUGGGAUUUAGCCGAGGCCACAUGCUUUGCCUCUAUUCACUUUGUGAAAGUGUUGACCAUAACCAACAAAUAUUUCUUGCUUGUUUGAGCUCUAAGGAGUAGUCCGACCAUAUCAAGUCCUAAGACCGACCAAGUUAUCGGGAUUGUAUUCAAGGCUGUGGAUGGAAGGUGGGUUUAUUUAGUAAAGAGCUAGUACCCGACGAACAUAUCCACUAAAUCUUGUGCAUCGGCCUGUCCAGUGGGCCAACAGAACCUUGUUUGGGAAGUCUUUCUUACCAAGGUAUGAGGUGUUCCAUGAUGCCCACAGGUGCCGGAGUGUAUCUCGGAGAAGAGCUUUUGUCUGUCUUCCUCGGAUAUGCAGAGCCGGAGCACUCCCGUGUUGCUGCAUUUAUAGAGCUCUCCGUACUGUACCUUGUAGGUCGUUGAUCGUCAAACGAUUUGCCGCACAUCCGUCUGUUCCUCGGACAGUUCUUUAUCUAUCAAAUAAGAAAGAAGUGGCUUUUUCCAUGGUACAAUAACUGCCGUAAUCUCACGGGUCGAGGAGGUUUCUUCGAGUGUUGAGCCCCCACUAUCACCUCGUCCGUUCUCUACGGCUGGCAGGGUGAUCAAUUCUUGUGUGGGUUCCUCGGGUUGCUUGCUUGGCUCGGUGUCUCCUUACCAUUUAUCAAACCAUUCGAACAAUUGUUCAACAUCGAGCACCCAUCCUUGCUAGUAUGUUUGUGGCUUGGUUGCUUUCAUCCAGGACAUAGUGAUAUUCUAAGCACUCAAAUCGAGCUGACAUGGUUUUCACUGUGUUGCGAUACAUAGUCAUCUUUGGGUCCUUUGCAACGAAGUCAGUGUUUAUCUAAGACAUUGCGAGGUUGGAGUCACCUCGGACCUCAAGACCCCUUACGCCCAUUGAGACGUCCUUCCGACGUCCAUGAAGCAGUGGUUCAUACUCCGCCCCCUCGUUGGAGUUGGUUUACAUGACCUAGAGCAAAGAAUUCACGGUGUCGCUGGUGGCUGAGGUGAGGACUACCCAAGCCCCUAGUCCGGCGAGCAUUUUGGAGCUGUCAAAAUACAUCACCUAAUGGGUAUAAGCCGCAUGCUCCCUAUGUAGCUCGGCCUCUGUCCAUUCUGCGCAGAAGUCGCCCAACACUUGGGAUUUAAUAGCCCGAUGUGGUCGAUAGAUAACGCCGAAAAGGAGGGGCUCAACUAUAUUACCUAGUUUCUAUUAGUAACUGGAGCAGUAGAUUAAUGUAAAACAAGUUUUGAAAAAAUGAGAUCCAUAGGCACUAGCACCCUGGACAUAUUUUUAUAGAAGAAGCCCACUAGGGUGAGAUCACGGAAAAUUCGCUCCUGACAGGAGUCGAACUCCGGUCUGCAAGGUGCGCCACAGCGACCUUGCCACUUGGCUACUGCCCAGUCCUCAUGUAAAACAAGUUUUCCACCUCAAUAAUUUUUUACUUAUGGUAAAAUGGCCUCGGCAUUGUAUACAAUGAAGAAUGGCGUGUAGCCGGUGGAUCGAUUUGGUGUGGUCCAUAGGCUCCACAACAUGGAGAUGAGCUACUCGGGCUACUUAUUGUCGACUUCCUUGAGAGAUCGAAUCAACCGAGGUUUUAUGCCGCUGAGGAUCAUCCCAUUGGCCCACUCAACCAACCCAUUAGUUUGCAGGUGAUAGAUGGAGGCGUAGUCAAGCUUCAUGUUCUGCUUGGCGCACCUCAUUUUUUAUUUCCUCGGCCGUGAAGUUGGAUUUGUUAUCUGUUAUGAUGCUGUGAGGUACUCCAUAACGUGUAUCAAGCCGGAGAUGAAUUUACGAUCGGUUGGGAUUUAGCCGAGGCCACAUGCUUUGCCUCUAUUCACUUUGUGAAAGUGUUGACCAUAACCAACAAAUAUUUCUUGCUUGUUUGAGCUCUAAGGAGUAGUCCGACCAUUUCAAGUCCUAAGACCGACCAAGUUAUCGGGAUUGUAUUCAAGGCUGUGGAUGGAAGGUGGGUUUAUUUAGUAAAGAGCUAGUACCCGACGAACAUAUCCACUAAAUCUUGUGCAUCGGCCUGUCCAGUGGGCCAAUAGAACCUUGUUUGGGAAGUCUUUCUUACCAAGGUAUGCGGUGUUCCAUGAUGCCCACAGGUGCCAGAGUGUAUCUCGGACAAGAGCUUUUGUCUGUCUUCCUCGGAUAUGCAGAGCCGGAGCACUCCCGUGUUGCUGCAUUUAUAGAGCUCUCCGUACUGAACCUUGUAGGUCGUUGAUCGUCAAACGAUUUGCCGCCCAUCCAUCUGUUCCUCGGACAGUUCUUUAUCUAUCAAAUAAGAAAGAAGUGGCUUUUUCCAUGGUACAAUAACUGCCAUAAUCUCACGGGUCGAGGAGGUUUCUUCGAGUGCUGAGCCCCCACUAUCACCUCGUCCGUUCUCUACGGCUGGCAGGGUGAUCAAUUCUUGUGUGGGUUCCUCGGGUUGCUUGCUUGGCUCGAUGUCUCCUUACCAUUUAUCAAACCAUUCGAACAAUUGUUCAACAUCGAGCACCCAUCCUUGCUAGUAUGUUUGUGGCUUGGUUGCUUUCAUCCAGGACAUAGUGAUAUUCUAAGCACUCAAAUCGAGCUGACAUGGUUUUCACUGUGUUGCGAUACAUAGUCAUCUUUGGGUCCUUUGCAACGAAGUCAGUGUUUAUCUAAGAGAUUGCGAGGUUGGAGUCACCUCGGACCUCAAGACCCCUUACGCCCAUUGAGACGUCCAUCCGACGUCCAUGAAGCAGUGGUUCAUACUCCGCCCCCUCGUUGGAGUUGGUUUACAUGACCUAGAGCACAUAAUUCACGGUGUCGCUGGUGGCUGAGGUGAGGACUACCCAAGCCCCUAGUCCGGCGAGCAUUUUGGAGCUGUCAAAAUACAUCACCUAAUGGGUAUAAGCAGCAUGCUCCCUAUGUAGCUCGGCCUCUGUCCAUUCUGCGCAGAAGUCGCCCAACACUUGGGAUUUAAUAGCCCGAUGUGGUCGAUAGAUAACGCCGAAAAGGAGGGGCUCAACUAUAUUACCUAGUUUCUAUUAGUAACUGGAGCAGUAGAUUAAUGUAAAACAAGUUUUGAAAAAAUGAGAUCCAUAGGCACUAGCAUCCUGGACAUAUUUUUAUAGAAGAAGCCCACCAGGGUGAGAUCACGGAAAAUUCGCUCCUGACAGGAGUCGAACUCCGGUCUGCAAGGUGCGCCACAGCGACCUUGCCACUUGGCUACUGCCCAGUCCUCAUGUAAAACAAGUUUUCCACCUCAAUAAUUUUUUACUUAUGGUAAAAUGGCCUCGGCAUUGUAUACAAUGAAGAAUGGCGUGUAGCCGGUGGAUCGAUUUGGUGUGGUCCAUAGGCUCCACAACAUGGAGAUGAGCUACUCGGCCUACUUAUUGUCGACUUCCUUGAGAGAUCGAAUCAACCGAGGUUUUAUGCCGCUGAGGAUCAUCCCAUUGGCCCACUCAACCAACCCAUUAGUUUGCAGGUGAUAGAUGGAGGCGUAGUCAAGCUUCAUGUUCUGCUUGGCGCACCUCAUUUUUUACUUCCUCGGCCGUGAAGUUGGAUUUGUUAUCUGUUAUGAUGCUGUGAGGUACUCCAUAACGUGUAUCAAGCCGGAGAUGAAUUUACGAUCGGUUGGGAUUUAGCCGAGGCCACAUGCUUUGCCUCUAUUCACUUUGUGAAAGUGUUGACCAUAACCAACAAAUAUUUCUUGCUUGUUUGAGCUCUAAGGAGUAGUCCGACCAUUUCAAGUCCUAAGACCGACCAAGUUAUCGGGAUUGUAUUCAAGGCUGUGGAUGGAAGGUGGGUUUAUUUAGUAAAGAGCUAGUACCCGACGAACAUAUCCACUAAAUCUUGUGCAUCGGCCUGUCCAGUGGGCCAAUAGAACCUUGUUUGGGAAGUCUUUCUUACCAAGGUAUGAGGUGUUCCAUGAUGCCCACAGGUGCCGGAGUGUAUCUCGGACAAGAGCUUUUGUCUGUCUUCCUCGGAUAUGCAGAGCCGGAGCACUCCCGUGUUGCUGCAUUUAUAGAGCUCUCCGUACUGAACCUUGUAGGUCGUUGAUCGUCAAACGAUUUGCCGCCCAUCCGUCUGUUCCUCGGACAGUUCUUUAUCUAUCAAAUAAGAAAGAAGUGGCUUUUUCCAUGGUACAAUAACUGCCAUAAUCUCAUGGGUCGAGGAGGUUUCUUCGAGUGUUGAGCCCCCACUAUCACCUCGUCCGUUCUCUACGGCUGGCAGGGUGAUCAAUUCUUGUGUGGGUUCCUCGGGUUGCUUGCUUGGCUCGAUGUCUCCUUACCAUUUAUCAAACCAUUCGAACAAUUGUUCAACAUCGAGCACCCAUCCUUGAUAGUAUGUUUGUGGCUUGGUUGCUUUCAUCCAGGACAUAGUGAUAUUCUAAGCACUCAAAUCGAGCUGACAUGGUUUUCACUGUGUUGCGAUACAUAGUCAUCUUUGGGUCCUUUGCAACGAAGUCAGUGUUUAUCUAAGAGAUUGCGAGGUUGGAGUCACCUCGGACCUCAAGACCCCUUACGCCCAUUGAGACGUCCAUCCGACGUCCAUGAAGCAGUGGUUCAUACUCCGCCCCCUCGUUGGAGUUGGUUUACAUGACCUAGAGCACAUAAUUCACGGUGUCGCUGGUGGCUGAGGUGAGGACUACCCAAGCCCCUAGUCCGGCGAGCAUUUUGGAGCUGUCAAAAUACAUCACCUAAUGGGUAUAAGCCGCAUGCUCCCUAUGUAGCUCGGCCUCUGUCCAUUCUGCGCAGAAGUCGCCCAACACUUGGGAUUUAAUAGCCCGAUGUGGUCGAUAGAUAACGCCGAAAAGGAGGGGCUCAACUAUAUUACCUAGUUUCUAUUAGUAACUGGAGCAGUAGAUUAAUGUAAAACAAGUUUUGAAAAAAUGAGAUCCAUAGGCACUAGCAUCCUGGACAUAUUUUUAUAGAAGAAGCCCACCAGGGUGAGAUCACGGAAAAUUCGCUCCUGACAGGAGUCGAACUCCGGUCUGCAAGGUGCGCCACAGCGACCUUGCUACUUGGCUACUGCCCAGUCCUCAUGUAAAACAAGUUUUCCACCUCAAUAAUUUUUUACUUAUGGUAAAAUGGCCUCGGCAUUGUUUACAAUGAAGAAUGGCGUGUAGCCGGUGGAUCGAUUUGGUGUGGUCCAUAGGCUCCACAACAUGGAGAUGAGCUACUCGGCCUACUUAUUGUCGACUUCCUUGAGAGAUCGAAUCAACCGAGGUUUUAUGCCGCUGAGGAUCAUCCCAUUGGCCCACUCAACCAACCCAUUAGUUUGCAGGUGAUAGAUGGAGGCGUAGUCAAGCUUCAUGUUCUGCUUGGCGCACCUCAUUUUUUACUUCCUCGGCCGUGAAGUUGGAUUUGUUAUCUGUUAUGAUGCUGUGAGGUACUCCAUAACGUGUAUCAAGCCGGAGAUGAAUUUACGAUCGGUUGGGAUUUAGCCGAGGCCACAUGCUUUGCCUCUAUUCACUUUGUGAAAGUGUUGACCAUAACCAACAAAUAUUUCUUGCUUGUUUGAGCUCUAAGGAGUAGUCCGACCAUUUCAAGUCCUAAGACCGACCAAGUUAUCGGGAUUGUAUUCAAGGCUGUGGAUGGAAGGUGGGUUUAUUUAGUAAAGAGCUAGUACCCGACGAACAUAUCCACUAAAUCUUGUGCAUCGGCCUGUCCAGUGGGCCAAUAGAACCUUGUUUGGGAAGUCUUUCUUACCAAGGUAUGAGGUGUUCCAUGAUGCCCACAGGUGCCGGAGUGUAUCUCGGACAAGAGCUUUUGUCUGUCUUCCUCGGAUAUGCAGAGCCGGAGCACUCCCGUGUUGCUGCAUUUAUAGAGCUCUCCGUACUGAACCUUGUAGGUCGUUGAUCGUCAAACGAUUUGCCGCCCAUCCGUCUGUUCCUCGGACAGUUCUUUAUCUAUCAAAUAAGAAAGAAGUGGCUUUUUCCAUGGUACAAUAACUGCCAUAAUCUCACGGGUCGAGGAGGUUUCUUCGAGUGUUGAGCCCCCACUAUCACCUCGUCCGUUCUCUACGGCUGGCAGGGUGAUCAAUUCUUGUGUGGGUUCCUCGGGUUGCUUGCUUGGCUCGAUGUCUCCUUACCAUUUAUCAAACCAUUCGAACAAUUGUUCAACAUCGAGCACCCAUCCUUGCUAGUAUGUUUGUGGCUUGGUUGCUUUCAUCCAGGACAUAGUGAUAUUCUAAGCACUCAAAUCGAGCUGACAUGGUUUUCACUGUGUUGCGAUACAUAGUCAUCUUUGGGUCCUUUGCAACGAAGUCAGUGUUUAUCUAAGAGAUUGCGAGGUUGGAGUCACCUCGGACCUCAAGACCCCUUACGCCCAUUGAGACGUCCAUCCGACGUCCAGGAAGCAGUGGUUCAUACUCCGCCCCCUCGUUGGAGUUGGUUUACAUGACCUAGAGCACAUAAUUCACGGUGUCGCUGGUGGCUGAGGUGAGGACUACCCAAGCCCCUAGUCCGGCGAGCAUUUUGGAGCUGUCAAAAUACAUCACCUAAUGGGUAUAAGCCGCAUGCUCCCUAUGUAGCUCGGCCUCUGUCCAUUCUGCGCAGAAGUCGCCCAACACUUGGGAUUUAAUAGCCCGAUGUGGUCGAUAGAUAACGCCGAAAAGGAGGGGCUCAACUAUAUUACCUAGUUUCUAUUAGUAACUGGAGCAGUAGAUUAAUGUAAAACAAGUUUUGAAAAAAUGAGAUCCAUAGGCACUAGCACCCUGGACAUAUUUUUAUAGAAGAAGCCCACCAGGGUGAGAUCACGGAAAAUUCGCUCCUGACAGGAGUCGAACUCCGGUCUGCAAGGUGCGCCACAGCGACCUUGCCACUUGGCUACUGCCCAGUCCUCAUGUAAAACAAGUUUUCCACCUCAAUAAUUUUUUACUUAUGGUAAAAUGGCCUCGGCAUUGUAUACAAUGAAGAAUGGCGUGUAGCCGGUGGAUCGAUUUGGUGUGGUCCAUAGGCUCCACAACACGGAGAGGAGCUACUCGGCCUACUUAUUGUCGGCUUCCUUGAGAGAUCGAAUCAACCGAGGUUUUAUGCCAUUAAGGAUCAUCCCAUUGGCCCACUCGACCAACCCAUUAGUUUGCGGGUGACAGAUGGAGGCGUAGUCAAGCUUCAUGUUCUGCUUCGCGCAGCUCGUUUUUUACCUCCUCGGCCGUGAAGUUGGAUUUGUUAUGUGUUAUGAUGAUGUGAGGUACUCCAUAACGUGUACCAAGCCACAGAUGAAUUUCUCACUGGUUGGGCUUUAGCCGAGGGCACAUGAUUUGCAUCUAUUCACUUUGUGAACUUGUCGACGAUGACCAGCAAAUAUUUCUUGUUGGUUUGACCUUUAUGGAGUAGUCCGGCCAUAUCAAGUCCCAAGACCGACCAACCGGGUUAUCAGGAUUGUUUUCAAGGUUGUUGGCCCGUCCUGUGGGCCAAUAGAACCUUGUGCGGAAAGCCUUUCUUGCCAAGGUCUUUGUACACCUAAAAAAAAACAAGGUCUUUGUAUUAUAUUACUUGACAGUUUAUAAAUAGAUCGGAAGUUUUUUUUUGAAAAAGAUCUUUUUGUAAAGAAUAAAAGAGAAAAUAGAAAUAAAUUUUGUAGUUGCUAUUAUCAAUCCGUGGUACGAUGAAGGAAAACAUAUGUAAUUUUUUUGACGAGGGAAGGGCGAUGGCGGCGGCGUUGGUGUAAUUUUUUACUUAUGAUGUUCUUUGUAGUGAUUUAAACACUCUUAUAUUAGUUUACGGAGGGAGUACUUGACAGUUGAUAAAUAGAUCAGAAGUUUUUUGUAAAAAGAUCUUAUUGUGAAGAAUCAAAAAAGAAAAAAAAUUGCAGUUGCUAUUAAUAAUUUGUGGUAUAAUGAAGGAAAAAUUGUAAACAACAAAAGACUUACAUCUAAAAAAACCAAGGUCUUUGUAUUAUAUUACUUGACAGUUCAUAAAUAGAUCGGAAUUUUUUUUUUGAAAAAGAUCUUUUUGUAAAAAAUAAAAGAGAAAAUAGAAAUAAAUUUUGUAGUUGCUAUUAUCAAUCCGUGGUACGAUGAAGGCAAAAAUAUGUAAUUUUUUUGAUGAGGGAAGGGCGAUGGCGGCGGCGUUGGUGUAAUUUUUUACUUAUGAUGUUCUUUGUAGUGAUUUAAACACUCUUAUAUUAGUUUAAGGAGGGAGUACUUGACAGUUGAUAAAUAGAUCAGAAGUUUUUUGUAAAAAGAUCUUAUUGUGAAGAAAAAAAAAGAAAAAAAAUUGCAGUUGCUAUUAAUAAUUUGUGGUAUAAUGAAGGAAAAAAUGUAAACAACAAAAGACUUACAUCACUGGUUAGCUAGGCCAGUGAACGCUUCUCUUCCUCGGCAGACCUGAUAGGCCAGGCUUAGCUAGUACUACUGGUGGGGGCGCGCCCUUGGCGCGCCUCCUCUGCCGUCCUGUGCGCACAAAUCUUGCAGAUGGACUUUUAAACGUGCUUUUGCAGCCCAGAUAAGUACCAAAUGUUAAAAAAAGUGCACUUAACAGAAAUAGCUCAGUAGUUUUCACUCAUAAAGUAGAGGGAGCAGAGGGAGCUAAUAGAUGAUAUAAAAACUAUUAAUAUCCAUCCAUUGGAAAAAAUGAAAUCAAGAAACUAACAUAAAUCUGAAUAAGAUAGGUCUUGAUAUUGCCAUCUAGAGUUUGCAGCUGGCCACCCACUCAUACCUCUUAAUCGACAAGCUAGUGAAGUGAGAAUGUUUGCCCAUAUAAAUUGAAGGAAAUGUUAGAAGUAUACUUUGCAUUCAAGGGAUGGAUUGAUUCGGCCAACCAUCGAAGUAUUGCAUUGUAUCCAACCACCAUGGUUCCUGCUUUAUUAUUAAUAGGACCCAUGCCUGAAUAGAGGCAUAGCAUGUAUUGUCAACUUCCAAGUAGACUCUCAGAACUUGAAAAAAAAAUCUUGCCUGGCUUCAUCAUUCAUCAACUUUGAAGCCUUGCUAGUAAAAAUGUAAACUGCCACCAGCUGAAAUGACAUAUACAUACGGGCAAACAUCAGAUGUGAAGGUUAAAUCGGCGGAUACUCGGGAAUGCAAAAGAAUUAUUUAUGGUGAAAUUUAAUAAAAUUUGGACAGAAACAAAUGACAUAUACAGAAAUAAAGCAGAGAUAACCCAGGGGCCUGGUGAGGUACAAUUAUAGAAUAAAGGAAACAAUCAUAUUAUUUAGUAGGUCGCAGAACCAUGUAAAUAACUUUAGACUCCGCAGCCAAUUUGUUUUUCACCAUGAUUUGGUCAAACUUUUUAGCCCAAAAUGCUACAGACUUGCAACAGUCCCCUAGAGAAAUCUCAGUCAGCAAUUUUACAGUGGUUUCACGUUGGCACAAACAUUUGCUCACUACAAAGUACAUGAGCCACAAGAAAGCAUGAUAACAGAGAAGCAAGCUUAGCUGUUAAGCAACUUCAGUAGCACAUGCAAAGGAGAAGAGCAUUCAGCAGCAGCACCUAGCACUCGCGUCCCCACGGUACCCUAAUUGCUAGAAGAAAAUUCAAUGCACAUAAAACAGACCACAAAAGCAAAGAAACAAUCGCAUCUAAAUACCUCAAAAGACUGAACCACUUCCUACACGAGUGGACUUUUCUGCUAUGCUAGUUUCGCUUUUCUUGAUCUCACAAGAGUAAGAGCUCUUUUGUAUCUUGGGUGCAAAAUAUAAGUCCUAAAUCUUGUAUGGCUGAUCAUGGGGACCUAUGUAGUACACCUCUCUAUGCCAGUGGCCUAAUUACUCUGUACCUUUUCUAGCCAUAGGAUAUGAUAGGGAGCAACAUGGUACUAAUUAGUGGCAGUCAAUAGCAAAUAAAUCCUUGCUACACAAAGAAUGAACUGGUUGGCUAGCGAAAGUGGGCCAACCAUGAAUGUACAGUCCAUUCGCAAUGCAUUGAUCACAAUUCAUACAUGGUGUAGGCAGACUCCCAUGUGUAGUAUGAGCUGCCUCUAAACUGUUCUAAAUAAUAUCCAUAUCUUUUGAGUAAGUAUAUAUAAUGGCGUGUUUAUCGAAGUUUCUGUUUCUGAGUUGAUGCAAGACUUGACCAUGCAAAGUGAAAGAUUUAUUAGAAGCCAAAUGAAGGAGCACACUAAAGGCCACCACCCGAAUAUGAUUACAAAGUAAAUAAAAGGGCAUCUAAUGAGAAGAUUUGCAACAAAAGUAUGCCAUUCACAUGGUUCAUUAGUAAAGUGGCAGUAUCAUGUAUCCCUUUUGAAGUUCAUGGUAAAAACUAAAAACACAAUAGUCAACAUAAAAGAAAAGUUAUAUGAUACAUCGGAUUUAUCCAGAAUCUGCCUAGAGGAAUAUUAUAUUAAUAAUGGAUAUAUAGAAUUUCCCAUACGAGCAGAGGGUGCAUUUGUGAUAAGAACCAGCUAGUAAACUGGAAAAAAAAUGUGCAAGCACUUUCUAUAAAAUCGUGGUAUGAAGAAUAGAACAUUUCUAUGAGUUGACAAAUGUUCAUGCUCAAAGGAAUGUUCCUAAGUAUAGAACAAUGAAUCACAAACCCAGGAGCAACCGUUCAAACUAUAACAUCAUGAAAGGAAAGAGGUGCAUCAGCCAAUACCAUCCUUUCCUUCUUUUCACAUAUGGUAGGGACCUUCGUAUGUUUAUAACAACAAACCAGAAGUCUCCACUUCCUAGCUCUAUGUAUCCAGGUGGUAUCGAGAUCAAUAGGGUUGUUUUAUAUAGCACAACAAAAGUCACUCUAACAUCAAAGUGAAAAAAUGUCCUAUAAAUGAGAACGGCACACUUGUUGUUUCAUAGACAUGUGCUAAAAAUAUUGUUCUAAGACCAAAUGCUGAUAAGUUGAUAAGUAACACGUACAAUGGACAGGAAUUUUCAAUGUCGAAUACAGUACCAUAUGAAGGGAGGACAUAAUACAUCAGAUGCGAAUGUGUUGUUCAAUCUUCAUAAGCAAUGUACAACCCACCUUUUUUAUUCAAAUUAAGAAGGCGAUUGUUGGCUACAUUACAUAAUUAGACAUGCUAAUAUAAUACAUUUAGCUGAUGCAGUACAGGGCACAAACUAAGAUGCCACUAUAUACUCUAAAAAACCAUUGUUCAAACUCAGUAGCCUGUACAUGGCAAUUGCUACAAGAGUCAGUGGUUUGCUAGUUUACUAAACUACCAUUUCACAGCUAAACACAAAAUAAGCGAUACCAGAUAGCAUGAUAUAUACCUAACAGCUCCGUAUUGUUACUGGAAGUAGAAUUAACAAAUUUAUUUGUGUAAGGAAAAAAAUGAACGGUAACCGCACCGAUUCACUACAGUUUCAGGUUCAAAUCUUGCACCUUCUCCCCUUUAUUAGAAGUAUAUCCUUGAGUAUUGCUCUCUCGCUAGUUUGUCCUUCAGUGUCAUUAUUAUGAAGCCUUUCAGUCUAUAAUAUGGAAGAUGAGAAACCAGUCGUGCCUGAUACCGAAGAACAACAGCUAGGUAAAUGGCACGGUCUUUCUGCUUAACAGGAGCUACAAACCCCUUUAUUUGUACAUGUAUCAGGAAGAAGGUGAACACAUUUGAAGUCACAAAGCAAGUUUUCGUAUAAUUUUUAUAGAGAAUGUCUAAAAGCUAUCUAUUGUAGUACCUAUACUGUUCCACUCCUAUGACUGAAAUGGUUGUAAACACUAAACUCAGUAAACUUUCUCCACUGUAGCGUUGCUAAAAGAGGAAGACUUGCUGCUGCACAUCAAUACUGAUUUGAAUCCAAAAUUUAAAUUAUGUAAAUACAGGAGAAAAUUGGUUCUAAAAGGUAGAACGUUGGAGGUUUCAGUAAGUAUUGAGUGGCAUAAUAUACAACCACGCAAAUAAAUUCAAAAGGUGAUGUUACAUAAAGAAUUAUGUUACCCAUCUGCCCCAUUGGCAUCAUUGGGUGUUGCAUGCUUAUGUGUUGGGGUACCAGAUCAACACAAAAAAAGUCAUAACAUGAGGUUCAAUUUGAUGGUAUUGAAUUUGCCCACAAAAACAAUUUUCACAAUGUAACACAUAUAAUCUGAGUGUUCACGAAUUUGGUUGCACUCACAAAUGUUCAGAUAGCCGGGUUGCUAUGACAUUGCGGUCUUCUUCAAAUUAUCCCACAUGUUUUAAUUUCCCUGAAUCACCCAUGCAAUGUCCGACUGAUAAAACGGUGUACAAAAAUAGUGGUUAGACAAACAGAUUCUGAAGACAUUAAGAUUCGAAAUUAAAAACCACAGGGCAAGGUGUGAGAUUGCUGAAACGAAUAAUGGCAACAUCAUACAAAUUACACCCUGUUUGUUACAAAAUGUGUGGAGUAUCUUUGAGAAUCUGUUAGAGGGGAUGUAAUACCUCAUUCUUGUGAUCUCCUAAGCCUUGUAAUUCUUGCAACCAGCAUACACAUAGAGAACAAAAGAAUUUCCAUCUCAUACAGAAAAUGUGUGUCUAUAUUCAGGCACACAUAAUCUUACCCCAAAACGAAGAAAACUGAUAAAUGUACACAUGAUAUUCCUGUAAGAAUUUGCCAAGAAUAUCAAGAAUGAGAAAGCAUGAGCACCAUAUUUAGUAGGGUGCAGGGACCUGUAACUCACCAAUCGCUUGAUAGCCAAAUUAGAGAGGGGGGCAAAACGCAUAAAUAUGAAAGCAGUGCAUUUGCUGCUCGGAAAGGUGAUGAUGGCCCUGUUCUGUCCAAGGUCAACAACCCCAAACGAACUCUAGCCUGCCAAUCACAUGGUCAGCAGCUGAAACAAACACAAACCAUACAAUCAGGUGAACCUGGACAGGAGGAGGAGGAGCUGAUUCUGUACCCUGUAGAUGAGGCGGUCGAGGACGAAUCGGGCGCAGAGGAAGCCGAGGGAGAAGGGCAGCGCAUGGGGAGGACGAACGCCCAGCAGCUACUUGUGGCUCGGAGACUCACGGCGCACCUGAGAACCUGGACGGGAGGAGGAGACCGCUGCCGAGGAGGAGGCGUGGAGGGUGGGAUGCGCCCUUUGCGACACCGUUAAAGGGUUGUAUAAUAAGCUGGCUCAUUUCUGCGUCGUCGGCGCCUCGGCAAACCCGAUCGACCAGCUAAGCUAGCUACAGCUGAUCCGUGAUUGCUUCCUAGGCCGACACAGAGCACAGGAACAGGCUAUUUAAGCUGGCCAGAUUCCUUCCCCGAGAGCGGUGUGGGACUAAAAAAUGUGAAAACGUCGCGUGCUCGCUCCCGGUCCACCGCGUCGCCGUCGACCGAUUCCGAUUCGGACAACCCGUGUACUGGUCGACGUAGACUGCACGCUGGAGUAUAAAUUGAGUGCUCCUUUAUACUCCACCAGUCCCAAAAUAUAAGAACAUUUUUAACACUAUACUAGUAUAAAAACGUUCUUAUAUUAUUGGACCGAGGGAGUAAUAUUUAUUAGUAGUAUUCUGCCUUACGCUGAACUAUGUACGGACCUUGGACAGCAUGCAUGGGAUAGUGUUGACCAUUUUACAAGACUGGUUUAUUAAACAAUCCUUGUGUUCCUCGUGCUAAAUCCCAUUUACAGAUGUUCACACGGAUUAAUUUGCUCAACUAUAUUACCUAAUUUCUACUGAUAAUUGAAGCAAGUACAAGACCAGCCCGCGAGCAGCACUCGCGCGUCCAUAAACACUAGUAGAAAAAGGGUCAAACGUGAAGCACAUUAGUACCGGUUUGAUUUUGGCCCGGUACUAAUGGUACCAUUAGUGCCGGUUCGAACGGAUUUGCAUUAAUGCCGGUUCGUGUUGAACCUUUAGUACCGGUUUGUGGCACGAACCGGUACUAAAGGGGUGGUGGCAGGUUGGCGUCAGGCCGGAGCCCCACGAUCACCUUUUAGUACCGGUUCGUGCCAUGAACCGGUACUAAAGGGGUCUGACCUAUAGUACCGGUUUGUGACACAAACCGGNNNNNNNNNNNNNNNNNNNNNNNNNNNNNNNNNNNNNNNNNNNNNNNNNNNNNNNNNNNNNNNNNNNNNNNNNNNNNNNNNNNNNNNNNNNNNNNNNNNNNNNNNNNNNNNNNNNNNNNNNNNNNNNNNNNNNNNNNNNNNNNNNNNNNNNNNNNNNNNNNNNNNNNNNNNNNNNNNNNNNNNNNNNNNNNNNNNNNNNNNNNNNNNNNNNNNNNNNNNNNNNNNNNNNNNNNNNNNNNNNNNNNNNNNNNNNNNNNNNNNNNNNNNNNNNNNNNNNNNNNNNNNNNNNNNNNNNAAAUCAAAAGAAAAUGAUAAAAACUUCAAAAAAUAAAAUCCUUCGAGAGGUAGUUAUAUUACUACAUCUACAAGUUAGGAAAAUUUGAAAACUACAAUUUGGACAUGUUUUGCAAAAAGUGUAGGGAAAAUGUAAAACGGCUAUAACUUUUGCAUACGAUGUCGGAAAAAAACGUAUAAUAUAUCAAAAAAUUCAGCACGAAAAUCCGCAUCCGAUGGAGACGGCCUACGGCCAGUUUGGAAUUUUUUAGAAUCCUCAAAUUCCAAAAGGAAAAAAAGAUAUGGUCAAAUUUCAGUUUUAUUAAAAAAAAUUGGUUAAAUCUGGUCAAACUACUUAUUCAAGAAGUAUUAAUGUUACUACAUAAUUAUUCAAGAAUAUUAGUGUUACUAAAUAAUUAUUUCAAUUUUUUGAAUUUUUGUCAAAUCUCGACAAACUAUGGUCAAACUGUGGUCAAACUAUGGUCAAACUAUGGUCAAACUUAUUCAAGAAAUAUUAGCGUUACUAAAUAAUUACUGUUUUUUAGAAUAAUAGUUUCAAAUUCAAACGGUGAAAUGUGUGACUUCAUGCUCAAGCUAAACUCCUGAGGGUUAAUAGGAUUGACAUCCUACUAUUGUUAGGAAAACAACAAGUGCAGACUCGGAAACGAAGGAGAAUAGAACCCGAAAGUUAAGCGUGCUCGGGCUAGAGUAGUGAGAGGGAUGGGUGACCGGUCGGGAAGUUAGAUGAUUUGGAAUGAGUGAUCCACACUUGAGCAGUUAAGAGAGGUGAUUAGAGAAUAAAUCAUUAAAUAAUUCAGAAAAAUUAAAAAUCGAAAAAAAAUCAUUUUUUUUUCCAAAAUUUUCAAAAAAAAAUUCAAAAAAAAAACCUUUAGUACCGGUUGGUAACACCAACCGGUACUAAAGGUCCCCCAUAUCAGGGCGCGAGCUCACGCCACGUGGUGGCACUUUAGCGCCGGUUCGUGCCGAACCGGUACUAAAGGGGGGGGGGCCUUUAGUGCCCACACUUUAGUGCCGGUUAUGGAACCGGCACUAAAGGCCCUUACGAACCAGCGCUAAAGCUCCGUUUUCUACUAGUGAAAAAGUGUCGGACAACUGGCAACUAUGGCAGAUCACAGUUGGACAUAAUCUUCGAACAACCGCGCGCAAUACACACCGCCACGCCGGAAGAAUCGGCUACCCAUAGAAAUAGAAAUUGUUGGGUAUUUAAUCAGGUGGCAAAGGCAGAACCUGUGUGCCUCUAAAAGCCUGGCCCAUAGGACAAUAACAACAUGCAUACCCAGGCGGAAGAGCUUGCCACACCCAGGGGCAAAUAUCCACCCCACUUAAUGGACUUAUACCCGCACCACUGAGACUAAGCAGUCAUCAGGCAGGCAGUGGUCGUACAUUCCAAUUACGCUCGAUCACCGAGACAAUCCGGUGGGAAUCCAUAACAAUGGAGGUCGCCACCCUGAUCCUGGACCAUAUAAUCGAAGGUUUUCACUUGUUGAAAGUUCUAACGAACGGUGGAAGUAGUCUUAACAUCAUAUACGAGGGAACUCUAAACAAGACGCGGUUCGACAAGUCAUGCAUCUUGCUCGAGCAAGACAACUUUUAAGGGCAUAAUUCCAGGCAAGGAGGUGCGCUGCACGGGAAAAGUCACGUUAGACGUGGUAUUCACACUAGUAGAAUCCCGGUUCAGUCAUGAACCGGGACCCAUGGGGGCACAGGUCCCGGUUCGUGAGGACAAGGGGCCGGCCGGGCCUCGUGGGGCAUUGGUCCCAGUUCAUCUGGCCCCUCUGGUCCCGGUUCCAGACACGGACCGAGACCAAUGGGCCUCGCUCCUGGCCCAAAACCUUAAGUCCCGGUUCGUGGCUGGAACCGGGACUAAAUGUGGUCCUUUAGUCCUGGGUCCAGCCAUGUGACGCCCCCGAUCUCGAAUGUGUACGAUCAAGAUCAGGGACUCACGGGAAGAUAUCACAACACAACUGUAGACACAAAUAAAUCAAUACAAGCUUUAUAUUACAAGUCAGGGGCCUCGAGGGCUCGAAUACAAGCUCGAUACACAAGAGUCAGCGGAAGCAACAAUAUCUGAGUACAAACAUAAGUUAAACAAGGAUGCCUUAAGAAGGCUAGCACAAAAGGAACAAUGAUCGAAGAGGCAAGGCCUCCUGCCUGGGACCUCCUAACUAGUCCUGUUCGUCGGCGGUCUCCACGUAGCAGUAUCUGUCGGCGGUGGCAUCUAGCUCCAGGGAUCCACCAUCUGGUUGCAUCAACCGGAAAGAAGAAAGAAAGGGGAAAAGGGGUAGAAAAGCAACCGUGAGCACUCAUCCAAAGUACUCGCAAGCAUCAGAUCUAUACUAAGUAUGCAUUGGUAUCAAAUGAAAGGUUUGAAUUAGUGGACUGAACUGCAGAACGCCAGAAUAGAGGGGGAAGGCCUAGCCUAUUGAAGACUAGCAUCUUCAAGCAACUCCUAGCAUCUUGCAGCAUGUAAGAGAGUAAAGAAUAGCAGUUUAAUUAACUAACAUGUUGUAACAUUAAUGCCCAGAGAUCCUUCCUCGACUCCGUGCGAGAAAGCAAUCUCGGAACCACCUAUCUCAAGUAUCCAUUUGUAGUUGUAUAAGAUCAGGAUAUAAGCCUGAACGUCCGUUACCGUGGACACGGCUAUUAAUAGAUAAUCUUCCCUGUAGGGGUGCACCACGUUUUCCAACACGCUUGAUUACUCUGGUCGGACACAGUUUCCUGGGUCAUGUCCGGCCUUGGUAGAUUAACACAUCGCAGACCUACCUAGGCUCAACAAAGAGGUCCCCGCCGGUCAACCUCCUAAGCACUCCGGGGUCUGGGCCCAUCGCCCAUUGCACUCCGGGUCGUUGUGCGCAGGGAGAACUUAGGCACCACCUCUGGGGUGCCGGCCCAGCCAUGCCGCACUGCUAAACUGGACGUCUGACAAAGCUUCGGCUGAUACCGCGACGUCGAGGCCUAUAACUAUUCUCACUUGGUGGUUGGUGCGUAAAGGCCAGAGGCCAACUCAGAACAAAUACCCAAACCAUAGUGUAUUAUUAGCUUGCGGAGACGAGCAGAGACUCAUGAUAAUGUGACCCCGUCAUCCCGUCUCGUGGACUUACGGCAAGGGAUCAGAAUGCCCGGCCGUGCCACGUAACCAUCUUGCGGGUGCUCCCCGGGCCCGUCCGACUUUCACCAAGGUCUCAAGUAAAGUCAAGGUAACCGUGUGUCCAAACAUCAAGGGGAAAACCCGAGGAAUCACCCUCGGUGUAUUCCACUCGAUGUAAUCAUCAAGGUGAAUGUAAGAGGAACCACCCUCGAGGUUCACACUUGAGGUGUUGCACGACAGAGUAGUAUCAGAAGUGGUUAAGGAGGAAUCAGCCUCGAUAACCACGACCGAAUAGCUACACUAUAGAGAUCUCAUCAGGAGUGAUGUAUGAGGUACCACCCUCGACACUCGAUGGUAACUCUAUAGAGUCGAGCAUCAAAAAGGGCGUGAUGUGAUGUGAGGUGUCCGGCUCUGUUCGUCGAUCACGUUGACCGAGGUGUCGAUGAUGAAGCAGGGGCAACAAGGACAAGGUGGGGGUCACUGAUGGAUCACUAACCAACCUAUACUAAGCAGUUUAGGAUAAGAAGGUAAGGUACAAUAGCAAGUUACAAAAGAAGGCUAUGCAUCAGAAAAGGAUCAAUCAAUUAAAGUAGCAAAAUCUAAUGCAAGCAUGAGAGAAUGGAAUGGGCGAUAUCAGGAUGAUCAAAGGGGGGCUUGCCUGGAAGCUUCGCUGAAAGGGAAGAGGGUCGUCGGUGAAGUAGUCGAUCACAGGGGCAUCAACAACGGUCUCGGGGUCUACCGGAGAGAAGAGGGGGAAGAAAUAGUAAAUACACACAAACAUAUGCAUAACAUGAUUAUAAGCAGGGCUAGAUGUGUUCGAACGCGGUGCUAGGCGAUACUGGCAAAGGGGGAAAACAUCCGGGAAAGUUUUCCCGGUUCCGAACGUCUGUCAGACAGAUGAACCAGAGGGGAAAAGUUUAACGUUUGCUAUGCUAGGGACGUGUGGCGGACGAACGGACCACGUGUUCGGAUUCGUCUCGCCGUUAUGAGCAACUUUCAUGUACAAAGUAUAAUCAUCCGAGUUACGGAUUAAUUUAAAUGAUUUAUCAAAGUUAUAAAUGAUUUUAUAAUAUUAUUAUUACAACAGCGUGAUGUCAGCAUGACAUGAGCAGCCAACAGGGCGUUGACUGGAUCAAACUGACAUGUGGGGUCAUUCUGUCAUAGACCUAACUAAUGAACAGAUUUAAUUAACUAAGUUUGGUUGAUUAGGUUAAUUAACAUGAUUAAUUAAGUUAACUAAUUAAUUAAUGUUUUUAAUUAUUAUUAUAUUUACAUUUUCGUUUCUUUUAGAAAAAAUAGGGGGCUGGGCCCGUGUGGCAGUGGCCCAGUCGGAUCACACACGCACGCACACAUACACAGCCACGACCACGGCCAUGGCCAGCGGCAGUGGCAGGCAACGACAAGGGACGGCGUCGGCGCCUGCGCGGCUGCUGGGUGGUGGCCGGCGCGGCAGGAGCUCCGGCGGGCGCGCACACGGGAGGAGGUGCUGCAGGGGGGUUGGCAAUGGCGAGCGAGGCGAGCGUCGGCUUGGGCAGAGCAGAUCCACAGCAGGGGCCGGGCGGCGGCAGCCACGCGCGGCCAUGGGCGCGUGCGGGCGCGAGGUUGCAGGGCCGCGGCACGGUCAGUGCGCAGCGAGCACGCACUCGCCGCGGGAGCGGGCGCGGGUCGAAGAGAAGAGGGAGGAGGCCGGGGGCCUCACCGGCGAUGGAGGUAAGCCGUAAGCGAGGGCGGCGAGGUCCGUUGGCGGCCAUUGAGGAGGAUGACGGGGACGGCCCGGCGACGGGGUCGGGGAGGCGCGGGGCGUCGGGGUAGGCGAACCGAGGCGGCACCGCGCGGCGGCUUCGAGGCGGCUCCGGCGAGCAUCGAGGGUGUAUAGGAGGGCACGGUCGGGGCGACCCAGCGCCGGGACUGGCCUCUGCCGGGCGGCGGGUGGCGUUGAGAGCGCCGUUGGUCGAGCCCCGAUCUGGAUCGAGGCGGGNNNNNNNNNNNNNNNNNNNNNNNNNNNNNNNNNNNNNNNNNNNNNNNNNNNNNNNNNNNNNNNNNNNNNNNNNNNNNNNNNNNNNNNNNNNNNNNNNNNNNNNNNNNNNNNNNNNNNNNNNNNNNNNNNNNNNNNNNNNNNNNNNNNNNNNNNNNNNNNNNNNNNNNNNNNNNNNNNNNNNNNNNNNNNNNNNNNNNNNNNNNNNNNNNNNNNNNNNNNNNNNNNNNNNNNNNNNNNNNNNNNNNNNNNNNNNNNNNNNNNNNNNNNNNNNNNNNNNNNNNNNNNNNNNNNNNNNNNNNNNNNNNNNNNNNNNNNNNNNNNNNNNNNNNNNNNNNNNNNNNNNNNNNNNNNNNNNNNNNNNNNNNNNNNNNNNNNNNNNUGUUUUUCUUUUAAAAAAUUUCUCUUUUCUUUUAUUUUAAGGAACUUAAACAAUUUGCAGAAAGAUGAUUUCUCCACCAGUAUUUUCUAUGAAUUAUUUGUCAUAGUCUGAACACUUUAGUUUUACAUUUUGAAAACUUUAAAUUUUGACUUUGUUUUAAAACUGAAUUUGAACCGUUUCAAACCAACGCAAGUUGAACAACAGUAAUCGUGGUGACGUUUCAUCAUGAACCGUUUCACAAUUCUUCCCAACUACAAGAAAUCACGUCUUGAGAUUUAGGAGGUAGAAGAAAACAAAGCGGGGUAUUUGUCACGAAGACGAUCCUCGGGUUCCCAAGUGGCUUCAUCUUCAGAGUGAUGCGACCACUGGACCUUGAGGAACUUGAUCGCCUUCUGACGUGUGCGGCAUUCAGCUUGGUCGAGUAUGCGGACCGGAUGCUCUUUAUAGGAGGGUCCUGUUGCAACUCGAGCACUUCAUGAUCCACUGCUCAGAUUGGGUCCUUGAAGUAGCGGCGGAGUUGUGACACGUGGAAACACAUCAUGAACCUGAGAAAGGUUCGACAGAAGCUCCAACUGGUAUGUCACUUUUCCACGCCUUCCAAGAAUAGUGAAUGGACCAAUAUAGCGAGGAGCUAGCUUGCCCUUGAUCCCGAAGCGGUGAGCACCCUUCAUUGGUGUGACUCGAAGAUAAGCCUUUUCGCCAGGUUGAUAGACCAUGUCCUUUUGAUGACGGUCAUACUGACUCUUUUGACGUGACUGAGCAGUCUUGAGAUUCUCGCGAAUGACGCGGACUUGUUCUUCGGCGUGUUGGAUAAUAUCCGGACCAAAGAGUGGACGUUCCCCAGUUUCUAACCAGUUCGACACUUUCGUCCAUAUAACACUUCAAAGGGGGCCAUCUUCAUACUAGCUUGAUAGUUAUUGUUGUAGGAGAACUCAGCAUACGAGAGAGAUUCCUCCCAUUUCUUGCCAACGAAAAUAACACAAGCUUGAAGCAUGUCUCUGAGAACUUGGUUGACGCGUUCAACUUGUCCCUGAGACUGAGGGUGAAAAGCGGUGCUGAAUGACAGAUGAGUUCCCAUAGCUUCUUGGAAACUUGCCCAGAAUCUUGAGUGAAUAAGCUGCCACGGUCUGAGCUGAUUACCAGCGAAAUAUAGAGAGUUGCCAGCUGACUAGCAGUGAUCGUUUCUUUGAUGGCUAGAAAGUGUGCAACUUUAGAAAGCCGGUCAAUGAUGACAAGAAUAGCAUCAUUACCUUUCUGUGAUUUGGGAAAUCUAGUGAGGAAGUCCAUUUCAACAUGGUCCCAUUUCCAUUCAGGAAUAGAGAUAGGUUGCAGAGUUCCAGCUGGCCUUUGAUGUUCUGCUUUGAUACGAUGAAAACGUCACAUUCAGCAACAUAGCGAGCAAUGUCUUGCUUCAUGUUUGACCAUUAGAAUCUUUGACGAAUGUCUUGGUACAUCUUGGUGCUACCGGGAUGAAUAGACAACAAAGUGUCAUGAGCUUCUUCCAUAACCUCCUUAGUCAUAUCCAGGUUUUUCUCCUUACACGGCACCACUAAGGCGGCCUUUGAAGUACAAAGUGCCAUCAUCAGCAACAUUAAAGAAUGAGGGCUUUCCUUCUGUGAGGUAGCGCUUAAUCUUGUGGGCUUAAGAGUCAUAUUUCUGUAGCUCCUUGAUGCUAUCCACGAGAUUUGGUUUAGCAACCAGGGUAUUGAGACAACCCUGGGGAAUAACAUGGAGGUUCAUUUUGCGGCACUCUAGAGGAGGGGCAGAGAGUGCACCAGGAGGAACAAUAUGGAGGUUCAGCUUUCUGAAUUCUUCAACAAGCGAGGGUUUAACUUGGUGAACUUGGAGAUGGUUGCAAUAUGACUUGUGGCUCAAAGCAUCAGCCAUUACAUUAGCCUUGCCUGGGGUAUAGGAAAUACCGAAAUCAAAGUCUAUUAUGGUCUCCAUCCAUAUCUGCCGAUGGAGGUUCAAAUCUGGCUGACUAAACAGGUACUUCAGACUUUGGUGGUCGGUGAAUAUCUCGCAACGAUUACCAAGAAGGUAAUGUCGCCACUGUUUCAGUGCAUGUAUGACAGCACCAAGCUCGAGGUCAUGAACUGGGUAGUUCUCUUCGUGAGGGCGUAGUUGAGGAGAGGCAUAAGCAAUCACUCGAAGCUCUUGCAUUCGAACACCGCCUAAUCCUUGACGUGAAGUGUCGCAGUAAAUGACGAAGUCCUUCUUAGUAUUAGGUGGAGAAAGCACUGGGGCAGAAGUCAUUUUGUCUUUGAGUGCCUGGAAACUUUCCUGACACUUUUCUGUCCAAUCAAACUUGACGCCCUUGUGAAGCAGACCAGUCAGGGGCUUUGCAAUCUUGGAGAAGUUCUCGGCAAAUCGACGACAAUAGCUGGCGAGCCCGAGAAAACUUCUGACUUGCUUGACAUUCUUCGGAGGAGUCCAAUCGAUAAUAGCCUGAACUCGCUCGGGGUUGACGGCAAUACCAUCCUUGGAGAUGACAUGCCCAAGAUAGGUCACUUCAGGAAGCCAAAAUUCACAUUUAGAAUACUUUGCAUAGAGUUGAUGUUCUCGAAGCUUUUCCAGAACAAGUCGAAGGUGUUCAACAUGUUCUUCUUUGUUCUUGGAGUAUACAAGGAUAUCAUCUAGAUAAACCACGACGAACUUGUCGAGGUAUUCCAUGAAUAUAUAGUUCAUCAGAUGAGAGAAUGUCGCCGGAGCAUUGGUCAAGCCGAAGGACAUGAUGGUGUACUCAUAUGAACCAUAGCGAGUUACGGAGGCGGUCUUGGGAAUAUCCUCUUCACGAACCCGGAUCUGGUGGUAACCUAACCUCAAAUCAAGUUUAAAGAAUACUAAGGAACCAACAAGUUGAUCAUACAGAUCGUUGAUUCUGGGAAGCGGAUACUUGUUCUGAAUUGUUGCCUGGUUGAUAGGUCGGUAAUCUUGGACCAAACGAUUAGUUCCAUCCUUCUUCUUGACAAAGAGAGAAGGUUCUCCCCAAGCAGAGGAACUUGGACGGAUAAAACCAUGACGAAGUGAAUUGUCAAUUUCCUCCUUAAGCUCAAGGAGUUCAUGAGGCGGCAUCUUGUAGGGUCGCUUGGCAAUAGGAGUAGUGCCCGGUUUCAAGUCUAUGACGAAUUUGACAGCUCUAGCAAGGGGUAUUCCUGGAAGUUCUUAUGGAAAGACAUCUUCAAAGUCACGAACGGCAGGAAUGUUCUCUAUGCCCUCAAGAGGUGAAGCAUUUAAUGCAUUCAGAACAUAUAUCUAAUUCUUAGCUUCCUGAGCUGCUCGGGCUGAGUAUUGGACUAUCUGGCCAGAAGGGUGAGUGAGCUGGACUCUCUUGGUAGCACAUUCAAUCAAAGCAUUAUGGGCAGUCAACCAUUCCCAUACCAAGAAUGAUGUCUAUGUUGGAAGGUCCGAGUACAAAGAGAGGAACUGGAAAAAGUAGACCUCCAACCUCGAUUUGGUUGCGAGGGCAUAACAUUGUUGUUUGCCACUUGGAUCCCGGAGAUUGAAUCGCUAAAGGAGUGGGCAAAUUUUCCAUAUAUAACCCAUGUAGCCGAGCAAAUUGUUGGGACACGAAAGCAUGUGAUGCUCCUAAAUCAAAGAGAACAGAAGCUGGCACUGAAUUAACGUGAAGGGUACCCAUCACGAUUUUUGGGGACUCACGAGCUUCUUCAAUUUUGACAUGGGUGACUUGACGACCACUCAUAGCAGGCGGUCUGGCACUACAAUUUCUGAUAGGGUGGUUUCGAUGGCUCUUCCCAUGUGUGACUUGACCACCACUCAUAGCAGACGUCCUGGUUGGGACCUCGGGUCUUCGAUGUUUAGGUUUGGCUGGGAGGUCUGUUUGGUAUUAGGCCCAGACUAUGAGCAUCCCUUCAUCAAUUGGUUAGGAAUAGCGACAGUUUGUUGCCUAGAUGGUGGCUUCAGUCUUACUGUUGUAUGACUUUGUAAGGUCUUGUGUGAAUAAUCAAUAAAAUGGCUGCAUGCAUCGUCCACAUGCAGAGGUCGGGGGUCCUCCUCCAUUUCUAAAAUAAAAAAAAUAAAAAAAAAUCGCAUUGCCCUAAUUACAGAUUGUUGCGACUUAGACAAAGGAUUAGAUAGGGCCCGUAUGAUGAGAGUACACUUUGUAUGUGGCAUGGCAUAAUGACUCCACGAGAAGAUCUUGGUCAUGGUUGGAUAGCAGAGAAAGUUAUGGCGUCCAAUUUUCAAGUUAGAACAUGGAUGUGCAUGCUUUGUUUCUGCGUUCUGCACAUAAACGGCAGACUGUAGCAGUUAUGACGGAGUAGAAGAGAAAUCCCAAAAUGAACCGAAAGUGCAGCCUAUGCCAUCAAAUCAUUCAGGGCAAAAAACUGCUUUGAAAAUUGAGACCGCUCAAGAUGGUACACGAUGUUUCAAUUAUCAUGUUUGUUAUUCUCUUUUUUCUGAGUCCUAAUCAGUGUGGUUCCGAUCCUUUGCUUUUUACAGAAUAGUAUAUACACUAUAUAUAGCCUGAGAAAGCAAUAACACCGGAGUUAGGGGCAUGGAGAUAACCUUGGAUUGUUCAAGCAGUGCUUCCGGACGCGUGGUUCCAAAAGCCAUGCAUGCUUGAUUACUAGACAAGGAACAUUACAAGCUACAUACAAACAAAGUUCAGGUUUUUAAUGAUCUGUUGUGAUAUUGAUAAUGUACAUAGCAACUUCGAUUGCGCAUGUGUCAGUUGAUCUAUGGAGGGUACCCUAUACAGCAGGUACAUUUGAAAAACUAUAAUACAAUUUACAACUUACAUUACGACAAUUUUUCCUUCAACUUACAUCUCAAUAUAUCAUGCCUUCAAGCUUUAUCGGUAUGAGUUACUGGAUCUCCGUUUCUCGGCGGUUAUUACGCGUUCGGGCAGGAGUAGGCCCAUCGCCCGCAAGACAGGAUGUGUUUCAGCCUAGAAGCAGCCUCGCAGUUGCUGAGCUGCAUGCAUGUGUACAACAGUCAAAUGUGAUCAGCAGGCUAGGACGUCCGACACCCACAUGUUAGUAUUUAUUAGUUCAACCAUAUCUUUCUACUGAUCUAUAUUCCACUAUGACACUUAUCUCUUCCACCACAUGGAAUUAGAAACGAUGUAGGAUAUGGAUUUGCGGCAGCGUAUAUGCAUGAUAGAAAAGUAGUAUUUGAACAUGAUAUGUUCUCCAUCAGAACUUGGUCCGAUUAUCAGGUAUUCGAUCUACCUCUGGUUAUUUUGUUCUCCUCAUGUCGAAGGUUUGAACCUACCACAAUAUUUGUGUAGUUUUCUUCUACCUUACUUACCUAUACAAUCGAUUUGCCACAAUGAUCUUACCCUGACCUUCUUUGACCUUGACGUACAUGCAUGGAGUCAAAGUUGUACGGAAAGAUUCGCAAGCGGUUGUUUCAAGCAUCCUUGUCUACGCCUCUGGCGUAGUCAAGGUGCAUCACGUCACGGUUCAUAGUCUACAAGGAGCCUAUCCAAUUGCGUACAACAGGUUUUAUAUGGAGUUUGUUACAUUUUGACAAAAAUUUCUCCUAAACUUUCUAACCAGAUGAAUACACGAUAGCAGUUAAAUACAAGGACAUCAAGAAGAUGACUGUUCUUCUAUUUCAUGGUUUAGAAAAAAACAUUGGGACAUAUAUACAAGGUAAUUGGGAACACCAGUAGAAAUAUUACAUAGUUUGAAAUAUGUAUUCUCAGUUCGUCAAGUAAAUAUCCAAGAGUGCAGGACACCAUGAUAUGUGGUGUUGUAAAAAGCAUAAGAUAGACAAGUUUAGGCCACAGAUGCUAGAAUGACAGUAAAUAUGAUUGCAAAUAUUUAGAUUCUGUUGGCAACUACUUCCAUUCAGGUCAAAAGAGAAAGCAUACUAAAUCUUUUGGUCGGGACAAUCGUUUCAGGUAAGCAUCAUGGUUCUUCGAAUGUUGAAAAUCUAUAUAUUGUAGUCAACAUGAUUUACAACUUUGGUAAUGUAUUAACAUGGCUUCAAUGAUAAGACAUCGUUGUAUUAGCUACUUAUGUAGGAUAGACCAAUGAAACACAUGCAAGUCAUGGGAAUUACAAGAUUUGAGACAUUAAGUUUUGAACACAGUGUUGGAGAACAUUAGAAUAAACAAAUUGGUGAAGAUUUUGUCACACAGUUCGGCACAUUAACACUAUAUAUGCUACAUAAAUUUAUCUAUUAAUGUGUCAUAUUAAUUUUCAUGUUAAUGUGGUAUUUAGAUAUCCCUUGAACAAUAGAAAUCCAAAAUAGAUGUUAUGACUUCCUUACAAUUACAGUAAUCUUUCUUAUUCUACUUCUUAUGUAAACAUAUUUGUGCAUAAAAGCCAGAAAUAAAUGAUGUGCAUGACAACUUGCAUACUAUUGGAGAAGAAAAAACUAAUUUUGUAAAACCCCAAAAAAUCUAGAUAGCUAAAUUGCAUAGUGUUAACAGGUAUGUUAGUCUUAUGUGAGAUUUUGUAAUAAUAAUUUAUUUGUAUAAUUUCUAAUAUUACUGGAAAAUUACAUGUGCGUACCAUUAUAAGCAGAGUUCAUCAAAGAAAGUGGAAAAUAGUGAUUAUUGUAAAGCAUUUCUCUACAAAACAACCUACUACAUGAAGAUGUUGAGCUGAGAUAGUACUAUAACAAAUUGUUAAGCAUGUCAGUUAUUAAAUUAUAGAUACACUAAAUCAUUUUCUUCAAUUUUCUAACAAGUAACUAAUCAGUCAUUUUCAUUACUUCACAUGUUAAUAUUGUCCUGACUCAGAUUUUCUAAACUUUUAGCGUGUUUAUCGAAAUAAUUCUUAGCACCUACACUACCAUAUCAUUAUGUAGAUUCUCAUUUAAUAUAUUAUCGCAUCAUCUAUAAAUAUAUAUUUAUUUAUUGUAAACAUUCAUAUUGUUCUCAAUAAAAUUUGGAUUUAGGAAAAAUCUAAUACGGAAAGUAAAUUGAAAUGCAGGAAGUAUAACAACUAGGUGGUCCAAUCAAGCCACCUAAUGAAUUUCAAUUUAUUAGGACAUAAGAUUCUCAUUAGCACUUACUUUUGUAGGAUAGCCCAUGCGAAUGAACGGGUUGACGAUAUAGUUAUUCUAAUUUCUUGGGUCAUAAAAAUCAGGAGUAUGAACAGGAUGUUCAUCAACACUGGCAUAUUCUACAUGUUCAUCCAAUGAAUUAGCAACAUACCUACAUUCUCAGAGCCACUUACAUUGUUAUCGCCGAUGUUGGUGUCGAUAUUUUCUUCUCGCUGAUCAUAUUCUGAAUUCCCAUUAGUUUGCUCCUCUUCCUCUAUGGCAAUAUCGAGCCUCAUCAUCUUGGUUUAUCCAAGCAGUGGAAGCACCAUUAUUACUCUUGAGAAAUUUUUACAUAUCUCCUUGUUGUGAUUGUACCAAUUUAUCCAUGACCUUUUUCCUUUUCCUAUUAUCGCUAUUUGAUGCAUAGGUCGGACGACAUGAUAACACACUGAUACAUCUCCAACGUAUCUAUAAUUUUUGAUUGUUCCAUGCUAUUAUAUUAUCUAUUUUAGAUGUUUUAUAUGCAUUUAUAUGCUAUUUUAUAUUAUUUUUAGGACUAACCUAUUAACUUAGAGCCCAUUUCUGUAUUUUGCCUGUUUUAGAGUUUUGCAGAAAAGAAAUACCAAACGGACUCCAAACGGAAUGAAACUUUCACGAUGAUCUUUCUUGGACCAGAAGCAAACCAAGAGAGUUGGAGAUGAAGUCGGAGACUCAAUGAGGUGGCCACGAGGGUGGAGGGAGCGCCUAGGGGGGUAGGCGCCCCCCUACCUCGUGGGCCCCUUGGAGCUCUCCUGACCUAGUUACUUCGCCUAUAUAUACUCUUAUACCCCAAAAACAUCAGGGAGAGCCACGGAAAUAAUUUUCCACCACCGCAUUCUUCUGUACCCGUGAGAUCCCAUCUAGGGGCCUUUUCGGCGUCCUGCCGGAGGGGGAUUCGAUCACGGAGGGCUUCUACAUCAACACCAUUACCCUUCUGAUGAAGCGUGAGUAGUUUACCACAGACCUACGGGUCCAUAGCUAGUGGCUAGAUGACUUCUUCUCUCUCUUUGACUCUCAAUACCAUGUUCUCCUCGAUGUUCUUGGAGAUCUAUUCGAUGUAAUAUUCUUUUGCGGAUUUAUGAUCAGAUUAUCUAGGAAUAUUUUUUGAGUCUUCUCUGAAUUCUUACAUGCAUGGUUUGAUAUCUUUGCAAGUCUCUUCAACUUAUUGGUUUAGUUUGGCCUACUAGAUUGGUUUUUCUUGCAAUGGGAGAAGUGCUUAGCUUUGGGUUCAAUCUUGCGGUGUCCUUUCCCAGUGAUAGUAGGGAAGCGAGGCACGUAUUGUAUUGUUGCCAUCGAGGAUAAAAAGAUGGGGUUUUCAUCAUAUUGCUUGAGUUAAUUCCUCUACAUCAUGUCAUCUUACUUAAUGCGUUACUUUGUUCUUGAUGAACUUAAAACUCUAGAUGCAGGCAGGAGUCGGUCGAUGUGUGGAGUAAUAGUAGUAGAUGCAGAAUCGUUUUGGUCUACUUGACACGGAAGUGAUGCCUAUGUUCAUGAUCAUUGCCUUAGAUAUCGUCAUAAUUAUGCACUCUUUUAUCAAUUGCUUGGUAUUAAUUUGUUCACCCACCGUAUUAUUUGCUAUCUUGUGAGAAUCCACUAGUGAAACCUAUGCCCCCCGGGUCUCUUUUCCAUCAUAUAAGUUCUAUUUUCCAUUAUACUAGUUUCCGAUCUACUAUUUUGCAAUCUUUUACUUUCCGAUCUAUAAACCAAAAAUACCAAAAAUAUUUACUUUACCGUUUAUCUAUCUCUAUCAGAUCUCACUUUUGCAAGUAACUAUGAAGGGAUUGACAACCCCUUUAUCGCGUUGGGUGCAAGUUUGUUGAUUGUUUGUGCAAGUAUUCGGUGACUUGUGCGUUGUCUCAUACUGGAUUGAUACCUUGGUUCUCAAACUAAGGGAAAUACUUACUCUACUUUGCUCCAUCACCCUUUCGUGUUCAAGGGAAAAACCAAUGCAAGCUCAAGAGGUAGCAGGAAGAAUUUCUGGCACCGUUGCCGGGGAGAUUUACACCAAGUCACGUCAAGAUUGGUCUCCCGUCAACUUGCCAACUAUGCUUUCACAAAGAGAUGUAGAACAAUCAAGCCUACUUUCUCGUGUACCAUCAUCUCAGUGUUUGCCAUCAGUUCCACUGUCUAGUAUUCCUCUUGAAAUAACAAGCCCUAAUCAGUGGCAACUAAGUCAUCAACCCGAGGCUGCACCAGGUUCUUUAGCACAACUCUUUCUGGGGGCAUCAAUGAUGUUUAAUCAUCCACCAGUUGGUGAUGAAUCACUGAAAAAUGAGUCGCAUAGGUUACGGGUAUACAUUGACUCGUUUAAGAAAGCCCACGACAUAAAGUUUUGUUGAUUCUUCUAGCUCAUGUAUAUCUUGGUUGUGAAUUUCGUUACACUAGUUCCAGGAUUCAUCUUGUACUUAUUUUUUCACUUAUGGACAGCAAUCGCAACUUAGGACCGAGUGUGCCAGGAAACAGAGAAGGAAAGAGAGAAGGUCAAACAAAAGUAUAAUUUGUUACUUCAAGAACUUGAUUCCACUUAUCUUCAGCAAAGGAAGAUGCUUGAUAAUUUAUGUGAGAAAGUUGUCCUCAACCAGUCACUAGCUGACGAUUUUCGGGCUAAAUUCAUAUCUUCUUCUGGAGCACAAGGUAUUGAGCAUUGGCUAUAAGCAAUCAAGCAAUCAUAUUUGAUGUCCUCUAAAUGAAUAUGCUGACAUGAUUUUCAAACAUCCGGCCGAAAUCUCUAUCACUAAUGCUAAUUACUUUGAUCUGCAGCUAGUGCCCACAGCCCUCCAAAUCACCAGAGACCCCAGGCUUCUCAGCAAGUUCCCACAAGGCCUUCAGCGGCGGCAUCGACCGCAUCACCAACUGCAUCGUCGACAGCUGGUCGACCACCAGUGCAGAUGCAUCAUGUCCAACCAUUACAGGUCGAUCAACCAUCACCAUCAUCAUCAUCGUCGCCAUCUUCACCUCACCCCUACGUACUACAAAGCAUUGUCAGAUCAACAUCAACUACUUUUGGUCUCGUGCCAGUUUUGCCACGGGGAAACUUUGGAGUCCAGAGUGAAGUAACACGUGCACCUGCUCCUCAUCUUUAGCACAGGUUGCCUCCACAGGUGCAUUCGAUGGCACAUGCAAAUCAGCAGCAGCUUUCUACUGGGCUCGAGAGCACGUCUGCAAGGACACGGUCUACCCCUGUGACUCCAGUAAAUAUAAGACAAUCAUGCCCACAAACAGUUCGCCCAGGGAGACCAUCACUGCCAAGCUUGCACUCAAGUUCACACCCCCAGGGCCAUCAAGCUCACAUCAAAUUCAGCAGGUUCCACCACUGCCAUCAAGUUCAUAGCCAACACGCCUGCUGUCACCCGUAUCUUCGGUUCCAAAUCCAGUUCUGCCACUAACAUCACCACGAGGUUUGACUACGACAUUUAGCAUUGCCUCAGCUGCAUUGAAUGUGUUGCCAAGCAGGGGUGUUGGCCCUUCCGCAUCAGGCAUGCCACCAUCAGACUCUGAUUCAGUAUCGCUGGAUGAAUGGCUAACAGGAAAGCUUGGGCUGCGCAAUGAUCCCCCUGGCGUGGCCGCUCGUGUAGAUGUGGUAUGCCUAUCUGACGAUGAAUAGA
rnacentral:lncRNA from 1 species